rnacentral:lncRNA from 1 species
GGCGGUCUCAUGUAUGUGUGUGUAUGUCUACUCCAAUGGAUGAGGGACGUGGCAUAUGAUGAUUGGGAAUUAUAUAGACGGCUAUGAUUGGGGGAUUUAGAUUAGUUUAGUCAAGAUCCAACGGUUUGUAUUUAUUUGUAAGUCAACUACAAGUAAUUUUUACUCAUAAAUUUAAAGUAUAAUUUACAUGUAUUUAUAUUCAAACCCAUGUAUAUAUUUCACAUGAAUAUCAUUACAAAACAUAAGUAUUGACAGUGACAUACGAAAUCCCAUGUUUGAUUCCCCUCCUUUCCAACACCAACAUCAUUACUAAAAAACAUACAAAACAUAAGUAGGAAAUCUUAUUUCCAAAUUUCAAUUGAUCAGCUCCACCUAUCACAAUUAUUAGAAGAAAUGGGGAAACUUUAUGUUAAUUUUGUUCUUUGUUACUUGUUAAGGCUAUAUUGUUUUUGAUCUAUUGAUAUUAAGAUCUCUUGGAAUAUGGUGCUUGCUUAGUCAAUUUGCACACAAGAUGCUCUUAUUGCUAUCAAUCCUUUUCCUUUCAUUUUCAUAAUCAAUUUGAAGAAGGUAACCAAUAAAUACCACAGCACUCAGUGGAGAACUGUCUGGGGACCCUGGGGUCCUGAACCAAGCUAUCAAUGACCUCUUGAAUUUGUAUCACAUCCAAACUUUUAUCAAGUCCUUAGAGCUUUAGAGUAAAAUUUUUAAUGAAACAAACAAAUGCAAUGCUCUAAAUCAACAUGUCAACUCAGUUCUCAGUACACAAAAUGGCUGAAGAAAUUAGACACAAUGUUGUGAAAAUUUUAUUUCCCUUGUGUGGCAGUGUAGAUGAUGUGGUUUAGCCUUUGCCAUCAAACACUGCCUUCUUUGACUUGCUCUUGCUCUUACUCUUACUGCGGCUUAUCUUUACGAGAGCACCAAGCAUCAAUGGUAUGCAAAUUCGUCGAGACGUGUCUACUUGAUGCCUUGUAGAGACAUCAGAAUGUGAACCCUUAAUGGAAUUCCUGUCAUGUUCUUCGAAGCAAAUUGAAUUUGGGUAGUACAAGCGUCCUCUAUCCCCCGUUCGAAACCCUAUUAGCCGGCCUAGUGACAUGCUGUGGUCUUGGAAGAAGGAUGCUGUGGACUGUUGAUUGCAGAAUAUAUAGCAGCAACACCAAUACAUCAGAACUAUAUAAAAGUUAUAACAAAUGCAUACCAUAUUUCAUGAGAAGGGAACAAUUUUGCAAUGUGGGCAACCAAGCACUUGAGAUCAAGUCAGUUAAAAGUUUAAAUUACCUCAGUGUCAAGGUUGGAGGAUGAAAAAGAGGUGAAACUAGCAGAGGGUAUGUGCAAAGGACGGUGUCCUACAACAGCAGCCGGUAAGCUCUCCACCACUCUAAGUCUCAUGUUCAUGAUCUCAAGCCCAAGGGGCCAUCCAUGGGGCAUUUCAUGAUCCUGGGGAGUUACCAAUUCAAACAUCACCACAUAAAAUCUUCAAUUCAUCAAUGUUUUUAGCCAAUCACAUCUUACUAAUAUUAUAACAUAUAUGCGCUCAGCCUCAGUCAAUAUAUAGGAAAAAAUACAACAGAAAAUGCAGGUCUUGGUUUAAAAAAUAUUAAAGCUAAUUCAUAGGGCGUUGACAUUUAAGUGUAAAAGUGACUUUGUUUAGGUCUACCUGCUCACUCUGUCUGCAGCUCAACCAAUUUGUAAUGAAAUGAUUGUAAAAAUGCUCAUCUAGUCUUUCUAUAUAAUUCAUUUCUCCACAGAGAGAAUGACAAUGAUGCAUAUUUUAUUCUCCUAAAAAUGACUUUACAUCAACACGCUACUUUGAACUUUGAAUCGGUACCCUGCUAAAAACUAACUUUGAAUCGGUACCCUGCUAAAAACUAUGUUUCUUUGACAAUUUCUAAUUAAUCAUCUUGCAGAUUCCAACCAGACGAAAUCUUAGUAUCAAUAUAACAUACAGCCAAUAAUUUUGUCAAAUUACAUGUUAGGAAGAAAAACGCAGAUGUAAUCGCAAUUAUGUUUCAGAAAGAACAUUCUAAGUCAUGGAGCCAUUGAUUUGUGGCAACUUAAAGUCUUAAAUCAUGACCUAAAAAGCCGAGAGCCAGAGAAGAACACUUUUUCUUCAAUAAGAUAAAGUUCUUAGAUUUUCCACAAUAAAUUUUCUUCUUCCUCCUUUUCCUGAUAUUGAAGUGAUGGAUCAAAGCAGCAUUUGUCUGAGACAAAAGGUGAUCAUGAAGGAUUUUGUCAUUGAUGAAGGAUGAAUACUCACACAUACAUGACACCAAAAAUAUGAUACUACAAGCAUGCAUGUUCCAUUUCUGCUCUCUUAAGAACCCCAUAAGCCAAAACAAAAGAAAUUGUUUUAAACAUUGAAAAUUAAAAAGAGGCAGUGAAACUGAGGUAACUGUGAGGUAACUAUAAGCGUGACCAUAACCAGAGCCAGAGGCAAAGCAAGUUUCAAUUCUCAUCAAUCCUAUAAAAUCCUAUUCAAACACUGAAAACCCAGAAACAGAGAAGAAACCAGACCAUCAUUCAGAAAACAAUGGAACAACAAACACACACACACACACACACUAAGAAAUCCUAGAGAAUUAUAAGUACUUCAGUUAUAAGAGUUCCAAAUGUAAGGCUGAAAAUGUUACCUCCGUGGCCAUGGCGUGAACAGCCUGAGUAAAUGAAGAAAAGAGAAGCACAAGUCCUAGAGAAUUAUAAGUACUUCAGUUAUAAGAGUUCCAAAUGUAAGGCUGAAAAUGUUACCUCCGUGGCCAUGGCGUGAACAGCCUGAGUAAAUGAAGAAAAGAGAAGCACAAGAUUAUCACAGGAAGUCCACACACACAGAAAACGUUAUGGGGAAAACAAGGGUUGUUUAUAUUCUUCCUUAAAAAAGAUUACAUCAGGAGAUUAAAUGAGCUUGGGUCCCAUCUCGAUGUCUAGUUCAAAUCAAUUGAUGAUAUAACUGCAAAUUUACACAACCUCAGCCUGUUGUGUUUUUAAUUAACAUUUGAUAGUUACCAUGGCUCAGACAAACGUCAACAGUUUAACCACUAAUUCAAUUCCUUAAUUAAAAAUCUUAUCUGUGCCACAUAACCACCUAUUUAAGCAAAGGCUUAACAUCAUAAAUGUCUGGUCUUUUUAGUCUGUUCUUUGGUGCAGCCGUGCAGUAAUUGAAGUUGAAUGUUGUAAACCAUGUGGAAAUCAAAAGGGUUAGGUGGGUUCAUUUAGAAAUGAGAAAAUAUAUAUUUAUUAGGAAACAUUAGGCGGUUGAAGCUGUUGAGCAAUCUCUGCUGCCUUUUCAAGAGCUGACUGUGAUUGUUGAGGUACACUUGGACCUGAUGUGAAAUUACACUUGUAAAAUGGAUUAUACAACAGAACAGAAAGGGUUGUUUUUUGCAGUUUCCUUUUUGCUGCUUAAUUAUCCUUAAGUUUGAAACAACAUUAGUGAUCAUGACAUCUUAACCUUAACGUGGAAUUGCACUGUAGAUGUGACAACAGCGAUCGGAUAAUUAAUCAUGAUCAAGGUAGAAUUCAAUUUUGUGUUUAUGGUGCUGUUGUGAAAUUCAUGAAUUUCUGAUGCAGUAUCAUUGACAUUUCCAAGAGCUUUCUAACAGGUUGGCAUUUGUAGCCUUGUGGUGUAUAAUAUAUAUUGGAUCAAAUCAUGAAUAGUAUGGGAUGGGUGGGACAAGGCUCGUACUUGAAAUGGGGUUUUCACAAUGAAGCUGCAAAGCCUGUAAUGUAAUUGCUUUACAUAUUGUCUGUUUAACAGUACAUUUUGAGUUUCAGUUCUUUCUUAUCCAAAAAGAGCACGCCAUUGAUUUCAUCAUGUGCAUAAUGUUAUGUUCAUGUAUUCAGAAAUUGCAGCUUGGGAAGCUCUAAAAUCAAAUCACUGAAAACGCAUUAAUAACAGGUGAAAACAGCAAACUAAAGCAGGCAGCUGUAAAUUGUAAUCCGACAAAGCUAGCUUAGCUGUGUUUCUUGGCCUGCAGUGCAGCUGCUUUUCCCCUCCGCUUUUACUACAAGCACUGUCCACCAAUACCAAAAAUGGAUCUUUGGGGUUGAAACUUUUAGUGGGUCCAGUUUCUGGGUUGCUAAACUCAUUCACUUCAUACCCUUUUUUGCUAUAUAUAUGUCAUUCAUUUCAUGUCCUUGAAUUACACUUCAAGUUAAUUACUUGAAUCAACAAUUGGAAGAAGAAGGAAAAAGAUUGAAACUUUGAAUCUUUGAUCAAUCAAUUUGAACCAAGUUCCAACGAUUUAACCUUUUUCACAUGUCAACACUGACAUGCAACUAUGCAAGUCAGAGAGCAAUUUCUGUGCCCAUAUUCAUUAUUCACCAAGAACUCACGGCACAGAAAGUAGAAAGAGAAAAGUUAUGACGUGGGCACAUCUGAGAGGCUGAGGGAGGAAAGGAAGGAAAAUUUUCAGGUGAGAGAUUAAAGACACCAUUGAUGCUGGCAAGCAGCUAGAGUUGAGAUGAGACAAUGAAGGUGAAGGUUGAAAGUGAAUUGUCGCAAGGAAUGAUUAGUUGGGUAGGUCAGGUAGGGACCAAAAAGGUCAGGAUCAAUUUUCCAAAACGUGCCCAACACAGUUGCACGCAUAAAAUUAUUGUUUUGGUCGCUAGCAACCGGCAAACACCAGCCAAAGCUCGAGUGCCAAGACCCCCUCCACCAUCCUAGGAUUUUGAACGCCGACACCGUCCAUUUUCCCAUAUGUUAUCCCAACCCACACGGCACACUUUCAAUAUACUUAUAAGCCCUGCAAAUUUGGCAUUUUUUCAUUAAAGAAAAUGCUAAUCACAAUCGCAAAUCGUUAAUUAAAAUGAACCUCACUCUUAAUAGUGAGACAUAACAUAGUACAUUUACUAAUGCAUGCAUUGAAAGGUUGUAUAGCAAACCUCUAAAUUGAUUACGGAUUUUGUGUGAGUAAUUUCUUGUUAUUGAGGAAAUGCCAACUCCGCAUACAUCAAUGGUCUGAAAUCACUUACAAGAUCAGAAGUGACACACCGUAGCACAGCUCGUUGACCUUUUCUUUCUUCUUGUCAAAGUUCAAACUUUUUUAUAAUGGGUUUGCCAGCCCCUCCAGAUUGUUUGGUAUUUCUUCGAGCUCAUGCUUCAAGAAAGUUGGGCCAUAUUUUGGUAUUUCUGAAAAAUGUUGAACCACAACGUGUGGGCAACUACCCAUAACCCAUUACAAACAUGGGCUUAUUUUCUUCUGGUGGACCUUUAGAGCAGGUGGACUCUUAAGUUUAAUUGUAGGUCAACCUUAUUAACUAGGAAUUACAACGUUACAUCAAUCAAACUGAGGUUGGUAGCCAUUAAUUCCGGCCUAUAUUUGCAAUGCAAUGCAUAAAGUAAAGCUGCCUCAUGCAUGCCUAAAAAUUGAAUUACCUUCUAGACCAUUUCUUCGGCCGCCUAGAAGAAGAAGAAGCUUCAGCAGCAGCAGUCUCUUUUCGUCCAUUUUCCCUUGGCCUCUUUGAUGAAACUAGUGUAUGUGUAUGUGUACGCUGCUGCGCUUCCGCUUCAUGAUGAUGAUUUGAAGGACUGGUAAGUAUUGGCGUCGGCCACCAUGGGAGCACAAAAGGAAAGACUGGGAAUCUUCCUCCCCAUCUUAAACUGAAAGGUGUGAAUUGAGUGGUCCAAGUGGUCUCCUUUAACGUUCUUGCACCAAUGUUGUACAUGACAAUGCGACCAAACAAUUGUAGAUACAAGACAUUCUCAUUAUUUGGAUCAAAAGCUAGCACCAAAACCCUUUUUAUCCUCCCGUGGUGCCUCCUUGACUUGAACAUGACCUUUCCAAUCCCAAUCCCAAACACCAUGACCAUCGUCUUUCAACUCCCAAACACUCACAGCACCUAGAGUGUGAGCAGGAUCAUCAUGAUCUAAAUUGGUAGAGGAGAAGACGCACAUCCGCAGACACCCUUCUCCUCCUCCUCCACACUCACGUAGGAAGUCAAACCUUCCAGAUUCGAUUUCAGGCUUAUCAAUGUAACGAAAGACAUAUACUAUCACCAAGCUGGUCACGAGGAGAGUAGAGAUCCAACCCAACAGUCAAGCCCUCAACAUCACUCCACCAAUACAAGCUUCCAUUGUGAGCAACCCCGGGGUAGGCAGCCAAUUUGCUAAAACAAAACCUCCGUGCGGGCUAUUUACAAGUCCUUGUGUCCAUUGACCAGUCUCAGAAGAGAAGAUCUCCAGGUAGAAUUCGCUGGAAACCUCGGGAAAGUCCAAUUUAUCGUCAUUUAUUCGCACAACCUUGUACCUAUACUCAACAUUAAUAAGAUUAUGAUUAAGCUGAAUAUUGACACUCCUACUAGAUCUUUCUAGGUCUGCUGCUUGCUUUCGAUAGUAGGGAUCGCAUAUGAAUCCAACCAUUACGCACUUGUGGCAUCCUCCUGAUCCACGUCGAGGUCCACGUCGAGGGGGAGAGGGAGAGCAUCCCAUUGCUUGGUGUAUGGAUUGCAGAUGUAGUAAUCACGUUGAUAAUACGUGGUUGCACAACACAAAAUUAAAUCAUUAUCUGCUCCUAUCACAACCGGCUCACCUUUAUAAGGAUCAACAAUAUCAGCUUGGAAACAAGGGAGGAAACUCGGAGACAACUCAUGUUCAUGUGGUUGAUGAUCAGGCUCCGAUGACAUGGAAAAAUUUUUCCUUUCACAUGGUUCAUCUUCAUCAGGCUGCUCCGAUGAUGACGUGGAAAGAAAUUUACUUCUUCUUGUUGUACGCCUUCUAUCCGAGAUGAUUAUAGCACGUGCAAUGGUGGAGUUUUGGUUAUUAUCACUUUGGAUUUGGAAAUAGUGUUGAAAAAAAUACGGAUCAAAGAUGAGACUGAACCAACGUUUGGAGACACAUAUGCAUCGAGCCGCACACUUAGGAGGGAGUCGGGAAAGAAUUUCUAGCAAUACAAACACAGGGAGAUCAUCAAGACUAAAAUUCAUGGUCAUGGCUAACUCUUUCGAUAUUGGUUUUUCCACCUUUUUGAUCUUUUUAAUGGAGACUGAUGAUGAUCAGAGGCUUCUCCAAUAGGUUUGGAUUGGGAUAUUCUACUGCUCCAACUCCUUUUGGUAGCACGAGGUCUCAUCAUGGCGCCGAUCGAUCCGUGUGCAGUUUGCAGAGAGGAUUUGGGCCUUGAAACAUAUAUAGCUACUUACCCUACUUUUAAUCACUAUAUAUAUAUAUAUAUAUAGGGGUCCAAAAUGGGAAAAGAUAUCCAGAAAAAAAAAAAAGGCAAGCAAUCACUAAUUAUUAAUUUAUAAAUAGGAAAGAAAUCCUCGUACGAAUAGGAAUUAAUUUAUAAAGGAAAUAUAUAUAUAUAUAUAUAUAAUUUUUUUUUUGGGGUCGAAAAUAGGAAAAGAUAUCCAUAAAACAAAUAGGCAAGCAAUCACUAAUUAUUAAUUUAUAAACAGGAAAGAAAUCCCCAAUUGAAGUUGAAUGAUAUUUUGCUUUUUACCAACUAAUUACUCUUGUGGAACAUGCCGCCUGGCCUGGCCAUAUUGAAAACUUGAAAGCAACCUUGAUCUCAGUCUCCUUUCCUCUGUCUUUUACAAUAUGACUACGAGCCUGCUAGGAGCUAGCCUAGGGCUCAAGGCUUAGGUGAGCGUAGGUGAUGACCUUGUUAUGAACGAGCCUGGAUGAACAAAUAUGAACUAUUUUGCAGAAAUAAGACCAACCAACUUAGCAAAUUAAAGAGUUAAAAUAAGACAGAUGCUCGUAUAAGCAGAAGCUACCAUCAUAUACACUUUAUUGACUGUUUGUUUCAACUCAAGUCCACAAACUUCAGCUUUUUCAAAGCAUGAACAUUAAGCACUUAUGAAAAACCAGAGACAACAGAUACAUAAUUAAAUAAACAUUACAAAAACCCUUCAUAAAAUAUUCUAUUUUUCUUGUGUUUUUAACUCCCACUUGAAUAUAUGAUCUCAGGAUAAAUAUAUCAAACACAGCAAAGUGGUACUAAUCAAAACAAGUCUCAGCUUAUGGCACGAACUCAGCGCCUUCGCAGCACUGUAGUAGUCCUUUCCUUUCUUCAAAAACCUUGUGUCACUCGUGCCCUGCUUCUCAGCAUCGUAGUAGUUGUUGCUUUGGUAAUUGGUUGGGGUUGUGUAGCUGCUCUGUGUAAGCCUUGCAUCAUUCAAGCCCUGCUUCUCAGCAUUGUAGUUGUUGUGGUUGUUUUGGUAAUUGGUUGGGGUUGUGGUUGUGGUAUUGCUGCUCUGUGAGAACCUUGUGUCACUUGGGGGGGCCGGGCCGACAUGGUUGUUAAAGUUGUUCUUGCUGGGGAUUAAUUGGGCGUUGUAGGUCUGAGGGUACUUGUUGGUGUGCUGCUGCUCUUUCUCUGACUCAGCUGUAUAUGGCAGGUUGUUGUUGUUGGUGGUGAAUUGUGCACCAUUGGUAGUGGUGUAGGGUGCACCGGUGGUUGUGGUGGUGUAGGGUGCACCGGUGUUUGUGGUGGUGUAGUGUCCAACGGUGUUUGUGGGGGUGGGAGGCAGCUGGCCAGACCCAUGGCCAUAGAGACCAUCGAGACCAUAUCCACUUUGGGUCUCUGGAAUGAAGGCUGGCUCUUGCUCUUGCUUUUUCAAAGGGGUUUCUGCUAUGGGGAUCUCCUUCUCAUAGUUGUUGUGGUUGUUGACAUUGGCCACUUUGCUAAAGAAUUGGUUUUCUCUAGCUUGAGCUUGUUGAGAGAAGAGGAGAGAUGCAAGGAAGAAGAGGAAAGAGAACAAUUUUGCAGCAGAAGCCAUAGUGGCAAGUGAACUUGUUGGGAGGCAGCUGCUGUAAACUGAGUGUAUAUUGUGGGGGAGAGCUAGUGGUAGUCCAUUCUUUAUGUAGAGGACCAUUUUUCUUCUCACCCAAAAUUUUCAACUGAUUAGGUGCAAAUGGGCUGGAGGAUGGGUGAUGGUUUGUGGUCCUCAGUGGGGGCAGAACAACAACAAUAUUGAGCACUCUUUUUUUUCCUUUUUCCAGUUAAUUAGUUUAUUUUGUUUUGUUUUUUUUAAAAAAGAUAUGUAUAUACACAUUUUGGAUGCACUUCAUGCUUUCCAUGGAGGAAAACAACAUAAUUAUCUGCCAUUUUCUCUACUAAGAGCAUUUUUAGCAGUUAACCCCUUGCCAUGGCAAGAGGAGCUCCAAGACAGCUACUAUUCAUGUGAAUAGUAGCUGCCUUAGCCCCCAGCAAAGUGUGUUUCCAACAGUUGCCUUUUGCUAUGGCAAAUACUAUUCAUUUUUUUAUUUUUUUUUUCACAACUUUGUUUACUUAAACAAUUAACUUGGAUAAUAUUUUCGGAAUAGAUUUGGGUUCCUACGUGUCAAUACUAUUCAUAUCGGACAAGAUUUUCGGUUUCAAAUUUCAGAUACAUUUCAAAAUUCAAAUUUCAGAUAAAUUUCAAAUGUCAAAUUUCAGAUACAUUUCUAAAUUCAAAUUUCAGAUAAGAUUUUCACCCUCUAAGAUUGCGCCACGUGUCGUAUCUAUUUGCCUAAAUUUUUCUAUAAAACCAGAGGCUCAGCUCAUACCUUCCACACCAGAUCUUCUCUACAUUUCCAUUUCUCAGAUUUUAGAUUUCAUUCUCCAUUCUCAAUGGCAGACAUGCAAGAGGUUUUGGAGAGGCAAGAGCAAGAAACUAGAGAAAGAAUACGUAGACGAGAGCAAAAGGGCGCAGAGAGAACUAGAUGAGCAACUUGGCAUAGCAGUUGCUUUGCUGGAGGAAGAAAACCAGAGCCGCCGUGGUUCAUGAGAAGGCCGUGGCUCGAAUGUGGACAGACAUAGACAUUCUCGGGGUAAGAAUCUUCUGGAAGAUUAUUUUAUCACUACAAGGAAAAUUCCUUUUAGUGACGAAACAGGAUGGUCGCAAUAACAUCAAAGUUCGUCGCCAAAUAUAAAUAGCGACGAAUAUUUUUGGUUGCCAAGGUCGUCGUUGAAAGCUCGUGGCUAAAGAUACCAUGCGACGAAACAAAAUAUCGUCGCUGAAAUAUUUUAGCAACCAAUUUUGUCGUCGCUAAACAGAUCUAAGUUGGUCGCCUAUCGAGAGUGAGUUGCCGCCAAAAUACCAAAAAUUCCCGCGAACAUGGAACUAUUUGGCGACGAAAUAUUUGGUCGCUUGAACAUUUCAGCGACGAAUGUUUUGGUCGUGAAAGAUGUAGUUUAUUUGUAGCAUAUGUUAGUUGGUUUGGUUAUUUUCAGAAUGGGCGACGAAACAGAUUGGUCGCCAAAUCUGUAGAUAUUGGUAUUGUCAGUUGAGCGAUGAAAACUAAUUCGUCGCCAAAAAAGUAUUGAAUUUUUUUAUAAAUAAAAUAUUUAUUUAUAUUUCAAGCUUUGUAACAGAAUAUUAUUUAGUCCAUAAAGUUUUUGAAAAACAGUAAAUAGAUUAAAUGAAUAGAAAUAGCAUAAUUACUAUUCAAAAGAUACCAGUUGUUUAAGCACACAUCAAUAUAUGCUAGAUACAAAAACCCCCAAGAUAUCCUAGAUACAAAAACCAUCAAGUAGCUAGAUACAGAAGCCCCUAGAACCCCAAGGUAGGCUAGAUACAAAAACCAUCAAGUAUGUAGAUGUACACACAACCUAGUGACUAUUUCCAAUAUCAUCAAGAUCCGCAUAAACAUUACGUGAACCACCACUAUUACCUUGAUCAUCAUCACAAGGAGAAUCACCAACAUGCUGGGACAGAACACCUAAACAUGAGGGUAGAGGACCAUCAUGGGUUCGCAUCCACUCAAUGACAUCCAAAAGUUUACCCACUAUGCCCUGAAGCUCACUUACUGUGCCUUUCAACUCACCAACUGUGCCUUGAAGUUCCUCAACCUUUUGCUCUGUGGCAAAAGAAGAGGCAACUCCACCACUAUGCGCACUCUCCACUCGGAGACUAGAACCCAAGCCUCGAAUCCUCUUGCCCUUUACAACCCCAAGCUCUAUAAUCAUGAUCUCUAACUGUUGUGGGAUAGGGAGUGUGACUUGAUCUAGUGGAGUUCCUGAACUCUCUGCCACUUGUUGCUUGGCCUUCUCAUACUCUUCAUUCAUCUUCUUCUACAAAAAGAAGCAAAAUAAAGAUAUGUCAAUAUAUAUAAAUGCAUAAAAAGAAUGAGGUAAAUGGGAUGCCAGUACGAUCAAUUGUGUUCAUAAACUAGCAAUGCCAAUUAUCCUAAUCAAACAGUCACAAACAAAAAUUUCGUUUCAGCUUGAAGCAAAUAAUAAAAGUAAAUUUAGGUUUUACCCAUAAAAAAAUUUUCACUUUUGGAAAAAGCCAAAGCUUUUUCAAAAAAGACAGAAAAACCUCUCAACUUUCAAACCAAAGACAUGCAAAUGUAAAGGAUUCCUUAGGAAAUCAAAAAAUAAAUAAGGGCAAUUUUGUCCAUUUUGGCUUCUUUUAAAAUUUUUCUCUCUCCUUUGGGCUUUUCCAAAGUCUCCCAAUAAUAAAAGGAAAAGGCACAUAAAAAAAUGGAAUAGAUCUCUUUGGAUAUGCAGAUUGCAGAAAGUUAGAAAAUACUCACAGAUCUUAUAAGAUCUUUUUCUGCAUCUCCUGAAAGCAACGACAAUACAAACAAGAAACUUCCAAAAACAAGGAUUAUAAAUAUUUGCCCAGCAACAUGGCCCCCUUAUAAUUGGGCCUAAAUUUUAACUUCUAAGAGCACAACGGGUUAUUCGAACUGAAUUUGUUUAAUAGGAAUUUGGAAUUGGGCCUCCAAAGAGGAAUCGAAGUACAAUUGUAGCAGCUCUGUUUCAAAACAAUCUUAGCAUGCACUUUUUUUGGUCUUCAAUAUAUAAGAUAAUGGAAAAUUUAGAAAACUCAGACACAUCUUCAUUGUGUUUCUAAUUAAUUAGUUCUAUUUGCAAUGGAUAAAGCCAUUAUAUGAUGCUAAAACCAAAGUACACAAUUAGCAUCUAAAAUAAUAGGUCGUCAAAAACUUGCAUGACCAGUCAGCUGAUUUUUUGGAUUGCAUAAUAUGCAAGUCAUUAGUAAAUUGUCAGCAGGUUUAUGUAUUCCUUACCCCUUUAAUUUCAGCAACCUCAUUGAUCCACAUGCUCUUACUCUUAAGAAUAUGCAUGUUGUUCCAAUUGCUAAUGUAUGUAGGAUUUUCACCCUUCUACAUUUUCCCAACAAAAAGAAAAUGAGAAAUACUUGAAAGUAUUACAAUAUAAUAAAUAAAGAAACAUUUAAAGUGACCAAAAGUUAUAAACCUCUCUAGCAGCUUCCAUAUGUUUUAGGAAAGGACGUGACCCGCCUGUAUGAUCAAACUCUUUCUUUUUUCUGUUCUCAGCAUUGGUCUUGCAGCGUUUCUGUUUUGAUUAAAUACAUGAAUUGUUAUGUCUUUUUUUCUAUUUGAUACUUAGAAUAAGUUCCCAAUCAAAAAAUGAAAACUGCAGAUGUUACAUUAGAUACGUGAUAUUGCUCAUUUGUGUAGAACGUAUCAACCAAAUAAUGCCACUCUUCUAGAGUCCUUCGAGUACCAAAUAUCUUUUCAGGGGGAGGUGUUUCUCGUGCAAGAUCAGGGUUAGAAGCAUAUUGCUUAUAGUGUCUGUGGAGCUUUGCUUUCCAUUCUUUAUAAGUUGAGUGCAUAUAGUCAGUAAUAAAUUUCCAUAUAUCCGGAUCCGUUAAGUCCACAUGAAACAUGAACUAAUAUCAAUUAACCAUAAACAAAACAAGUAUUAAUUAUAAUUUUCAAUGCAAAUAGAAACAUUGAAGGACAAAUUUUUCAGUUCACACUAAAAUACAAUGAAGAAUUGAAAUAAAAAGAGAGCUAAAUGAACAAAAUUAAAUUAUAAUCAAUGAAGAAUUAGAUAAGAUUACCUGCAAACCCAAAGCCAUAUCUUUCUUCGUCUCCAAGCUCACUUUUUUCAUCCCUAAAAUAUUCAAGGGAGCUUUGUUGCGAGUGAUUAACCCAAUCUCAGAGACGAACAGUUUUUGAGCCUCAAUAGUCGCCACCAAUUUCUGGGAUGGAUCCAUCCGUAUUGGAAUCAAACUCUUCCUCUUUUUCACAACAUCACAAGUGCUAGCCCCCACAGUUCGGCCACGAGUGUUCUUCCUUUGUGAAGAAGUUUGAGUAUGCGUUCCUUCAUCUAGAAGAAAAACAAUUCUAAAAAUCAAUAACUUGAUUGCACAAAAUAAAAGUAUAAAAAUUAAGGGCACAAAAUAUGGUAUCAGUUACCUUGUUGGCAGGAACCCCCUCCUGAGGCUGAUGAAGCACCUUGUUGUGGCUGAGUUGAUUGUUGUUGUGGCAGUUGACAUGGUUGCUCAAGUGGCUGUGGUGGUAGUAGAGUUGAAGUUUUCUUCUUCUUAUUGUUAUUGUUGCUUAAGGUAGCAGCCCUCGUAAGUGUCAUUCUACACUUACAAACACAUAAACAAAGAGAGAAUACAACAAUAUACUACUAGAUCAUUCCUUGAUAAAAUAAAAAUAAAUGAUUGAACAUCAUACUUCAGCUGUAAUAACAUCAAUUUUCAUCACAAACGUGCUUGAGAUAAAGGAAUUAUUCAUUAAAAAAUGAUUGAACAUCAUACUUUAUCAAUAGGAAAGAAAAAUAACACUCACAUGCAUUUCAUUUACAUGGGAAGGACAUAUACAAACCUUAUCCGAAGAUAUUUCUUUAAUAUACAGACCUUACAGACCUUACCCCUUAAAACAGAUUAAGGAAAACAUAUAGUAACUUGAAGAUAAUUAAGAAACAUAUAGUGCCUAAACAAAAGACAACCUAACACUUCAAUCCAAUUCCAAAUCCUAUAAUCGUCAAUGUGAACACUACCUUCGUCAUCACCGAAAGGUAUUUGUUCAAUAUCAUCGUCAUCAAUAAAAUCUUCAUCCUCCAUAUAAUUUGGGACAUGCACGGACAUGGAGUCUCAUUCUUCUCAUCAACAUGUUGGCUUGCAACUUCCAUAAAUGACUCAAUACCAACACAAUAUUGAUUACUCAACCUGUUUUUAUUGUGUAUCCAAACCCUGUUCAUCUCUAACGCACCUUGUCUCCGUCUUCUUAUACCUCCUAUAAUGGGCCUUCUCCAAUUCAAUCGGUGAUGACUUGAAGCAGUUCCAAAAUUUCAUAACAUGAUUAGAUCGAACACUUAUAUAGAUACAAGCCAAUAACUCUUUCACAUAAUGAUAAGCUAAUAACUGUUUCACAUGAAAAUUAUAAAAAGAGGGAUUCCACAUUAAUUAUGCUUUUCAAGGGUAAGUAUCAAGGUAACAAUAUUUUUUUUUUACGAUUCUUUCAACAUUAUUUUGCAUAAUCUAGUUGAACCCAUGAAACCAGUGAAAAAAAAUGAAGGCAGGUGCAAGAUUUGCAGCUAUUCAUACCUCUAAAGCAAAUAUAGCCUCUUAAGCAAGUAUUUCAAACAACCUAUUGCCCAAAAAAAAAAAAUCAGUUAGACACAGUAAACCCAAGACACAUAGCCUCUUAAACAAAUAUAGCCUCUUAAGCAAGUAAUUCAAACACCCUACUGCAAAAAAGAAAAAGAUAAAAACAAAUCUGUUAGACACUAUUUUUGGAGGGCUUGAGUCCAAAUUAGUCUUCAAACUCAAAAUAGUAUAUGCCUUCGCCUCUAAGUUUCACCACUCAUCAUUAAACAAAAAAAUUAUUUUUCUGAGUUAACUCAAAACAGUAACAUAAUAAGACAUCACAGGAAGCACCAAAUAUCCAAGAUAAAAUUCUCAACAUAAAACCAAAUGGUUCAAAGUAAUAUUGUAAUCAACACAUCCACUUUAUACAGUGAUAACAUGUACAAUGAAUAAAGUCAGGCUUAAGGUCACAUGUCUCUCAUGUAGUAUAUGAAUUAUCCGAAAUUAAUAAUUAGGCUCUUCAUCUCAAUUCCAAAACAAAUUAUUAUUCUUUAUAGUUCUUAAUUAUAUAUGCCCUAAAUGAUUAUAAAAAUCAUUUCAAAUUAACAAAAAUUUACCCUUGAAGCUAAUUGAAUGACCUUGCGUAAAAUUCAAGCUACCAAUGAUCAUCACAUAAAGCCAAAAUGGUUUGUUAAAAAAGAAAAAAAUGUGGCUGGAAGAGCUUGAAAAGGAUUUCCAAAACAAUCAAACCAACAUUGAAGGAUGAUACUCCAUCAGUUAAAUUCUAUUGUCCAAUUAAGUGGUACUACACUUAGACACCAAUACUAAGGGAAAUAAAAAUAAUUGCUAAACUGACGAGUUAAUCUAUGGGAUGAUGAACCUGCAGCUAGCUUAUAUAUAAAAUAUAGAGACAACUCUGCAGCUAGCUUAAUCUAAACUAUAAAGAUAACUCAAUAAGCUACAUUGGCAAAAAAAAUCAAUAAUAAUAACCACACCAAAAAAAAAAAAAAAAAAAAAAAAGAAGAAGCUCAUAGACAAAGGCAAAGGAACCUUGAAACGAAUACACACCCACAUGACCAACUUCCAACUUCUAACUUUUUACUUCAAUUAUAUAAAUGAAUUGUUAUAUUCUUUCUUCCAACAGAUAGUAAAGAAAUUCAGAUUUAAUCCAGAAGUAUCAAGCAAACAUUCAAGACUUGGAAAAUAAUCAAUCAGACUCAAAGCAUUAAAACUAAAAAACUGAAUUAACUAUUGGGUACGUCUGCAAGUGAAACAUCUCAAAUUUGACACAGAACCCACAUCAAAUGCAAAACAAGGCAUUCAUAUCAGACACAAAACCCUACUCAAAUUUGACAUAGAACCCACAAUAACCACUUGAAAAAUAAACGUCAUUGUAUUCAGAAAACUUGAACAGUUGAAUGUUCAAGCAUUUAAGAUAUCAAAAAGGAAAAAUCAAGCACUGAAAUUCAGUUUCGAUUUAAAUUCCUGGGUAUCUAUUUCCGAUUUUCCUUGAUUAUUUUCUCAACAACCAAAUAGAAUCUACAACUGAAAAUCAGCGAUCAAAAGACAAUGAAUGUAAGCUAGACAAGGUAGACUCACCAGAAGCUUUCGUUGAAACACACAGUGAGGAGGACUUAGGAGAUGGAGUUUUCGUAUGGCCGUCGAUUCCUGACCGUGGUAGGGAAAGGCAUGCGAGAUGGAGGAUUGCUCUGCCGACGUCGGUGGAGGAUUGCUUUGCCAAUGUGAGAGCAGGGGAGAGUGGGUCUGCGAGGAACUAACGAGUAAGGAACUUUUUAUUUUUAUUUUUAUAUUUAUACUCUCUAGAUUAGCCCCAAAAACUGUUUGGUCGUCAUAUGCUAACAUACAUAAAACAACGUCGGUUUAUGGUUCAAGCACAAUGAUCUGCGACGAAAAACAAAUGGUCGCUGACCCCCGAAAUUUUUAAGCGCCAAUUAUAACUUAGCGACAACACAUUAAAACUUAGCGACCUAAUAUUUUCGUCGCCAAAACUUUUAGAGUUUCGCACGCACCCAAUUCAGUAAAUCGCGAUCAAAUAUAUGUUUGGUCGCCAAGUCCUUACCUAACCACCAAAAACUUUCGUUGCCUUUAGUUGAUAAAUUAGUCGCUAUUUUGUUGACUCAAGUCAUGAUAGGUGUCUAAAAAUCACGAACUUUUUGGUGACUAACUAGAAAAUUUUCAUAGCCGAUGCCCUUUUUGGCAACCAAAAUAUAGUGCGUCGCUAACAAUUUCGUCUCAAAAGAGGUUUUUCCUUGUAGUGUAUCCCACAUUCUCUAUACUCUGAUGUUCAUUUUCGAGCGAGAUAUAGAAUGCAAUCCCAUUUGUUCAAUAAAGUCAUGCAUAAUAUUUGCAAUUAUGAUGAAUACUUCGUUCAAAAGAAAAAUUGUGCUGGAAAUUUGGGACUUCUUCCCGAGCAAAAGUUCAUAGAUGUGAUACGAAUGUUGGCGUAUGAGUCAUCUGCUGAUCAGGUGGAUGAGGUUGCCCGGACAGGGAAGUCCAUUAUUUUGGAGAGUUUGGUGCGAUUUUGUGAUGCAGUGGAAACUCUGUACACUAGAGACUACCUGUGCAGACCUACGCCCAGGGACCUGUAAUGGCUUCUACAAAAAGCUGAGUCUCGUGGAUUUCCUGGAAUGAUUGGUAGCAUUGACUGCAUACAUUGGCAAUGGAAAAAUUGUCUAACUGCUUGGCAAGGGGAUUACGGAAAUAGGAAAGGGCAGAAAAGUAUCAUCUUGGAAGCAGUUGCUGGUUUCGAUACAUGGGUUUGGCACGCCUUCUUCGGAGUUGCCGAAUCUCAAAACGAUUUGAACGUCCUGGGUCAAUCCCCGGUGUUCAAUGAUGUUUUGAGAGGUGAAGCCCCAAAUAUCACAUAUGAAAUCAACAAUACCAUCUACCAGAACGGGUAUUAUCUAGCUAAUGGCAUCUACCCGAGGUGGAUAACAUUUGUGAAAUCAAUUCCACAUCCCCGAUCCCAUAAGUAAAUUUUUUUGCUGCCUAUCAAGAGGGAUACAGAAAAGAUGUGAAGAGGUGCUUUGGUAUCCUUCAAGCCCGGUCCGCUGUUAUUAGGGUCGCGGCGCGUCUAUUUGACGAGGAGGUGCUUAGGAGUAUAAUGAUGACUUGUAUCAUCCUCCACAACAUGAUUGUGGAAUAUGAGUAUGAUUACGAUGCUGAUGAAGUGUAUGACCAGAUCCCAUGGACACGGCCCUAACACGAAUUUAUGAAAAACCCAUAGGGCCAAAUGGAGAGCCAGUGCAGCAUGAACCGUUAGUUAGAGACGGUAGUUUCAUGCCCCGUAUAAUUGAUCGCUACACGGAUAUGCAAUCGUCGUAUAUUCAUGAACAUCGUCAAGUUGACUUGAUGGAGCAUUUAUGGGUAGUGAAAGACAAUAAAGGUGAAUGAAGUGAAGUGAAGAUGUUUUUUUAAUUUAUUAUGUUUAUGUUGUAUUUUUAGUUAUGCUUUAUUUUUUUUAUCCUUUAGUUGUGAUUUGUUUAUUUUUUUAUGCUUUGGUUGUGGUUUGCUUUUUAUGUAUGGAAUGUUUUGAAUAAAAAGUAAUUUUGUUGAAUAUUUUCUUUAUUCACUAAAAGAAAAUCAAUACAACUAAUAAAAUAAAUCAUCCUGUUCUAGAGCUAAAACCAUAGCUGUCCCAAAUUCAAACAUAAUUAUCAUUAAACUAAAACCAUACAGCUAUUAAGUUUUGAAUAGAGAACUUGAUCUGGAAAUGAGAAUUGACAUAGGAACAAGCUACAAGAAGGAAAAAUCUUAAAUUUAUUGAAUUUAUAAAUAUUACAACAGACAAAUUAAUUGAAUCAAUUCAAUAAGAAAUUGGACAGCUGAAAACAAGUCAAAAUGGUCCAGCUAUGACAUGAUACUAGUACAUAACACUUGUCACUCAAAUUGAUUCCACAAAUUGACUAAAGAAAGAUAAAUAAACAAAGGAGCUGAAAAUCUAUUGAGAAAAAUGCACGCAUAUUGCAUAAUAUGAACAACUAUUGAAAGCAACGUAUCUGAAAUUAUUGUUUAGAUAUCUGAAGGUAAGCCAUCUAAGUCUCUUUUUUUAUUGGGCAAAGAGAUUAUCCAUAAGAUGAAAGCAAACAAACAGUAUAAACAUGAAGCCCAAAGAAAGGCGGGAAACACCUCCUGCAACCAAACAGCCAAGAGAAAAAGACGGCUAUCUGAGUCUAUCCACUAAAUACAGAAGGAUCGAGUCUGGUUAAACCAAGCCCUUGUAAAGACAUGAGUACCUUGUUUAUCUUCAUUUGUUCAUCUUCCCCAAAAACAAAAAACGUGAGAAUCAGGCAUAGGAGGGUGGGAUUUUUUUAUGGGGUUUGGUAUUUAUAUCACCCACUCAAAAGUCUCACACAAUACACCAUUUAACGAAAUACCUCAAAAUCGAUAAGUUUUUUAAUACCAACGUACUUUUUCUAAUCUUUUAAAAGUCCUAAUUGAAUACCACAAGACUUGAAUUGAUUAUUUCAGAGUUUUUCUAUUUAAACCUCAUACUUUUUUUUGUUCACCUCAAUACUUAAAUCAUUAAGCUUUUAAGUUUUAUUAUUGUGUAAAAAGACAAAAAAGAACAUCCAACUUAUUAUUGUAUUUAAACCCCAUACUUUUCUUUGGUUGCUAAUUGCUCAAAUUAAGAACAUAAUUUACUGCUAUCAACAAAAAUAAAAAUAAAAACCACUGCGUGCAAAGUCCAGGUAAUCAACAAGCUCUCUCGUGACUGCUCUUCAUUUGUCAUUCAUGAAGACAUAAAGAUACCCACUUGUAAUUCUAUCGCCAUUAUCUUCUUGACUACUUGUCUUCUUCUUUUUCAAGGAGACUAAUCUUUUUAUUUGUCUUCUCUGAAUUUAUAAUUGUUUCCUUGAAGUUGCUGUUAUCUGGGUUUUUUUAUUUUUCUUUAUGGUAUAUAUUUGAAAGGAUCCUCUGCAGUUGGUUCAGUAUUUCUUUAAGUUUUGGUUACAUUUUCCUUUUCUUUGGGGUUCUUAUUAUCUGGGUUCUUGGUGAUUGUUAAUUGUAUUUGUGCAAAUGGGUUUCUAGAGGUUACGUUAAGUAUUUUUUAUUAUUUUUUCUUAUUGCAUUAGUUUUUAUUUUAUUUAUGUUCUUAAGGAUUCUAGUAAUUACUAACUUAGGUGCUUAAAUUCAUAGUGUUAAUUAUGCAAUUUGUUUUCAUUUGGUUCUGGACGACUAAGAUAAAAAUUGGUGGCUUGAGCCAAGUGUGGCUGUGGAAAUUGAUGGAAGCCUAAGAAAAGAAUGAGGAGAGUCGUUUCAGAAGAUGGACCAAGAAAAGACUGAGGUGCCUAAAACUCCUCCAGCACUAAACACCCGGAGAAGGGCUCCGGUUGCUUCUGGUCGACAUAACACCACACAGAAGGAGAAAGUGGGGUGUCAGGUUGUUGAAAUUUUUUUAAUUAUUUUUUCUCAUGGGUGUGUAUUUAGGGGUAGUUUGAGAAGACAUUGAGGUUUACUUAGAAAUUGUGAAAAUUUGAAUUAAAAAUGGGAGAUUUUGGAAAAGUCCAAAGGAGAGAGAAAAUUUUUAAAAGAAGCAAAAAUGGACAAAAUUGCCCUUAUUUAUUUUUUGAUUUCCUAAGAAAUCCUUUACAUUUGCAUGUCUUUGGUUUGAAAGUUGAGAGGUUAUUCCGUCUUUUUUCAAAAAGCUUUGGCUUUUUCCAAAAGUGAAAGUUUUUUUAUGAGUAAAACCUAAAUUUACUAUUAAAAAUUGGGGUGAACUUAGAAUAUGAGGAAAAGAGAAGUGCGAGGUUUAAAUAGAAAAACUCUUAUUUAAAAUUCUUAAUUGAAUACCACCAAAUUUUUAUUGAUUACAUAAAAAUCCUAAUUGGAUACCACUGAACUUUUAAGCUUCAAAACAAUCUAUUAAAAUCUCAAUUGAAUACACAUAAAUUGCAUAAUGGACAGAUAGAUAAAUACUUGAUACCAAUCUCAUUCGAUACAGGCAUAGAUACUUCACAAAAAUCUCAUCUGCUAAUAUGUAGAUGCCACCUAUGAUCCCAACUACUAGGUUGGUCCACUACUAAAUUAUGAAAUUUGUCAGCAGAGGAGAGAAAUAAUAAAGAUGAUAUUAUUGAAAUUUCCUGUUGGUUAGAUUCUGUUAAAUUUCCCAACUUCUGUCACAUUUAAUUUUUCUAGUGUAUGUGUAUGUGUACGCUGCUGCUCUUCCGCUUCAUGAUGAUGAUUUGCACGACUGGUAAGUAUCAGAUUGGUAAAAAAUAAUACUUCAUUCUUCUUAAUAUAUAACAAAUAGGAAGGUUAUAUAUACAGAGCCUAGGAAACUAUUCUAGGAAAGUAAUUAUGUUCCUAUAAUCUUGCAUAAUCAAAUAGUUGACUUAGACUAAUUAGGAAUGUACAGCUCAUUGACACUCCCCCUCAAGUUGGAGCAUAUAUGUCAUCAAUGCCCAACUUGCUAAGUGAGUUGUGAAAUACCCUGCCUGUGACUGCUUUGGUAAGGACAUCUGCAAGUUGAUCUUCGGAUUUAACAAAUGAUACCUUAAUGAUCUUUGCCUCGAGCUUCUCCUUGAUGAAAUGUCUGUCAACUUCAACAUGCUUGGUUCUAUCAUGUUGCACUGGAUUAUGUGCAAUGUCUAUUGCAGCUUUGUUGUCACAAUUCAGUUGCAUGGCAUGUUUAGGUUUGAACCCCAAUUCCUCCAACAAAUUCCUUAUCCAGAGUAGCUCACAUACUCCGUGUGCCAUACCUCGAUAUUCUGCUUCAGCACUUGAUCUUGACACUACUUUCUGUUUUUUACUUCGCCAAGAUACUAGAUUGCCUCCUACAAAGGUAAAGUAUCCCGACGUAGAUCGCCUGUUAGUAACAGAGCCCGCCCAGUCUGCAUCAGUGUGACCCUCAACAUCUAGAUGACCAUGUCGUGCGAACAUCAAUCCUCUUCCAGGAGAUGACUUCAAGUAUCUCAAAAUUCGGUUUACCGCAUCCAUGUGGGCUUCACUUGGUGCAUGCAUGAACUGACUCACCACACUUACAGCAUAUGCUAUAUCAGGUCUAGUGUGUCCUAGAUAGAUUAACUUACCCACAAGGCGUUGAUAUCUUUCUUUGUUGGUGGGUACUUGAUCAGGAUAUUCACCAAGCUGAUGAUUCAACUCCAUUGGCGUAUCUGCUGGUUUGCUGGCUAACAUUCCAGUGUCAGUCAAAAUGUCAAGGAUAUAUUUCCGUUGUGAUAGAAAUAUUCCUUGUUCUGAACGAGCCACUUCGAUGCCUAGGAAAUACUUCAGAGCACCAAGAUCUUUCAUUUCAAACUCACUUGCCAAGUGGUGCUGCAAUGCUGCCUUUUCUAUUGGGUCAUUCCCGGUAACUACCAUGUCAUCAACAUAUACAAUAAGGGCAGUGACUUUACCUUUCUUAUGUUUCAGGAAAAGAGUAUGAUCUGAGUUACUUUGCUUGUAUCCAAAAUCCUUCAUUGAUUUGCUGAACUUUCCAAACCAUGCUCUGGGUGACUGCUUCAAGCCAUAAAGAGACUUUCUCAGUUUACACACCAUGUUGCUAGUAUUGGGCCCCAUCUUGCAUCCUGGAGGGGAAUCCAUAUAGACUUCUUCUUCUAGGUCGCCAUGCAGGAAGGCAUUUUUGACAUCAAACUGGUGUAAUGGCCAGUUUAGGUUUGCUGCCAGAGAAAGAAGUACCCGAAUUGUGUUUAUCUUGGCUACAGGGGCAAAUGUCUCCCCAUAGUCAAUCCCAUAAGUCUGAGUAUAACCUUUCGCCACCAGUCUUGCUUUGUAUCGUUCAAUGGUGCCAUCUGCCUUGAACUUUACUGUAUAUAUCCAUCUACAACCCACUGUUCUCUUCCCUUUGGGAAGGAUAGUCAUCUUCCAAGUGGAAUUCUUCUGGAGGGCCUCCAUUUCAUCAUUCAUCGCUUGAGUCCACUUGGGAUCUUUCAGAGCUUCCUGCACAUUACUUGGAAUAGAUACAGUGGAUAAUUGACAUACAAAUGAUGCACAUGACGGAGACAACCUAUGUAGGGACACAUGAUUAGCAAUAGGGUAUUUAACUUUUGUUUUUGGGUCCGGGUCAUACUGUUGUCUAGGAAUCCCUCUAGUGGUACGAAUAGGUAACUGAUAACCUGUGUUUCCUGUAUGACUCGACUCAUGUAAAGUGCUUAAGUUGGAGUUUAAAUGCUCAGUUACCUGCGCGGAAUCUUCAGGACCUGAUUGGAUGAUUGGUGAUGGUACUGUAGUAGGAGGGAAAUUAUCUGAACCAUCAUAUGGAGUUUCCAGUAACUCUUGAUCUUGUUGUACUACUGUAGCUGGUUGCUCGGACACUGACUGCUCUAAAACAGUUUGUUGAAUUUGGAUGCUCUGAGUAUCUUCUGCAAAGAUAGAGCUCUCCCCCUGCAGAGGAUGCUCAGAAACUCCCCCUGAGUAAUAGAACUCACUCUCGUGGAAAGUCACAUCGGCGGUAACAUGCAUGGUCUGAGUAGGAGGAUGGAAACACUUAUAGCCCUUCUGAGUGUCAGCAUAACCCACAAAGACACAACGCAGUGCACACGGAUCAAGCUUGCCACGCUGAUGUGGAUACACCUGAACAUAAGCAACACAACCAAAGACACGUGGUUCGAGAUUUGGUGUGGAUGGCAUGGUGAGGAGAGUGGUCAAUGUCUGAAAUGGAGUUUGAUACUGAAGAGUGCUAGAUGGUGUUCUAUUAAUGAGGUAAGCAGCAGAACAAAGAGCCUCCCCCCAAAAAUGAUGAGGCAUACGGGCCUCAAAUAAAGAGGCACGAACAACCUCCAAGAGAUGACGAUUCUUACGCUCUGCGACGCCAUUCUGUUGUGGUGUAUAGGCACAUGUGGUUUGAUGAACAAUUCCAUGUUGACUUAAAAAAUUAUGUAGGUCAUGGUUGACGUACUCUCCUCCAUUGUCAGACCGAAGCGUAGUGAUUUUCUUGUCAAAUUGAGUAGCAACAUAUUGAUAAAAUAACUUGAAUUUGGCGGUGACAUCACUUUUCUGCUUUAAGGGAAAAACCCAGGUCAUCCGGGUGCAAUCAUCAAUAAAUGUCAUAAACCACUUAAAACCGCUAAUAGUGGGAACUCGUGAUGGUCCCCAAACAUCAGAAUGGACAAUCAUGAAAGGCAAAGAACUUUUAUUCAAUCUUAAUGGGUAAGAAAUACGAUGACUUUUGGCCAAAAUGCAAGUUUCACAAUGAAAGUCUGAUUCAGCAAACUGGGAAAACAAAUCUGGAAAUAAAAGUUUCAGAUAACCAAAAGAAGCAUGACCUAAUCGUCUAUGCCAUAGCCAAAUUUUCUUCAUCCUGAUAGACUCAUCUCCUCUCACAUGAUGUGUCUGACUCAAUCUUGUACUGCUGUCUUCUGUCAAGUCCAGAUAAUACAACUUUCCCCUCCUAGUACCACAUCCAAUCACGGUCCUGGUGAGAAGAUCCUGAAAUAGACAAUACAAUGGCCAAAAACACACGGUACAAUUAAGGGAAUCAAUGAUUUGAGGAACAGAUAACAAGUCAUAGUCGAGUGAAGGGACAACUAAGACAUGAUCAAGACUUAAUGAAGAUGUAAGAGAUAAAGACCCUUCUCCCAUAACUUGGGAGGUGGUUCCAUUGGCACUGGUAAUAUGUGUUUGGCUUGAUGGUUUGGUAGAGUGCAACCCAGUAAAACUAGAUGUCAUGUGAUCAGUGGCGCCAGUGUCAAUAAUCCAUGAUCUAUUACAAGUAAGUGAAGAUGUGCAAGAGGUACCUGAGGUGGCCAAGGCCUUGGAGCCAUAUGUACCUGAUGGAGGUUCUGAUGCAGUCUCCUCGGAUGACUGAGCGAAUGCAAAUGAGGCUCUGGUAGAAUCCUUUUUCCGCGCUUUGUGGACCCAUCCUUCUGGAUAACCAAUGAUCUCAUAACAGCCCUUAAUGGUGUGGUUAUCUAAACCACAUUUGGUACACUUCAUUGGAGGCCGGUUACGAGUAGGGUCGACACUAUAGUUGUUCGGCCGAGAUUGUUUGGACCUUGCAGUAGCCAAGGCUGUGGCUUCGGAGGUUACACCAACUUCAGACAUGGUUCCCUGUCGGUUACUCUCUCUUUUAAUAUGUGCAUAUGCGGCCUCCAGUUCGGGUUUUGGCUCCAUCCGCAAAAUCUCUCCUCGGAUUUGAUCGAAAUUAUUGUACAAACCUGCAAGAAAUAUAUAAACUCGGAGACGAUCAACCUCUUUGCGUCUAGUCUCAAUGUCUUUCGGAUGCUCCAUGGUGCUUGGACUUAAUUGAUCAAGCUCCUGAAAAAUCUCAAUGAGCUCACUGUAAUAUUUGGCAACUGAUGCGCCAGCUUGCUUCAUUAUGAAUGACCGUCUGUGAAGGUCAUAAAUCUUGGCUUCAUCAGCACCAUCUGAAUAGGUUUGCUUGAUUGCAGCCCAGACUUGCUUUGCUGUGUCAUAACGAAUAAAUCGUUUAAUCUGAUUAGGUUGCAUGGCGUCGAACAACCAACUCUUGACUUGGCAAUCCGAUGCACGCCAUUUAUUAAAUGUGGGAUCUGUGUCUGCAGGUUGGGCAAUAUCACCGGUCAAGUGGCCAUGUUUUUCUCGCCCAGCUAUCUUCAUCUCUAUGAUUUGAUGCCAUAGAGAAUAAUUAUUCUCAUCCAGUUUGAUUCCUGCGGAGAAGUUGGAGGUGUCACUCUGCAAAGUGACGAUUUGUGUGGUAGUUUUGGAGCCUCCCGACACCAAGGAUUGAUUGGUGUUUGCUGACCCAUCAUCGUUGGCCAUGAUAUUGGCUGACACCCAAUGAAAAAAGGACAAAAAAGAAAUAUCAAGUUGAGGAAAAGCAAGUGCACGGUGGACAAAGGCAAUAAGACAAACUGUUUUGCAAUAAGAAAUAUUGGGUUGAAAGGGAAAAAAAAAGAACAAUAUGGGAACGGUUUGAAUGGGUCUGUGAGUGGAAAGUGAUUUGCAAUAUUGCAAAACGUGAUUUGACUAGAGGAAAGGUUUGAAUGGGUUUGUAAGAUGGAAUAUGGGUGGUAUUGGUGCUGGGUUUGUGAGAUGGAAUAUUGCUUUUGGUGCUGGUGCUGGUGCUGCGUAAUAGAUGGAAUAUUGCAAAACGGUGAUUUGAGAUGGAAUAUGGGCUGGUGCUGGGUCUGUAUGACGGCUGUUGCUGCGGAAGCGAUUAGGGUUAGGGCAAGAGACAGUCAAGAUUGACUGCUCUGAUACCAUAUCAGAUUGGUAAAAAAUAAUACUUCAUUCUUCUUAAUAUAUAACAAAUAGGAAGGUUAUAUAUACAGAGCCUAGGAAACUAUUCUAGGAAAGUAAUUAUGUUCCUAUAAUCUUGCAUAAUCAAAUAGUUGACUUAGACUAAUUAGGAAUGUACAGCUCAUUGACAGUAAGUAUUGGCGUCGGCCACCAUGGGAGCACAAAAGGAAAGACUGGGAAGACAGAUCUCCCUCCCCAUCUUAAACUGAAAGGUGUGAAUUGAGUGGUCUAAGUGGUAUCCUUUAACGUUCUUGCACCAAUGUUGUACAUGACAAUGCGACCAAACAAUUGUAGAUACAAGACAUCCUCAUUAUUUGGAUCAAAAGCUAGCACCAAAACCCUUUUUGUCCUCCCAUGGUGCUCAUCGUUCCACUUUUUGGUAAGAGGAUUUGCCGAGAUUAAGUCGAACAUGCGAGCUGUGUCUACCAAACACCAUUUUGCAGUCUCCUUGACUUGACCAUGACCUUUCCAAUCCCAAUCCCAAACACCAUGACCAUCGUCUUUCAACUCCCAAACACUCACAGCACCUAGAGUGUGAGCAGGAUCAUCAUGAUCUAAAUUGGUAGAGGAGAAGACGCACAUCCGCAGACACCCUUCUCCUCCUCCUCCACACUCACUUAGGAAGUCAAACCUUCGAGAUUCGAUUUCAGGCUUAUCAAUGUAACGAAAGACAUAUAUACUAUCACCAAGCUGGUCACGAGGAGAGUAGAGAUCCAACCCAAUAGUAAAGCCCUCAACAUCCCUCCACCAAUACAAGCUUCCAUUGUGAGCAACCCCGGGAUAGGGAGCCAAUUUGCUAAAACAAAACCUCCGUGGGUUAUUUACAAGUCCUUUGUCCAUUGACCUGUCUCAGAAGAAAAGAUCUCCAGCUAGAAUUCGCUGGAAACCUCCGGAAAGUCCAAUUUAUCGUCAUUUAUUCGCACAACCUUGUUGUAUGCUAUAGGAUCACUAUAUUAUUGCACAAUUCUUAAAAUAUAAACAGUAGCAAAAUUAUGAAAUCUGUAUGAAUGUGCAAAUAUAUAAAUUAAGUACAGAAACUGACUUUUAUUGAAGAUAGAGGCUUGCGUAUUUGCAAUGUCCUAAAGACAGAAUUUAGCCUCUUCUCAGUGCUUGAAGUUCAACAGGCGUCUAUCUCCCAGGAUUCAACUAUCUAUAAUUCAAGGGUUGGUGUGCCUCUCUCCAAUACAGUUGGUAACUUUAAAAUAAUAUGAGCAGUUAGUAUCCGUUAUACCUGUUCAAAUUCAAACAAAAAGAUAAGUCUUUCUGGUUUGAAUUUAACUUCUGCCAAAGAAAUCCGAAAAAUAAAAAUAAUUAUUUUAUUUUCGGGCUAGGUAUAUUUCUUUUAUUUUCCAGAGACCCAAGGCCCAAGGCCCAAGUCUUGAUUAUUUAAAUAUUAAUAUUAAUCAAGCAAGCCAAUCAUGAUAGUCUUUACUACCAAGCCCAUCAGCCCACCAAUCCUUAUUUAAUUGAUGUUAAGGUUUCAUGCUUAUAAAGCAUAUGGAAUUUUUUGUUUUCUCCAAUGUGGGACAUUUGCUUUCAAACUUCCAACAUACUCAACAUUAAUAAGAUUAUGAUUAAGCUGAAUAUUGACACUCCUCCUACUAGAUCUUUCUAGAUCUGCUGCUUGCUUUCGAUAGUAGGGAUCGCAUAUGAAUCCAACCAUUACGCACUUGUGGCAUCCUCCUGAUCCACGUCGAGGUCCACGUCGGGGGGGAGAGGGAGAGCAUCCCAUUGCUUGGUGUAUGGAUUGCAGAUGUAGUAAUCACGUUGAUAAUACGUGGUUGCACAACACAAAAUUAAAUCAUUAUAUGCUCCUAUCACAACUGGCUCACCUUUAUAAGGAUCAACAAUAUCAGCUUGGAAACAAGGGAGGAAACUCAGAGACAACUCAUGUUCAUGUGGUUGAUGAUCAGGCUCCGAUGACAUGGAAAAAAAAUUUCCUCUCACAUGGUUCAUCUUCAUCGGGCUGCUCCGAUGAUGACGUGGAAAGAAAUGUACUUCUUCUUCUUGUUGUACGCCUUCUAUCCGAGAUGGUUAUAGCACGUGCACGUGCACGUGCAAUGAUGUGGUUUUGGUUGCCACUUUGGAUUUGGAAAUAGUGUCGAAAAAAAUAAGGAUCAAAGAUGAGACUGAACCAACGUUUGGAGACACACAUGCAUCGAGCCGCACACUUAGGAGGGAGUCGGGAAAGAAUUUCUAGCAAAACAAACUCAGGGAGAUCAUCAAGACUAAUAUUCAUGGUUAUGGCUAACUCUUUCGAUAUUGGUUUUUCGGGUGCUCACCUUUUUGAUCUUUUUAAUGGAGACUGAUGAUGAUCAGAGGCUUCUCCAAUAGGUUUGGAUUGGGAUAUUCUACUGCUCCAACUCCUUUUGGUAGCACCAGGUCUCAUCAUGGCGCCGAUUGAUCCGUGUGCAGUUUGACUGACUAUUGCAAUUUGCAGAGAGGAUUUGGGUCUUGAAACAUACAUAGCUACUUAUCCUACUUUUAAUCACUAUAUAUAUAGGAACACAUAUAUAUAUAUAUAUAUAUAUAUAUAUUUUAUUUUUUUUUUUUGGGGGGUCGAAAAUAGGAAAAGAUAUCUAUAAAAAUAAAAAAAAGGCAAGCAAUCACUAAUUAUUAAUUUAUAAAUAGGAAAGAAAUCCUCAUACGAAUAGGAAUUAAUUUAUAAAGGAAAUAUAUAUAUUUUUUUUUUGGGGUCGAAAAUAGGAAAAGAUAUCCAUAAAACAAAUAGGCAAGCAAUCACUAAUUAUUAAUUUAUAAAUAGGAAAGAAAUCCCCAUACGAAUAAGAAUUAAUUUAUGAAGGAAAUAUAUAUAUUUAUAAGCCCUGCAAAUUUGGCAAGUUUUUCAAUAAAGAAAAUGCUAAUCACAAUCGCAAACCGUUGAUUAAAAUGAACCUCAUUAUCGCAGUUUUUACUGAUGCAUGCAUUGAAGGCUGUAUAUCGAAUUUUUAUAAAUUAAUUGAUUACAGACCACACAUAAGUAAUUUCUGAUCGUUGAUGAAAUGCUAGCCCCUCAUGCAUCAAUGGUCUAAAAUCACUUACUCGGGUGAAAGUGACUGACCGUAGCACACCCCAUUGACCUUUUCUUUCUUCUUAUCAAAGUUCAAACUCAAAGUGUUUAUAGUGGGUUACAUAAUGGGCUGCACAACCCUUCCAGAUUGUUUAGUAUUUCUUCGGGCUUGUGCUUUAAGAAUGGUAUUUCUGAGAAAUGUUAAACCACAAGGUAUGGGCAACCACCCAUUGCCCAUUACAAAGAAAAGUCCAUUGGGCUUAAUUGUGGGGUUCAUACUUUACAUUGAAGGGAAUCAAAAUUGAAGUUUAAGAUUAAGACCUACACUUGCCCUCCACUUUCUUGACUGCUUGUGCUUGAUCAGGCAGGCAGGCUGGUGUGUAAGUAGAUUUUUAUUUAUUUAUAGGUCACUUUACAGUAAGAUGCUAAAUAAGUUGAGGAUAGAUAGAGACGGUGGGAGGACACUAUGAUGAAACUGAAAAUUUUAAUGGGGUGGGGAUGAUUAUUACUCCUACAUGCUCUCAUGAGUACUAGGACUGCAAUUGUAUGCCCUUUUGGUGAAAUGGGCCUCUAUAUUCAUAAAGACUACCAAAUUUUCAAGAACAGCUUUUGCUGCUAGAGAACCUGUUGCCCCUAUAUCUGGUCUCAAUUAAUUGGGUUAGUUAGUUCAUAAUAUAAAUGCACGUGAAUGCAUUACUUGGAUGGAUGAGGAAGAUGGCAAGAAAACACACUCAGCUUACUUCUGAUGAAACGGAAUUGAAAGAAAAGAAAGUUUUGGUGAGGUUUUAAAUUGUCUUGAUUUGGCAGGGGACGACCCAUUAGUGUAGUGGUUUGGAGUAAUUGCUCUUGAGGCAAGGUUCUGAGUUCAAAUCCUAACAUCCGUUUUGUGUGUGAGUUUAGUAUAUUAUCGUCUCUCUCAACAAGAAAGGUCCUUCAAAAAAUGUCUUGAUUUGUAGCUAGCUGUGCUCUUUAUUGAAUGAAUAGGUAAUGAAGCUUUAAAACUGGACCAAACUUAACGCUGAAAUUACAAGAUAGCUUUUGCUCCUAGAGGCCCUUCUACCCUCUAUCUGGUCCCAAUUAAGUUGGUUGUUUGUAUAAUAUAAAUGCUUAUUAAUAAUAUACAUGCAUUGGGUGGAUGGUUAAAAAAAACAGAGUUACUCUGUUACUCAAACUUUGAUAGUUCAAUUCCACAGCAUACUGGGAUUAAUUGGAGACGACAAAACUACAGUUAAUAUACCUUCUGGCUUCACAAACGACAUAGAAAUGGAACAUUUUGAGGUUAAAGGUUGAUGCGCGUUGGCAGCUCAGAUCAUGACAAUCAAAUAUCAAAUCUGGAAGUUGAUUUUGUUCUUUUUGCUCCACUUUCUUUUGUGCAAUGUACAGUAUAAGAUGGGCGCAAAGGAAACCCACAUAGCUGUAGUUUUGUGUAUAACCAUCCAAGGAAGGGAAAAAAGAAAAAGUUAUUGGUCAAAAAGAUAGAGACCCCAGCUUCCCCGCAAUUGAAGUUGAAUGACAUUUUGCUUUUUACCAACUAUUUACUCUUGUGGAAAAUGCAUACAGUGCAUGCCGCCUGGUCUGGCCAUAUUGAAAACUUGAAAGCAACCUUGAUCUCAGUCUCCUUCCUUUGUCUUUUACAAUAUGACUAUGAGCCUGCUAGGAGCUAGCCUAGGGCUCAAGGCUUAGGUGAGCGUAGGUGAUGACCUUGUUAUGAACGAGCCUGAAUGAACAAAUAUGAACUAUUUUGCAGAAAUAAGACCAACCAACUUUGCAAAUUAAAGAGUUAAAAUAAGACAAAUGCUCUUAUAAGCAGAAGCUACCAUCAUAUACACUUUAUUGACUGUUUGUUUCAACUCAAGUAGUCCACAAACUUCAGCUUUUUCAAAGCAUGAACAUUAAGCACUUAUGAAAAACCAGAGACAACAGAUACAUAAUUAAAUAAACAUUACAAAAACCCUUCAUAAAAUAUUCUAUUUUUCUUGUGUUUUUAACUCCCACUUGAAUAUAUGAUCUGAGGAUAAAUAUAUCAAACACAGCAAAGCGGUACUAAUCAAAACAAGUCUCAGCUUAUGGCACGAACUCUUCUUCACUCUCUUGGAACUGAUCCUCGUUCUGGUUCACAUUGUUGUUGCCAUAGUUACCCCUGUUGUUGUACCAGUGUCUUGAAUCCACUACCCUUGAAUUUUCAUACUGGUUCUGAUUGUAGUUGUUCUCGCUCUGAGCGUCAUAGUAGUACUUUCCAUUCUCCAAAAACCUUGUGUCACUCAUGCCCUGCUUCUCAGCAUUGUAGUAGUUGUUGCUUUGGUAAUUGGUUGGGGUUGUGUAGCUGCUCUGUGUAAGCCUUGCAUCACUCAAGCCCUGCUUCUCCCCAUUGUAGUUGUUGCGGGUGUUUUGGUAAUUGGUUGGGGUUGUGGUUGUGGUGUAGCUGCUCUGUGUGAACCUUGUGUCACUUGGGUUGCUCUCAAAAUUGCCAUUGUAGUAAAAGUUGUUCUUGUUGGGGCGGUAUUGGGUGCUGUAGGUCUCAGGGUACUUGUUGGUGUGCUGCUGCUCUUUCUCUGACUCAGCUGUAUAUGGCAGGUUGUUGUUGUUGGUGGUGAAUUGUGCACCAUUGGUGGUGGUGUAGGGUGCACCGGUGGUUGUGGUGGUGUAGGGUGCACCGGUGUUUGUGGUGGUGGGAGGCAGCUGGCCAGACUCAUGGCCAUAGAGACCAUAUCCACUUUGGGUCUCUGGAAUGAAGGCUGGCUCUUGCUCUUGCCUUUUCACAGGGGUUUCUGUUUUGGGGACCUCUGUCUCCUUCUCAUAGUUUUUGUUGUUGUUGACAUUGGCCACUUUGCUAAAGAAUUGGCUUUCUCUAGCUUGAGCUUGUUGAGAGAAGAGGAGAGAUGCAAGGAAGAAGAGGAAAGAGAACAAUUUUGCAGCAGAAGCCAUAGUGGCAAGUGAACUUGUUGGGAGGCAGCUGCUGUAAACUGAGUGUAUGUAGUGGGGGAGAGCUAGUGGUAGUCCGUUCUUUAUAUAGAGGACCCUUUUUCUUUUCUCACCCAAAAUUUUCAACUGAUUAGGUGCAAAUGGGCUGGAGGAUGGGUGAUGGUUUGUGGUCCCCAGUGGGGGUAGAACUUCAACAAUAUUGAGUACCUUUCUUUUCCUUUUUUCCAGUUAAUUAGUUUAUUUUGUUUUGUUUUUAAAAAAAGAUAUGCAUAUACACAUUACUUUUUCCCCUUGGAUGCACUUCAUGCUUUCCAUGGAGGAAAACAACAUAAUUAUCUGCCAUUUUUCUCUACUAAAAGCCAGCCAGCCAGUCUGCUCAUUCUGAACUUGCUUAACAUUUAGCUUAGAUGACCCAUGAUUUUUCUUUUCUUCUAAGCAAAUCAAAAUAUGAUAAGAUAAAUUAGAAUAAAACCCAGCUAGCAGAAUUAACAAGAAAUAUGGAACUUUAAUUGUGGGUGUUGAUGGUGUUCCCUAAAGUUGAGGGAAAAAAAAUUAAAAUAAAGAGGCAGCAACCACAAAGGAUAAUUUGGAAAUUAACUACAUGGUGCCAAAGAUGAACCAGGACAUUGAGGUGGCCGUCUAAUUAUGCGUGGAUUGUGGAGUGGGUGGGGCAUGCAUAUAUAAUAUCAUAUGGUGCACGCAGCACGCAGCACGCAGCAUGUGCCCUCUUUGCUCGGUCAAAUUUAAGAUACGUAUCUAACCUCUACUGAAAAAGAAAGAGUACUCAAGACUGAAACACUCAUGUUCUAAGUCCCUGUCAUGUUUUAGAGUUGUGCUACCGUCAGUCCCGUUGAGUGCUUGACGCGUUCUCAGCUGUUGAUGAGUGCACUGAAAGCCGAAACUUCAACCUUGUUCUGGUUCAGCUCAUUUACUGCUUCCCUGCGAUUUAAACCAGUAUUAGUAAUGUCUUCUUCUGUUAGUUGGAAUAUUUAAGUUGCAUAACCAAAACCUAGUAGACGGACAGAUAGAUAAAUACUCGAUACCAAUCUCAUUCGAUAUAGGGGUCCAAUUGGUGAAUAGUAGAUAGAUACUUCACAAAAAUCUCAUCUGCUAAUAUGUAGAUGCCACUAUGAUCCCAACUACUGGGUCGGUCCACUACUAAAUUAUGAAAUUUGUCAACAGAGGAGAGAAAUAAUAAAGAUGAUAUUGAAAUUUCCUGUUGGUUAGGAUUUGUUAAAUUUCCCAACUUCUGUCACAUUUAAUUUUUCUAAAGGUCAUUUUUAAAGGAAAAGAGAGGAAGGUUAAAGAAGCUUCGAUGCCUACAUGAGCCACUAGCCCCUGUCCUCCCACAAAAGACUCAAAGCAUUACUUCUAGUUGCAUCAUGAAAGCCGAAGCAAGGGAAGAAAGAACAGGUACAUGCUAUCAUUGAAGUUGAUUUUGGAAAGCAAAAGCGUGUUAGCACCUUCCUCUGAAAAAGAGCUUAGUCUUAAAGCAGUAAAAAAAAAAAAAAAACCUUUGAAAAAGCAGCCCUUUAGGUUAACUUAUAAAUCUCACAUUAUGUAAGUUGUUUUUUUCCUUGUAAUUAUCUUAAACUAAGUUUGUUUUUUUUGUUAUAUUGGAAGGAAAAAAAUUACUAUGGAGUUUCGAUCUUGAGUGUCAAGCAGAGAGGGUCACAACCACUGUGAUAACUCCACUCGACAUUUUAAAACCAAGUUUACUUAAGCCUUGGUGAGAUUUUCAACAGUCUCGGUGAGUGGUUAACUUACCCAAACAAAACAACCAACAAAGUGAGACUUUUAAAAAGAUAAACAAAACAUAUAGUAGCCUCCCUCAUCUCAAGGCAUCCAAGAGGCAAGAGGACCAAGAUCCAAAUUUCACAUCAAGCUUUCAUGUGGCAUUCCAUUUGGUGAUUGAAGUUUGCAUGUGGCAAGUAAGUCUUCAAUGUUUGGUUAUAGCAGUUGCAGAAUUAAAGCACUUGAUUGAUAGAAAGGGUGGGGGCCAUUGUCCUUUUCUUCUCUCUCCUCAACCUCCUUCCUCAAUGGAAAAUGGGGUUCACCCACCAACACCCCUCUCUUCCUCACUCAAAGCAAUAGACAAAGGAAGAUGCUUUUGUCAACGUUUGUGCUUCACAAAGCAGCCAGAGCCUUUUCUUUUUCUUUAUAUUUCUUUUCAUUUUUCUUUUUAUUGAAUUAUGUGAAAUUUGUUGCGCGAUUAGCGGAAGGAAUAGUUUCAGCCUUUCCAAUACGUUUUUUCUUCUCUCUUUUUUUCUCUGUCCUUUCCUUUUGUUUCUCUUGCAGACUUUGAGUUUUGAACAAAAAUUAGUGGGAGCUCAAAAUUAAUAAUACAUUUAUCUGUAAAAGACUACUGAUUUCAGCUGAAAGCUAGCUAGUAUAAAAAGUUAUAAACUCAUUAUUUUAUAUAUAAAUAUAGAUAUAUAUAGAAAAAAGAAGCAUUAAUAAUAAAACAUAGAUUUCUCAAAGACCCAGAUACAAGAAGAGUAAGAUAAGAUGUUAACAACAGGAACCACUUUUAAUUUAAAGAAAUGGGUUCCAAAACAGAAGAGAAAGCAACAAGAGAUUGGGAACCAAAAUAGGAAGCACAGGAUUAACAUCACCCCCAAGGCGUUUUCUUCUCAUCCUCUUCCUAAAAUUCUCUCUCCUCUGCUCAUCACCCCACUGAGCUUCCUCUAUUCCUUUUGCAAGAAUCAAUGGCGGGGGCAGGUGAUAAGGGCAUUUGGACCUCCAAGAAGUCUCAGGAAACCCAAAUCUGGAGACCCUUUUGAGGAAGAGAGAGAGGCCCCAUUGUAGAUGGAUAGGAGGGAAGGUGGAUUUGGUGCAGAGGACUGGUGGGUAGUCCCAGUUUAGGUAGCAUGGGAUUUGGGUGGAGAUGAAGAACUGAGAGUGAAGAGGUGGUGUGGUUGUUGGGUUGAUUAGGACAUGAGUUAAGGCAUGGAGCCUUUGCUCCCAUGUCGUGUCUUCCAUUUUUUUCUUACUUAUCUCUAUCCCAAGAAUCAAGAUGAGGUUGGUUGACUUGAGAGGUGGUAGGCGCUAGGCGGCCGCCUAGGCGGUCCUCCUUAUUUUUCCGGAAAUAUAUUUAAAGAGUAUAGCCGGGCGGCUAUACUCUUAAUAUGUAUAUAUACAUAGAGUUCUUUAUUUUAUUUUAUUUUUUUGGUUUGAAAAGAUGUUUUAAAGGUUAAGCUCAAUUCUUUUUCUUUUAAUUACAUAAUCUGUUAGAUUAGUUAAAUUUCUAAUAGCACUAGUAUUCAAACUUAAGAAAAAUAUGAAGUUAAUACCUUGGUCCUUAUUUAGAAAAUAAAAUUAAUAACUACAUUGCUGCGAGAUGAUUUGAAUUUUAUGAAAUGUGGCCAAUAAGAAGAAAAGAAUUUUAUUGAUUAUAAAAUCAGUGGUCUUUUUUCUCUUGGGUUGAAAGUAGAAUCAGCGUUCUUCUAAACUGAAGGCAUCCUCAAAGAACACGUUACAUCCCUUGGUCGUUUUUGUAAAACUCAAUAAAUUGUAAUCGUGCAAUUUACAGCUUAAAGUCUUUACUUGAGGCUAUAGGUAUAUAGCCUGUAGUUAUUACACUUUGAAUUGCAAUAGAACUACAUAUACACAAGUAGUGGUGGCUGUCUCUAUAGUACCCUCUCAUUGCCACAGGCUCACAGCUCCUUAUCUGGAACAGAUAUGCUAUUAGAAAGCUUAUUGACCAUUGAUUCAAAUCUGUAAAAUGUUGCUACUGGGGUGUGGAUGAGGGUGAGCUAGCCAUCAGAAGGGAAUCUGCAUGGUUCAAUUCCCCAAGUCUUCUCAGCGUAGUCUCGGAUUGUUCUGUCGCUGCUAAAUCUCCCCGACCCGGCCGUGCUAAGGAUGCUCAUCUGAGUCCACUUACUUGGAUCCGCAAAUGCUUUAUCAGCAGCAGCCUGUAGUCAUAUAGAUUCAAAUCCCACGCACCAUAGUAAAGUUAUACAACACCAAACUCAAACUGCAUGUAUAUAUGUUUUGGGUUGGGACUGCCAAGUAAACAGAAAUAAUUACCUGAGCCUCUAAAUAGCUUUCAAAAUCAGAACCAACCAAAUAGAAGUCUUUACCACCGUCCACAGUAUCACAUAGAGAUUCAAAAUAGUCUUUAAAGCCGAAAUAGCCAUCUCGGACCAUCCUACACAUAAUAAAUAUCACAGCAGAAUUAGAACCUGAGGAAACAGUUUGCUCAGAACAACAUCACACAAUGGUCAAAAACGACAUCAAACACAUGCCCUCUAAAGAACCUGAAAAUUCUAGACUGGUCACCCCAAUCACUAACUGGCUAAGUGAGUAUGAUUGAUUGAAGUGACUGUAAUUGCAUACCUUAUAACACGUGCACAUUGCAGUGGCAUUUUAGGAGAUCCUUCCUCACGCAAAUUGGGAACUUCAUGAAUCUUUGCCCCGAACAAAAACUGGAGAAAGCAAGUUCUAAGAGAAUUAUCUCUGCUAUACUACAAACAAGUAUAUACCAAUCUAAAAUCUUGAAAUAGUCAAUACACAGAUUCCAUCUGGCAAGAAGUUCCAGCAAAAGCAAAUUUCAGUUGGUCGACAAUACUUGACAUCACAAUCAGCUAAGCUGAAUUCAACUAUAUUAAGUUGGCUACAUAAAUCUCACUCGGACUUUCCAUUCUCUACGGAAGCUCAUGUUAUGUUCAGUCACACGCUGUCUAUCUUUAGAGAAGGUCAAAGAUCAAUUCAUAUCACAGUGGUAUGCUUGUAUAGUUUUAUAUAAAAUUUACCAGGUUGUCUGCUCCUAUUUCUUCAACAAUUUCAACUGUAGAGCCAUCUUCUGUAGCUAAGAGUAAACAUCCAUUCAUAAGAAAUUUCAUGCUUCCAGUUCCAGAGGCCUCGUGUCCUGCGGUGCUGCAAAGGAAUCAUCACAAGUUGAGAUAUCAAAUAUGAAAACCGCAAUAACAUUGAAGUUUGGCCAAGAAACUCCAAUAAGUAUAUGGAAAGAUUGUGUUUUUUGGGGUUUCAUCAAAUUUAGAUGCUGCAAAGUUUACAAACCUUAUAUGCUGUGAAAGGUCAGCCCCAGGUAUUACCAAUUCAGCAACAGAUACAUUAUAAUCAGGAAUAAAAACCUGGAAUAACAGAGAAAUCACAUCAAAUAGAAGAUAAUUGUAUCCAUAUGUAGAGUGAAAAACCAGAGAUUUUAACUCAUGCUAGUUCCUCUCAAUAUUUGUACAAAACCAGAUAGGAAGAAUGCAUGUAAGGAUGCAUAAUUCUUUCUCUUACCAACUUCAGAAGAUCUCCGACAUCAGUGUCAUUAUUUAUUUUUUCUGCUACAGCAUGACAGAGUUUGAUAAUCUUCUUGGCAAUCUCAUAACCGGGAGCAGCUUUUCCUCCAAUAAUGCAGACACGAGGUACAACCUUACUCCUUUGACUUUUCUCCAUGUUCUGCAGCAAAGUGCUCAUCUUAACAAGUGGGGGCAAAGAGGAAAGAAAGCUCUUACCAAAAAAGAAAAAACAUGAGAAGAAAGCUCCAACUCCACAUCAUAUCUCAUUGAAAAAUCAACAAAUUACUGUCCAACAACUUCUUAAAUUACUGUGACAAGAAGACGAAAAAGGUAUGCACAAUACUGGAGGAUGGUGAUAGCUCCCUUAAGAAGGUAUAAGGUAGUUCUUUGUUAAAAAGUUAUAAAAUAUAGAAUGCAAAGUUCUUCACCAUAUAAAAUCAGAUUCACCUUGAUACAGUCAUAUCGAUGGAUAAUGCCAAGUAUAUUAAGCAGCUGUCUUUUGUACUCGUGUAUUCGCUUUGUCUGCACAUCAAACAUUGCAUCUAAACUAACCUGCAGUUGAAAGUGAUAAAUUUCAGUGUAAUCUAUUAGACAUAUCUUCUAGACAAAAGAGAAAAGAUGAACAGGAUAGAAGUUCAAAGAACUUGUGACCAAACCUUCACACCACUCAUCGCUUCAAUGUACUCAGCGAGCCUCAUUUUGUUAACCUUCUUAACCUACCACAUGAGCAUAUAUACAAUAAUAUAAUACAAACAAAGCCAAAAGCAUAAUAUAUUUUUGGUUCCUAAGCAGCUGUACAAAUAUCAAGCAUAGGGAGUACCAUCAUCCAUUCUUGUUGAAGGUCAGGAUCGGCUGCAUAUGCUCGCAAGCCAGUUAGAAGGUCAACAUCACGAAUCCAAGCUUCUGUUCCAAGCCAUUUUGAGAUAAGAGCACACAGGCUAGGAUUACUCACCACAAUCCAGCGGCGCUGAGAAAUCAAAUGUCAGUACAUUAUCACAUACAUGCUUAUAAAUUGUAUACUGCUAAGAAUAAUGAUGAAUCCUGAUUCAUCGAUGCAUCAUAAGAACAACCUUUGAAUAUGUUAUGAGCCAUAUAAUAACAAUAAUAGUAAAACUAUACGCACAUGUAUGUAUGCAUGUAUAUGCACAAAUAGAAAACCUCUCAGACCAAGAUUACAAAUUGUACAGGAAUCUAUUCUAAGUUCCACAGCAUCAUGCAUCCAUUUAAGUGGUCACCAACAGACAGCAUCAGAGUCAAACAUUAAUUAAGACAUAUUAAAACUGCAGGAGAGGUUGAUGCAUCCCAAUUUACUGCUCAACUGGGGUGGUUUAAAAGCUUAAACUAUGUCGAACACUCUGCUUCAUAAGCCCUAACACCACAAACUACAAAGGCCAUCAGAACCCAUCUUUGGAGGUGUGUAUCUCACCAUUCUUCUUCAACCACAUAAACAGAUUGAAAAGUCUAAUGAAACUAGCAAGUACUUUAUGAAAGAUGCUAUGAACUUUAUACCUGGGUAACACCAUUUGUCUUGCAUUGAAAUUUCUGAGGCCACAGCUCAUAGAAGUCCUGUGAAAGAGGUGUCAGAUGACCUAAUUUAAGGUAUCAUAAGAAUUUGGAUAUCUUCAACUUUGUCAUAAGACAAGGGAAAAGACAACGAUGCAAGGAACACAUAGUACCUUGAAUAAUUUUGCUUUUAGCAAUUCUGAAUGUACUUCAGAAACACCAUUCACAGUAUGGGAGCAUACAAUCGCCAGGUUUGCCAUUCGGAUACUCUGUCAAAUCAAAUGGUAAUUAAAGGUCAAAUUGCUAAACAAACAUUUUCUCAUCAAGAAGACCAAAGAAUCCUUAAUAAACACCUUAAGAAUGUACUUUUGAAAGGGGAAAAAUAAGCCAAAAACUCAUUUAAGUACAAAAGACUGCCUUGCAGAGAUUUCCAAAUGCCCCGUUUUCUAUGCUCUUCUUUUGUUAUGUCAUCAUUUAAGAGAGAUUAUGCAUAGGAGACAUAAUAUGGUUGCAAGAAUAAGCACAAUGGUGUACGGAUUAACUGUAGAGUUUACAAAAUACUACAGAUAAUACCAGAUGCCAACCACAAUUGUAAGCCCAGAAUCAUAUAUCUAUCAAGAAUACAAUCAAAUAUACCAUCAAAUACAAUAUGGUUUUAAACAUACCUUCACAGCGCCUUCCUCAAUAAUUGACAUUCGGGAUAGCCGAUUGUAAUCUAAACCAAUCCUCUUCUUCAACUCUUCCACAAACUUAAAGUUUAUUUCAUAUAUAAUCUGGAGCAAUAAAAACCUUACCACAAUGAUUUGAGUGACAAAAUAAUAAUCUCAUAAAAUAACGGCUAUUGAACAGAUAAUUCUAUUAUAAUUAGUUUAUAAGGUUGCUUCAGUAUAAAGGAAAGCAUAACAAUCUGAUGGAAAUAGAACUCCAGGAGUAAAGAUGAACUGAUGCACGAAUUGAUACAAAUUUCCAAAAACCUAGCAGACCACUAUCUUGAUGUAAAUUUGUAAUAUAUAUGACAAUUAAAUCAAUAUUUCUUCAUGUCAAAAAAGAGUCUUUAGAAUCGCACUUGUAAAUGGCGUGGGAGAAGACUGCCCAGUAAAUCAACAGGGAUUUUCUCCAACCCUUCAGCAAUUACUGCGUGUAUUGUGAACGAAAAGAUUUUGCAAGCAAUGUCCCACGCUUUAUUCCAACCCAAAUGCUCUUUAUCAACAAGCACUCUCAUGACCUCAGCUAUCGCAAGAGAUGGGUGAGUAUCAUUGAGCUGCAGAGCAACCUAAUUAAGACGAGGAAAAAUGAGCUGAGGAAAAAAGGAAAAACAGAAAAGCAAACCUGAAUGACUAUCAGAGGAAAGUAAUAUAUAUAAAAGUUCAUUGUAGCUAAAACAAGCUGCCAUAUAGGGUAAUAACAUGGUUUUUUCCCUGGAAAUCAACAUAUGAUAAAACGCAGAAUAUUAAGACUUGGACCUUCUCUGGAAAUUCAUCAAAGUUACUGUGAGCCUCUUUAAAUCUCCGAAUUAUGUCUUGUAUGGAUGCUGAGACAAAGAAAUAUUGUUGCUUCAAUCGCAGUUCCUUCCCCUGUAAUACAAAAUAAAGUGAAAAGGGAAACAUACUAAGCAACAAAAUGAGAAUAUACAUGAGUCAUCCCCAUGGAAACCACGUAACUGAGUUCAUGACUUUUCUCCAAACUUCUAAGAAGGUACAUUUUCUCAGAAACAUGCAGAUAAAAAAAAAAGAACAAUAUUGAUAAAACCAUCUUUCUUUUCUUCAAAUAAGUAAACAUGAUUUACAACAUAGUGCUGGAAAAGAAAGAAACUAUCAUGUACCCAAGACUUCAAAGAUGUUUAAUGUUUACAAGGUGGAUAGAAACGCAGGGAAAUAACAGCAUGAUUAUUGUACUCCAAAAUCCUAAAGUUUGAGAGUUCAAGCUAUCCAUACAAUUCUUAUACAGAAUGCUAGAUAACAAUAUGUUGAUAAACUGUCCCAGCAUCUAUAAAAACCUUAAUGAUAGGCAUAAUGGAAAAUCUUCAUCUCAUUGAAGUAGCCAGUUUCUGCAUGAACAUAUCAUCUUUUGAUACAAUACAAUACAUAUUCAAAAUAUAUUAUAAAUAAGAAAUAAAUAACAGCAUUAAGAAGAAACAAGCACACCUGAAACGAACGGUCAUCAGGGUACAAUACACUACUUAUAUUUUCUGCUUUCUGUCUACAAACAACAGCAUUGAUGUAAUCUCCAGUAUUAUAAGCUUCCUGCAUGUGCGGAUCAUUGCAUAGAAAAAUUAGUCUCACCUAAAAUUUUUAGGAGGCAAGAGAUGGAUUCUAUUGAAACAUGAACAAUUGGAGGAGAGAAUACUGUAGCUACUCUUUCAUUUAGGAUUUCCGUGGGAUAUUGAUUAAAAACGCAUUUCUGGAAAUGCAUAAUGUUUAAUGGUAGUAAAAAAUUACCAUAUCAUGUUGAUCACUUGGUUUUCCAGCCCAUAAACGGAGAGUAAUAGUAUUCCUUGUUCCAUAACCAGGUAUGGGAUUAUCAUAAGCCACAGCUUCUACCUAGCAGUGUGGAGACAAACCACUAAGCUGAAAUAACCAAUUAUAUUCAUCAUGUUUACAAGAUGCAAUCCAUCUUGCAUAUAUGAAUUAAACAAUAUCAAAGGAUUUGUAGAACAAAUGCAGCCUUAAUUAAUGGAAAAAGAGUUUAUUGUCUUACCACUUCUCCAGGGAUCCAAACAUUGCAUUUUUCUCCAUUCAAAUUUUCCUCUUCAACGACCCCAUAGAACUUAUCCAUGUUAAUAAUUAAAAAACAGAAGUUAGCAAAAGGUUUUGAAGUUUUAGGAGAUAUAAUGAAUAUCAAAACAACCUCAAUUAUUCAAUGAGCACUUUAAAAACAGGAGUAGUACUUGCACACCUUCACUGGAUACGUUACAUGAACCCGCUCUGUUUCCCAAGGAUUUCCAAAGUUCAACCAGAAAUCGGGUUGUUCAUGUUGGAAGCCAUCCAGUAUAACCUGGCGGAAUAAUCCAUAUUCGUAACGUAGUCCAUAACUGCAAAUUGAAGAUGCAACAUCACCAAAUUACAUCCCAUGUAAGAAAUUGUUGGCAAAAAACUAGUUCCAUAAUAAAAACGGUGUGGAGUUUUCAUAUUGAUUAAUAAGUUUAGUUCUCAAAGCCAUUAAGCAUGCACAUUAUUAUAACGCAUAAUAUAAGUGAGGCACAUUUGAGUUCUGAGUUCUCUCCAGAGACUGCUUCUAUUCUAAUUUAUAAAGUGUAAAGAAUCACGCCUGCCGCAUUUUUUUAUCAAGUGGGAAUAAUAUGCUAUACAUUAGGGGUAACCCUCACUUGCCUAGACUUCACUGUCUUGGAGGAGGAAAGAGACCAAAGAGCUAAAAGGGACCGUCAUCCUAGUAUUAAAGACAAAAAUUUGAUGGGAGUAUAAUGAAUUAGAUUAUUAUAUGCUAACAGAGAGUCAGCAUACCCCCAUGCAGGAUAGUCCAAAGUUGCCAUAGAAUCCAUUUGGCAAGCUGAAAGACGAGCUAGGCCACCAUUACCAAGGGCAGCAUCUCCUUCCUUGAAACAUCAGGAAAACACUUACCAUAGCAGAAUAAAUUGCUAAAUUAAGUAUAUAUUCCAUGGUGUGCAUGGUAUAUAUAAGAGAUCAUAAUGGGGGAAUGACAUCAGCAAAAGAAAAAGGUGUAUACUAACUUGCUCUGCCAAAACUUCAAACUCAAAACCAAGCUGGCUUAAAGCAUCUGCAUAUUGAUCCCGGAUGCCAAGGUUGAUGACACUAUUUGACAAGGAACGACCUGACAGCUCAGUAACAAAUAGCAUUUCAGCGGCAAGCAAGCAUUACAUCAAGGAAAAUAUACACAGCACUAAAUUGGGAACUCAUGGAAAACAAGCAGUCACUUCAGUACAAGAUCAAAAUGAAACAUUAUCAAUUAGUCUAGAGAGGCUUGAGGUUAACAGACACUAGCAUCAUCCAAAGUCCAUAGAUUGUAUAAAACAACUCUGAUGGAAGUACAUAAAUACCCAUAAGAUACUCAAACGAGAGGAAGUAUACGCGCUUAGGGUCUUUCCUCUUGAAGUAAAGCUGCGUAUCAUGCGAACGUUCAAUCAACCGGUCUCUUACACUAUGCGCCAAGGCCUGCAAAAUAAUCAUAACAAGCGUAAAUAAAUAUGCAAACACUUGAUAACUACAAUAAAACUCAGGGAACCCAGAAUAAUGAUAAAUGACGAAAAUAAAGAACAUUUCCCGCCAAAUUUGAGAACAUUCAACUGUGCCCUGUUAUGCAAAUUUUGGAAACCACAAAAUCAAACUAUUGAAAAACAUAAGCCCAAAGAUUACUAUAAGAAAACAAAAUUACCUGAUAAGCUUCAAAAUCAUCGAAGUUAAAGCGGGACCUGGCAACCGUGUACUCAACGUGACGAAGAAUAUCCUGCUGCAGACUAAUGGAGUCAUUUUUCAAAAACCCAUCCAUUAGCCUGAACAUCCUUUCAGCCUUGGCACUAUCGGAGCCCAAGCUCAUGCCCAAACCCGACCCGGGCCUGCGGACCAUCACACCUCUCGUGGUGGGACUGGCGGGACCCAUCGAGACCGUACCACCGUCUUCGAUGGCGUCCGUCAGGGCCUUCUUGAUCCUAUCGAGGCUAUCCGGGUCGGCGAUUUUCGCGCCAUGAGAAUCGGUGACGAAGAAUCUUUUGACGAAGAAGUCGCCUUCGAACUCGACGGUAGCUUUUUCAACGUGGAGGCCGAGGACUUUGAAGACGCCGGUGAUGACCUGGAGGAGGCCGAUGCGGUUUCGGGCUCGGAUCACGAAGAGCGUGCAGGACGGGUCGGAUUCGGACUCUGAGUUCUCGACGGUGACAGAUGAAGCGGCGGAGGGCAGCUGGCUAGCGGAGGCGCGUAUGGGUUUGGCAACAUGAGUGCGGCCGUAUAGGAUCGAUGAUCGCGAUGACCGUGAGAAGCUUCGAGAAUGAGAGGGAAAUAGAGGGAACAGAAAGGUGGAGGAUGAAGAUGCGAGCUUAGAUUGGUCAGUGAUGGUGAAAAGCCUUGAAGAUAGCGUCAACAUUGUAGAAUGCGGGGAUUUGGAGGAAUCACAUUCGCAUGUGGAGAAAGACUCUGGUAGGGAGAGCUUCGGGGUUUGGAGGUGGAAGAAGAAGAAGAAGAUGGAGCUUUGAGUGCAAUCACAGUGAGUCUGUGAGUGACUGACCGUGAUAGUAGGGAAAAGGGACUUUCUGGACUUUUCACUUUUGGAGGGGACAGGGUGAGGAUACCAAGUGGACAGCCUCAUUUUCAUACGGUGAGGCUUCGUAUUCUUUAUCGCCACCUAUAUUGAUUUUUGUUUUUAUGUAUGUGAAUAAAAAUGCAAUAUAUUAGGCAAUGGAAUUCGUCCCUACAGAAAAAAAAUAUCGAAAUUUGGUCCAUGUUUACUUUUGAAGGAUGGAAGAAGUCAUGAAUGGGAGAAUUUAAAUGGAAUAAUCAAGAGAUGAGAAUUAGAUUAACUACUUUUCUUAUGAGUGCGGUCGAAGUUGAUUUCAUUCUUGAUUUUGAGCGUAUUUGAUUACAGAUUGUAGUUGAUUUCAUUCACUAUUUUGAGGGUAUUAAUUACGAAUUUUAUUAUAAAACUCAUAUAAUUUUUUAUUCCUUAUACGUUAAUAGAGAUAUAGAAAGUUAAGAAUUGAAAUCAUUCCAAUUCACAUAUGUUAACAAACACGUAGAAUUUGAAUUAUUUCAAUACCUAUUCAUGAUCGCAGCACCGCAUGUGUCACAAUUGCAUUGCAUCUAAUGAGAAGAGCAAUGGGGUUGAAUGUGGGCGAUGAAUACGGGCAAAAGAAGGGUCGUCCCAUUGGUUUUGGCAAAAGGCAAGAAAGAUGAACAGCAAGCACAUCCCUUCCUUCCACCGUCGUACUUGCAUAAUUGCAUUGCACCCUCCACAGUCACGACUCACGAGCCCCAAAGCCCAAAAUUAUUCACAGCACAGCAAUGCACGAAGCCACCUUUCCACCUCCCGCCAGCCGUCACACUCACACGUGUCUUUUAUUGGGCUCAAGAAUUUGCCACCUCGUUAUGCUCUUUUACCAUACUGUAAAUUUUAGAUGCCACGUGACUACAAAACCACACAGUAAAGUAAACUCUCUAUCUGGAAACUUCCACACCGUUCUGGUUCUUUCGACAUAUUGUUUCUCUUUCCUUCGAAUUCCAGUGCCACUUUCCUUAAUAAGAGCAAAGCAUCAGUUUGCGAACAUACCCAAUUAUAAAUUUUGAUAGCCUUGAAGAAUUUGAGCAAUUCAUUGAGUUUUAAAAACGCUAGCACCUGUCUGAAGAGCAGGAAGAUAUGGGUGUGGAUUACUACAAGCUUUUGCAGGUUGACAAGAACGCCACAGAUGACGAUUUGAAGAAAGCUUACAGAAAGCUGGCCAUGAAAUGGCACCCUGAUAAGAACCCCACCAAUAAGAAAGAAGCUGAAGCGAAAUUCAAACAGAUCUCUGAGGCCUAUGAGGUUGGUCUUGUCUUCACCCUUAUCUUCCUUUUCUUCGUUCACCUAUUUUCUUUUGGUUAUUGUUGUUGUUGUUGUUGUUGUUGUUGUUUUUUACUUUUUAUCAUCUGGGUUUUAUACCUCUAAGCAAAUCCCACAUGUUCCUCACCUCCUUUUCUAUUUAAGUCUCAUUGUAUAAGUUAAAAUUUCCAUCUUUUAUAUUUAAAUUUCCUCAAAUGACAGAAAGAUUCCAUCUUUCAUCGUUUUCUAGAUGGUGUACGAAUGCCAGAGCUUGGAAUCUGAUAUUGUGUCUUUUGAAUUUAUAGGUUCUGAGUGAUCCCCAGAAAAGAGCAAUUUAUGAUCAAUAUGGAGAAGAAGGCCUAAAAGGCCAGGUGCCGCCACCAGAUGCUGGUGGUCCUGGUGGAGCUACCUACUUCCAAACUGGGGAUGGUCCAAAUGUCUUUAGAUUCAACCCCAGAAAUGCCGACGACAUUUUCGCUGAGAUUUUCGGGUUCUCAAGCCCCAUGGGUGGAAUGGGAGGUGGAAUGGGAGGUGGAGGAGGUGGUGCUGGUAGUGGCAUGAGGGGUACAAGGUCCUUUGGUGGACUGUUUGGAGAUGACAUGUUUAGCUCAUUUGGAGAAGGCCGGCCCAUGACUCAGGCUCCACGAAAAGCUUCACCGAUAGAGAAGAGGUUGCCAUGUAGCCUUGAGGAGCUCUAUAGGGGGACUACUAAGAAGAUGAAAAUAUCAAGGGAAAUUGCAGAUGCAAGUGGGUAAGUUCCUGCUUAUCAUUCAGUUUUAUAGAACGUACUUGUUUAAUUUAUUUUAUGACUUGUGCAUAAUCAGUUAUUCAUUCAUUUGACAAUUUCAGAAGUUUCUGUAAAAAGGAUGUCAGCAGUUUUCUGCAUUCCAAUUUUAGUUGGACUUUAUUUGAGUUGAUCUGUUUAUUGUGUUCUUAUCUUUUGAAAAGGAAAAGAAAAAGGAAUAUAAGUGAUGCGACCAUCCCAUUUCCCUGCUGUUGAUUGAAUGAUUCGUUAUUCAUAUUGCAAGUCAUGUGACCAAUCUAUCUAUUUUCUGGUUAGUGACCUUACUUAUCAUGUGAUGCAGGAAGACCUUGCCAGUGGAGGAAAUUCUAACCAUAGAAAUCAAGCCUGGCUGGAAAAAGGGAACAAAAAUCACCUUCCCAGAGAAAGGGAAUGAGCAAGGAAACGUAAUUCCUGCAGAUCUUGUGUUCAUAAUUGAUGAGAAACCACACAGCACAUUCACAAGGGAUGGCAACGACCUUGUUGUCACACAGAAGAUCUCCCUAGCAGAAGCUCUCACGGGCUACACAGUCCAUCUGACCACACUAGAUGGAAGGACCCUCGCCAUCCCCAUCAACAAUGUCAUUCAUCCAGACUAUGAGGAGGUUGUCCCUAAAGAGGGUAUGCCCAUACCUAAAGACCCAUCCAAGAAGGGCAACCUUAGAAUCAAAUUCAAUAUCAAGUUUCCGAGUAGGUUGAAUUCUGAACAGAAAGCCGGAAUUAAGAAACUUUUGGCGGCAUGAUUUGAUUUCGGGGCAUGAUUUGAUUCGAGUCAUUCGAUCCACCAUGCGCCAUGCGAAUCUUCUGGGAUCUUCUGGGACGGUUGUGAAUAUGUUUUUUGAGAUGGCCUGGAUUUGUAUAACUAGUUAGUCUUUGUAAGGUUAAACAUUUGUUUGCCCCACAGAUGUAAGCUGGUCAAUUCUAGCUUGGAAGAAGCAGCAAAUAAAGCUUAGUUAUGUUUUCUAGAAUUUAAUCUUGUUCAGUGAUCGCAUCACACGAUUGUCUCCAAUAUAAAUGACCCUUUCUCCAAAAUUGAGUUGCUUGUUUAAAAAUGGGAAAAUAAAAAUGAGAAAAAACUAUUAUCAAAAUAUCUUCAAAUACAAUCUUCCAUGAAUAUAACUGAAAUAUAAAAGAUAGGAUCUUUGCAGUAUAACUUGCUCAUCUUUUUCAUUAGGUAAAGGUUUGUUACACGCUUAAAAUGACUUACAUGUUACACUGCAUAACUACUGCAGGACCUCUAUCCAGUACUUCUAUCCAGACUACUGCUAAAAAUGUAAUCCAUAAACAGGGAAAGUUUAAAAUAAAAGGGAGGCUAAUAAUAAUAAUAACAAUAAAAAGAAGAUUUGGUGGGGCAAUAUUGAUUCCAUCACCAGGAUAGGAUGAGCCGCUAGUGAAGCUGCAAUAUCAAAAAUUAUAUUGCAGCCAGUAUAUCUGGGAUGCUUGCACAAAGGCAGUUCAGGUUUCAAACUUCAAUCACUAUAGUCAUCUGAAACUGCAGAAUCUGAGCCAUCAUCAUUUGUAAUCUUGUUUUGUAUUUCAUCCGAGGCAUCACUCAUAUCUACAUCCCCCUCUGAAUCUUCAUCUCUCACUUCUUCAAUGCCAUUAUUGUCAUCUUCAGAAGCAUCCAUAUCCUCAUCACUUGCUUCCAGUAAACCCUCGUGCCAUCCGCUGGAAGUCCCAUCAAAUCCAGUUUCCCAGUUUCCUUGUUCAUAUCCCACUGCUUGGUCAUCGUCUUCAGAUUCCAAUGCCUCUGCUUGUUCAUAUCCCUCUCUUUGUUCAUCACCUUUCAUAUGGAUCAUAUCUAUCUUUUCAUCAUCCCAUUCCUCACCCAAGUUUCUCGGGGAAUCCCCUCCACUCUCAGGGCUACUGCGUACGUCAGUCAUGCGGCCCAGAGGUGUCCCCUCAACAACCCUGUCCUUUGUUCUCCUCUUUCUAACAGUUCUGCGACCCCGUGCACUCCCUUGUCCUUGUGUUCUUUUCCCAACCGGUCUAAACCCUUGACUUAGAUUCCCACUACCCUUUUGCCGACUUGCACCAGAUUUGGAAUUAUUCACUUUUCUCUGCCACUUUUUACCGCGCCCUUGCUCACGACCUCCCCUACCACGUCUAAAGCUGUUUCGUGCACUUUUCAGGUGAGUAUUGUUCUCUUCCCGAAUGUAUUCAUUGUGGCCUACUUCUGUUUGUUCAGACUCUUUCAGUGGGGCAAGUCUCAUAGGGAGCUUCUGUGGACAAGAAAAGCACAUGUAAGAUCACUCGUUCAUGGCACGUUGAAAGUUGUAUAAACACCACCAACGUAAAUUCAACAUAUUCUAUAAGGCAGGUCCCAUGCAGAUAGACUGAUAUGUAAGACCACUAGUUCAUUGACACGGUGAAAGUUGUAUAAACACCAACAUCAAUUACAUCUAUGGCUAGCAUAUUCAACAUUGGGGGGUUCCAUCCAGAUAGACUAGAACCGCCAAAUCUUCAUAAUAUCACAAGAUUUGUAUUUUUCUAAAAGAAUUGCAAGCAUUUGUGUCAGUAAUCAUACACCUGAUUCUCUUUCAACUUCUUUUUUUGGGGAACCCUCAAUGAGAAGAACAGGAACACUCACCAGAUAUUCUUUGACUUCCUUGUCUCCGUUGGGCUCAGCUUUCUCAAGCUGUAUAUGUGUAAUCGAUGAAUCCAUCUCAUGAAGCCUCAGAGCCACAGCUGCAGUGGUAUGUGGUAUCCAAGGAAGUAGGGGAACUGAUCCACUGUCUAGAAAGUCAGGAACAAAAACCUCUGAUUGUUUGCUGGUGCCAAGUAAUUCCUCCGUCGCUGCAAAGUUUGAUGACAGAAAGUCUCGCUUCACGGCAGUCUCAAGCAGAGUCAAUAUCUGCAACAAAGUUUGUCCAAAAUUGAGCAACUCAAUAUAUAAAUUAUGUAUCAUGAAUUGACACAUCAUGAGCCAUGGUCAUACUGGUCUGAAGCUCACCGGUGAAUAGAAUACCAUACCACGUAGAAAAAUGCAUGCGGAAUUGAUGGAUAAAUAUUUCCACAUGAUAUUUUCAUAUUGUUUGUGAAAAAAAAUCAGGAAAUUAAUUUACAUCAUGACAAAGGUUGAAUCAUAAGAAUGAAACGAGAAAAAGGUAAGACAACCUGUAGAAGUUCUUCCGUUGAUGAUGAUGCAUUCAGUUUCCCACCCCAGGUCUUUCGACGGUCUUCAGUCCAAAACGAUUGAAGAGCUUCUGGUGGAAUAGAUACCUAUCAAACAGAAUGUCAGUGAUGUAUAGACUCAAUAAAAUAAAAUAAACAAGUGCACAUACAUUAGAUGCCACGUUCUUAGGCAAGCAAACUCAAGAUUAUAGUGAAGCCAUUAGCAUCUCACCUCAAUAUGAGCUAUUAAUGCCUUGAGCAAUCUUCUGCCCAAGGGAAGAGAAGUACAUGGCAUAUGGGAAUCCCAAGGUUCCAACUUCCUUUUUUCUUUACAUUGAAUCACAUGCUCGCUAAAGUUAAAAUUUGCAUAGAAAGCACUGAAAGUCUGAUGGCAAAAAGCACAGUGGGAAUCUUCAAAGUAGUAACAACUAAGGCAGAAAUCGCAAACAUCAAACAGUGAUCUGCACCUCUUCUUCGCAUACUUCAUGGCACAAAAUGUAGAUGAGCUAAAGCAUUCUUUCCACAUCCACUUCUGAAAAUCUUGAUACCUUCUCAAGGCAGCCCUUUUUUCAGCUUCAUUUCUGUCAAGCUCAAUUCUGAAAGAAGAGGAUGUCUCUGCUGUAUCAGAAUUCAAAGCACAAACAGUACUGCCAGGGCUGUCGAAACCAGAAGGGCAAUCAGGGCUAGAAUCCAUGUCGGCUUCAUUUUUAACACGGUUUUUACUUGGGCCUGCACUGUUAGGACAAUGUGAAGUUUUCCGAACAUUGUCCUUGAACGAUGCCUCAAUCUUUUGCAACAUUAAGCGUAGAUGGGAUUCCCUAAUCCCACGUGUGUCCAGAGACGUCAAUAGAGCAUCAAAGGCCUACACAGAUAAUGGAUUCAACAAAUUAAAAUAAUGAAAAAAACAGAAGAAGCAAGGUUAAAACCAAAUACAAGUCUAAAAGAAUUGAACCAGAAAAGUAUUUAUCAACAUUUAGCACCAGAAAAAGGUUGAAAGCGCAAGAAGCCACCAUUAUUGGGAUACCAAGACCAAAGCAUCUUAAUCUUAACUUUGCAGAAAAAGGAAUAUAAGAAACUCUUAAAAGGAAAAUUGAAACAGCAUGUCAAAUCUAACAAACAUAAAAUUUGAUUCAACCAAGCAAGCAGACAAAACCUAUUACAAAUGUAAGACGUGCUGCCAACAUCAAUCACAAGACCCAAAUCUUGAUGAUCAGAUAUUUUAUUCCAAUUGGUAACAAGGCCAGCAAACAGAUAAUAAAGAAUCAACUUUACUAAGAAGCAAAUGAUGCCUAGCCCAACCUCAAUUUACUCAAAAGGGCUGGAAGGGUCAAUGGCAGUUUCUCCUAAGGAGGAUGAAAUGCAGUCAUAACCAACAAAAAUAUUUACCAGUACUAAAAUAUUCUCAUGUCAUACACAAGCCCUGAAACAAAUUGUUAAACCCGUAAGCAUUUAAGUACCUCUUCAGUGUCAAUAAGCCUCCAACUUCCAUUAUUCAAUUCAAUAAAAAUCCUGCCUGAACCAGGAUCAUUGCUUGAUGCAGAUGCAACAAAUUGCCAGUAUCGAUUAUGCCUGCGAUCUUGACCAAGAGGCAGGGACCUAUAUGCAUACAUCUCUUCUGCUCUAUGUGCAAUAUAUGAUUUUAACUGUGAGCGCGACCUUUUUGAUGCAUAUGCAAGUUGCUGACUCAAGAAGUUGUCAGGACCCAUGGAAAUAUCUUGGGCUCCUAAAGUCCUUUCAACUGGCAAACCAUUAAGCUGAUUCUGAACACCUUGUGAACCAUGGAUUGACUUUUGAUUUUCUGCAGUGCCUGGAGAUGCUUCAAUAUUUCUAUUAUCAACAUCCCGUACAGGGCUUUGUCCAUCCUCCACUCCGAUAACUUGUGUUUCAGAUUUGCCUCCCACAAAAGAUGGAAAAUCUAACUUACCGACAUUCUCUUCUUUUAGGCGACUUUUAUCAAGCUGUGCUUCUGCCCACAUUUGCUUCUUAAGAGCAUUUGCAGCUUCUAAGCGAUCCUGUUGAACUCGUGGUGUCAAAUUUAACACAGAAAAUACAACAAUUCAUUGAUUUUCACAAAAUUGAAAAAAAAAAUGUUUACCUCAAGAACAACACGGAUGGAGUUUCCUUCAUUUGCAACACCAAUUAAGGUAACCAGGCCAUUAAGACGCUCUUCCACACUGAGAUCAGAAUAUUCCCCUUCUGUAAGUCCUUGAACCCAUGACUCACCUGAUUUGCUUUCAUCAAUCUCCAUAUUUUCUUGGUCAAGAUUACUAGCACUAAUAUCCGCACCCGAAACACACUGUUUAGAGGAAGCACUAGGGCAGUUUGCAUCUUUGGAACCACUCACUGGGGAAGAUGAAACAUCGUUUUCAAACUCAUUUUGCACAUUCAGUGCAACAUCAUUGCAUAAAUCCUUUCCAUUUUCUGAGAAAGUAAUUACUUCAUUGUAAUCAUCAGGGGAUUUCUUUGCAACUGAUGGAGUAGCUAAGUCAUCAACUUCUGGAUCGUCAUCAACUUCAUCACAUUCAAAGUCUUCGUCUCUUUCAACCUCAUCAUUUUCAACCUCAUCAGCAUCAUCUCUUUCAACAUCAUCGGCAUCUUCUGCAGCUAAAAACCCAUUUUCAAAUAUCUGAAUUUUCUUCCGUGCUGCAGAAAGUAUGGCCUCGGCAUCAGCAGGAUCCUUUCUGUAAGCAGCUCGUACGCGAUAUGUUGAAGGAGCUAUUCUUUCGAAAAGCUUAGUAUCUCUUGUCAAAGCAACAGAAAUUGAAGCUUCAGGAGUCUUGCUUGUUGUCAGGUCCCGAAGGCCAGAUUUCUUACAGAAAAGAACAAAUAACAGAAAGAGAAAAAAAAAAAAAUCAGGAAAGAGGGAGCAAAUAAAUCCCGAUACCAAAAAACUCAACUCUUGUCGCAAGACACACAACAGAGUUUCUGCUAACAUUAAAUGAAAUCACCUGAAUCUUGUCAGCAAGCUCUAACACUGUUAGUCCCUUGUUUCCCUCAAGUGAAAGCACAUGAAAAGCUGCAAAUUUUACAGUUCCAGGAGUCAACCGGUGUCUAGAUUUUCGUGGGGCUAGUAAGCCUUUUUCUUGCAUUAUUGCAAAUGCAUUUUCAGCUGCUGAACCAUUGCGAAGAUUAGAAAUUGCAUCCUGACAACCUUUACCCUGAAAUUACAAGUAAUACUGUGCGUUUUACAAUUUUUGGAAUUUUAUAUAUAUAAAAAAGCAUGUCUGAAUGUACUCUAUUGAUUGAGCAAAAUUUACAUACGGACAGCCACCUUUAAGGUGGUUUAAUAUGAAUGAAAAUUGAUACUGAAUUAGAACACGCCGCCCGGUCUGAAAGUCCAAGAUUUUAAGUCUUUGAGCCUUGUGCUAAUAUUACACUUCAAGCUAAGUCCAAACAACAUUCAUAUGGGUUCCUUAGUUAUUUAUAUUUUAGAGUUUUUUAGUAAAAAUAAAUUAAAAUUCACUUUUGUUGUGCUUAGUAUGCUAAGCCUGAACUACUACCUCAAUUCACCCUUUCAUAGAGUUCAACUCACAAAUCAAUACUGAGCGGAGAGAAACAUCUAUCAGGAGAGUAUGACCAUGUGGUAUUCCUUUUGUUUUUCAGUUUUUUCCUUUUACUCUUUCCUUAACUGAUGAAGGAGAUGAAUUCCUUUGAAAGAAAAGAUAAUAAAUAACUGAAAAGAGAACCUCAUCAUUAUCAGGAGAGUAUGACCAUGCGGUACUCCUUUUCUUCAACUGUGGCCCAAAUCCGGCAGACAGUGCUAGUUGCCGGAAUAUUUCUGGCCAUGUUAGCAGAUUUAAGUGCUGCUGCCAGUUUCGUAUAUCAAAGCCCCAUGCAUAUGCCUGAAACAGAAAGUAAAAUUCAAUAUAUUUAAAGAACAAUUAGGAAAAAGCAAUAAAAUGAACAAACAAAACAACUGCAAGCAUGCAGAGAGCGAAGAUUACUCCUUCAACAAUCUGUGGAUGUCCACCACCAGGAUUAGCAGCACCAUUUUGAUUUACUCCUAAUCCAGUAGAAGGAGUCCUUGCAACAUCUUCAAUAUCUUUUAUAAUCAACCUCAAGAGAGCAACAUGGAUCUCUCCUAACAACCUUGAAUCCUGAUAUCAAAAUUGUAUGGAAUUAAACAGCAGCAGAAAACAGAUGAAGAACAGUUAACUAGAAUGCACAAUUUUGAAACAAAAUAACUCAUUGGUGGCUCACAUAGUCAUGAAAAGCUUGAACAAACUCAUCAAGAGUAAAAGGCCAUAACUCGAGAACAUCAGCAAAGGUAAUCAAAAAUCUCCAAACCUGUCACCAUCACGAUACUCAAUCAUCAGAACCAGAGGCAUUAAUUCAAAUAUCAGCAAGAAAAUAAUCUAUUCAAAAUAACAUGCAUAUGACAAUAUUGGAGAGAGCAUUUAAUUUAUAACUGCACAGAAAAAACUGAAAACCAUGAGAAUCACAUGCCAAGAAGAGCAUAUUGAAGCUGGACCAUAGAUAUUACCAACCAUGCAGUGUGCAUAAGGACAUAAUGUAACCAUCAGCCAUACAAGAAUAUAAAAAAUAUACACAUAGUACUUCUAAAAUCUCAUGUAAAAGGAAAAAGGAAGGACGCACCAUUAGGAAGUUACCAAUAUUCUCCUCUGAGUUGAUCCACGGCUGAACUGCAAAUGGUCUUUUUAAUUGCACGGACUUAGGUGGGAAUGCAGCCAGAGAAUCUAAAGCAGAAAAUCACCUCAUCAGAAAAAUUGGUAGAGUUACUACAGAAAAUAAUGAGCCAAAACAAUGAAGACAAUCUCAUGGAGUUGAGGAGGGGAACACAAGAUGAAAUUCUCAGUGCAGAAUGCCAAGCAAUACCUACCUCUGAAUGCAUCAAGGUUUUGCAAGGUGUCAAGAUCAAUACAAAUGAUUGAGGAUAAACCCUUGCUUGCAGCAGCCAAUUCCAUUAGUUCUAGUUGCUCAUCCUCAAUAAGCUCCAUAGAUUCUUUAGCAAGCCUGCGUGCAGUAGCCUUCUCAAGUGCUGCUUUGCGUCUCACUGCCUCUCUCUCUUUGCGAAGCUCUUCCUUUUGCCUCCUUUUCUCAGCCUGCAAGAUAAACCCAGGAGAAGAAAAGCAAAAAAGACAAGGGGGGAUCAAGAAUUUAUCAUUUUAUGCUGAAAAACCAAAGAUACAAAACAAAUGCAUUACAUUAGUGGCUCCUCAAACUUACUCUUAUAUAUUCUUUCUGCAAAAACUUUUCCCUUCGUUCAAUUUCACGUUUUUGCUCACGCUUUGAUCUCUCUUCCUCUCGCUGCCUUUCACGCAUCAACCUCUCUUCUUCUUUUCGUCUCUCACGGUCAUGCCUUUCCAUUUCUUUCCUCAUUCGUUCCUCAUUCUAUAAACAGAAAAAUAUCAGCAUACAAACACCUAUAGUUCAGAACAAACAUUUUGGAGUGAAAAAUAGAACCUUUCUCCUCAGAAUAUCCUGUUUCUCCAGCUCCUUCCGGAUCCGAAUCUCAUGAGCUUCAACUUCUUUAGCAAUUCUAGCUUCUUCACUCUACAAGGGGCAACUAUUAAAAUAAUCCUUGAUUGAGAAAAUAUAGUUUUCGAAUAAAAUUGAACCGCACAAGUAUACCUUGCGUUUCCUCUCCAUUCUCAGCAUAGAGUCAUUAAUUUGACCAUCAGACAAUACAUUAGAGUUUUCCGGUGCAACAGUAGGAGGAUCACUAAACUGAGUAUUUACUCUAACAUUAGUAAAGGAGUCCCUUUGUGGCACACAGCCAUCAUCACCAGGAGAUGGAAAGGCCACUGCUUGCCUCUCCUGCUGAGACAGAAGACGAACACGCGACACAUGACCAUGACCAUGGACACCAUGAACCCUUGACAAAGGCUCAUUUCCAACUGCAAAUGAUGAAGCUCUGGCACUAGGACCAUCAAUUGGUGAAUCUUGAAAAUGAGAUUGUGCGGCUUGUCCAUAUGCAUCAGACCGAAUACUGGAGUGAUCUUGAAGAAAUGGAUAUUCAUGGAGAGCCCUUGGAGUUGCCUGAGAUGAAACACAUACUAAUUCAAAAUUACAAGUGGUGAUGCAAUUGUCUUAUGGUUAUUUGAUUGAAAUACAUUCACUUUCUAUUUCUAAACAACACAUCAUUUGAAAAGAGUAUGCGUUUAUCAGAGUUUCUUAACAGAAGGUUAUGGUAUACUGGCAAGCGGGAGAACAAAGUAGUGGUAUAUUUAUUCGCUAAAAGAAAAUCUAAUACCCAGAACUUGGAAAAUGAGAGAGCAAAUGGACGCUUCUCUCGUAUUUUUAGGGAUAAAGCCACAUAAGUUAUAAAGGAUGUAUCAUACUAAUAAAAAAAGAGCAAUACAUGUAUAUCACUUAAUGAUUCACCAGCAUAUCAUUGCACAUGCCAUCAUAUGGUGCAUAUAAAGUAAUAACUUUUAUCAAAGAAAAAGAGACGGACUUUAUUUGGUUUUGCAUCAUGCCGCUCAUAUUUGCCCUCCAAAGCAUGGGCAGCCCGCUUCUGCUGCUCUGCAACUGCUUCACCAAGCACAGAAACAAAAGGGUUAGCAGCAAACCGAUCGCAUACAAGAAUCAGUCAAACAAUAGGCAAUAAUAUGCUAGAUUAAUAAUGUGGCCUUUAUUGAGCAAUAAAUCAUAUGUUUUCGCAAUUUUUCUGAUUCCAAUGCAAUAAUUUUAGGAAAUAGUCCAUACUUUUAGACCACCCCCACCACCACAAGAUGAAAAAAUUUGGAACUCAAACUUCUUAACAUAAUCACCACAGUGCAUAAAGCCUCAAAGCAAAUGUGAAUGUUAAACUACACUAGAAACCAAAGUUAAACCAACUAAAAAAACCUUAAUUAUUAAGAAAAUUGGUGAACCAAGUAGCAAGUGUGAUCCAAAUGCAUCUGGAAACUUGUAAAGCCCAUGACUGCCAUAAAAUAAACAAACUUAUUGAUACAUUUAAACAUGGCAAAAAGAAAAGUCAUGAAAAUAAUUUCUGUUUAUCUUAGAGAUGGGAAUGCAAAAUACAAAUAUGCUCCGAGAAAAACAGACCAUCAUAAACUCACUAGACAACUACAAGCACAAAAUUCUCUGCAUAAUGCUGCAACGAAAUCCCAUAUAAGUCAAGUACAAGGCAUUGCUGAACUGAGCUGUACAAUCAAUAAGGGAACCCAAUAGUUAUACCUAUAGGUGCUCCGAACGCAUCUGGCGGCAACCGAUCGAACUCUACGCCGAGAACUGGCCCAUCUUCCCUCAAUGGCUCUCCCAAUUGAGCUUCCACACAAGCAAUGGCUCUAAGCUCCAAUAUCGACUGGGGUGACUCGUAAUACCUCCUCCUCAUUGGCACAUCGUCAGCCCCACUCCUGGAAACCACAUUCCGCAACUCCGCAUGCCCAAACGGGCUUGAGCCGGAGCCUGAACCCGACCCAUAAUCACUACCUGGCUCAGACCCGUGAGCCAAAUCAUCAAUAGGAGGCUCGGGCAAAGUGGGCACCGAUUUCCGCUGUUUCUUUGCUGGACCCCCUUCCUUUUUGUCCUUCAAUCUUCUGUGACAGAACCACAUCUGCAACUGCCGAUCAGUAAGCCCUAAUUUUUCCGACAGCUCCGCCCUUAUCGCCUCCGACGGGUAGGUCUCCACUGAUCAAAAACCCAAAAAAUAAAAGAAGCUUCAAUUUUCACAGACAGUAGCUAUAAAUUUAAAACAAAAAAAAGAAAAAAAUCGAGAUUGAACUUACAGGCAUAAGCUUUCUCGAGGGUUUCAAGCUGAAAGGGGGUCUUCAUCUGGCGCUUGGGCUUGCUCUGUCCCUCACUGGAAUUAUUAAAUUUACCAUUACUGUUGUUAUUUUCAUGAUUUUUAGUCGGAUUUUCUCCUUCGGAAGCACCCUCCAUUGAAGCAAGAUCAAGAUCUGGGCAGAACAAAGCUUCUUCCUUCAAGCCUUCAAGGCCCCAAACCUCGAAACCUCGAAACCCUAGAAUUCCCAAAUCCUCAUGGAGAGAAAAACAAAACAAAAACUGGGUCUUCCGAAAGCAAACAAACAAACAACGAAGAAUCUGAUUUCUCCUUUUCUCUCUCUCUAUCUCUAUAUCCUCUCUCUUUUCCUUUCUUUAAACAAAUACCGUAACAGUCAAGGAAAAGAUCAAGAAAGAGAGAGGCGUAGAAUUAUCAUGAUGGAAUAAUGAGAAUAACAUGAAUAAAAUAAAUGUGAAUUUCGGGGAUUGACAUGAAAAUAUGACAACAACAACAUCAAUAACAAGAAUAAUAUCAAAAAAUAGGAAAAGGCAAAAUCAGGAACAUAAAACCAACAGUCUUUCCUCACUCUAAUUCCACCUUCCAUAAUUUUCUUAUUUUUUUUGUUUUUCACUUUUCUAUUUCUAUUUUCUUUUCUUUCGGUCUUUGUUUUGUUUUUGUUGCCUUUUCUUUCUUUUUUUUUAAUUCGAUGGUACUUUCAUACUUCGUUGCGUCAAACGAUACGAGGCCCUUUUCUCAGUUUUAACGUUGCGUGGUUUGGUUGGGCUGGCUAAAAACACGAACCCACGUUCCAACCAACAAAAAUGAACUUCUUUUUAUUUUGUGUUUUGUGUUUUGGUUCCAGCGAGCGGAUGCCGAAAACUCUCUCUUCGUGUUUGUUUUUAAUUCGAUUGACUUUUCAAUUUUUUAGGUUGUACGAGUUUUUUCUUUCUUUUUUUUAUGUUUUUUUUAUUGAUGACUCUAAUGUUAUUGCAAGUGUGCGUGUGUGUUUGAUUUCGAAGGCUUCUGUCUGGUUGUUAAUUUAGGUUCUUUGUGAUCUUUGGAUGCGAUCUUCGGCUGCGAUGAUCGAGCAUGUCUUUCUGGUUUGUGUUGUUGCGGGCCCCGCUGUCCGCUUUGGAAAUCUUUGGGCUAGGCUUUCUGAGCUGGGCAUGUAUUAAAGUACAAAAAAGGGUCCGCCCACAACAAAUUUUAGGCAUGUUAUAUUUUCGACUUUUAUGUUUUCUGGCUUUUUUCUUCUUGAUAAGUAAAUAUGUUGGUAUAAUUUCUUGAUCAGAGAAAAAAACAUGUCGUUAUAAUUUUAACUGUUUCUGAAUGUUCGAGCAUUGCUCGAGAAGAGUUCGAGUAAUGCUCCAGGGUCCCAGAAUGCUCGAGUACAACUCGAGCGAUUAGUUUUUUAAAUCUUGGAAGAAAAAUAACUACAUGUCUUUAUUGUGUUAUUAAAAAAAUUAAUUUUCCAAAUUUCACAACUUCCAUACUAAAAGAGCACAACGAAAUACCAACACCAAUUAAUCAAUGAUCAUUGAAUGCCAGCAGAGACUUAGCUGCCUGAUUUGAAAGAUGCGAACAAGAUCAAAAUGUUCCUUUGGGGUCUUGGGCUCUGAGCUCGUGGCAAGCUUCUCACCAGUGAGCAAAUGGCUAGAAGACAUCAGCAGAGGAUAUCAUACAUCUUGCUCUAGCUGUAGUGGUCCACUCGAAUCUCUAACCCAUCUUUUGAAGGACUUGAGAGAUAGAGAGUACGUAGAGUUCGUAAGGUCCUUAUCCUUUACCCCUUUGCCGUUGGGUGGCUAAAUCUCAAUAUUCUCCAUUCCUAAGGCAAGAGUUUUUGGGUCUAGAGUGAGUUUCUGCCUUCUCAAUUUGGUCACAUGAAAGUAGAAUAUCUUUGAGCCACUUUCUAAAGUUCAACGCGAUUCUAAUAAAAACACUUAUGAGCAGAAAUGAGAGUGGGAGUGAGAAUGAACUUGAACAAAAGAAAUAAAUUCUCCGUGUUAAAUAUCAUGUGUAUAUUUCCUAUCCUUUCUAAUGCAUUACUUUACUUUUGAAUGAAUGAAGAUCUAAGCAAAACAUGUAAAUUGGCAGUUCAAGCAUGUCUCUAGAUACAGAUAGCAAUCUAUUCACUCACAUAUAAAAUCUCCAUUCUCUUGACCCUUUUUAGGCUUCCAUCCGUAGGAAGAGCUCAUUGUGAGAAAGAUAAAAAUUGAUACAUUAUUGAAUUCCAGUCCACAUGAGACCAUUGCAAAUUAGAAUGUCUUUGUGCUCUCAAUCAAUCGGAGAAAAAAAAACGUGGGAAGGGGGAAAUAAACUAUAACAUGGACAAUAGACAGAUACUCAAUUUGCCAUUUCUUCUGAAGGGAAUUUAUGAAAUUUACAAUGCAAGGUUCCCUCCAUGUCCAUUCUUCCCUUCUUCUCAUGCAGCUUUCCCUUGCUGGGUUUUAUGAACCAAAAAAAGGGUCAGAAGAGCAAUAAUAUUACACAGAUAAAUUUAUUUAAUGGAAUUGGAUGCAAGGGACUAACUGCCACAUGCAUGAGCUAAAUUUAGCUAUAUCUGACUUACUCGUUUCUCUUCUUCUAUUUUGGCCUUGAUGUAAGAGUAGAUUGCCACUCCUGCAAUCGCAAUGGCUGUCCCGAUACCAGUUUGUGUUGAAAUCUUGUUGCCUGUGAGCAGCAAGUAGCAAUUAGUUAUACAAAAGAAAAAGGGAAGUUGAAGAAGCAAAAGCAGAACCAAGCUGAAGAAAAGAAGAGCCUUACCAAAGACCAAGAUGGAAAAGCCAAUCACAAAUACACGUUUCAGCACAUUUCCAACUGCAUGUGUAAGAGGUGCCACUCUCUCCAGGGUAUUGGUGGCCAGCUGAUAAUUUCAUAACAGGAUACUGAUUAUUAACUUGGGCAACAUUUGAGUUAUUUUGAGAGGAUUAUCCUCCUACUAUUACAAAGCCAUAGAACCAUAAGUUACAAUAGAAAGUAAAGAAAACAAAUGUACCUGAUUAUAGAGAUGGUAGAACAAUCCCACCCAGAAGAGAUCAGAAACGAACUUGACAAGACCUACUUUAGCAAUUGCAUCAUUGAAGCCGUACUUAAUCAGUUGAGGCCCCUCUACCUGUGAUAUGAGAGAGGACAUUGAACCAAAAUUCAUCACAAUUUUUGUUUCAGUUGCACAAUCAAACUUCAAGGGUUCUCAAGUGUAAGUUUUACUCACGAUGAGAGCCGGUGGAAUGCAGACAAGAAGAGCAAUGAUCGAAAUAUAGGCAUAGAGAUUGGUACUGUCCAUAUCAGUCUGCAAAACCAAUAAAACGUUAUACAAGUAAGAAGCAAUCUUUAGCUCCCCAUGUUCUGUCCUAUUCAAAACAAAAUGCUAGCUAAAGUUCCAGAGCCACUCACCAUGGCUUUCUUUGAAUAGAUACUCCUGUAGGUAAAGGAGAUGUUUGAAAUCAUAGCACUAAUGAAGCCAGUCCAGUUGAAUGACAACUCAGUCAGCGAUGCCAUCGACACACCUUCAUUUUAAAAGUACGUAAAUACUAAGUGAGCAAAGACAGUCUGAAUAAAUUCUCAUGGCUCAUAGUUUUUGGGUAUCUCCAUGAUUUACAUUUUCCAUAGUUUUCAAUAGAAUGAUUGCAACGACGGGAUGAACAUAAAGAGAAGAGCAUACCAAGAACAACAGGAGCCAGGGACAGCCAUAGAGACAAGGGGAUUGAUUGUCCGAGAAUAAAUUGCGAAGCAGAGGCAUUGAAGAAUGGCUCAAGAGCUGCAACAAACAAAUUCAACGUCAAAAUGCAAUAAUUAAAAGUGCACUUGAACAAUUUUGGCCAUUGUACCAAACAUAUGAGAGCAUAAGAUUUGUCCUCCCACCUUUGAUGGUAUGUGUGAAGGAGACUGCAACGGCUGCAAAUGAGACAUUGCUGGUGACGUGGCCAAGUGCAUGGCACACGGCCACAGGGAUGAGCAGCUUCAACAGGUUUGAGUCAAUAGGCUGCACGGAGACGAGAAACACCAGUCAGUCACAUAAACAAGACAACCAACUGAACAGUGAACAGAUUGAGAUUAGCAUUAUGGGCCUGGGCCUGAAGUGAGUUCACUUACAGCGCGUUUAGGAAGGCCCACGGCCCAGCUUAUCAAACAGUACACCACUCCCACGCCCAAGUGCACAACCGACACAAAACUGCACACAAACCUCAAACCCACUUAUUCGACCCAAAAAAAAAAACCGCAAACCCACUUCAUCAGAAGUUCAGAACACAGACCGAAUUCAAAUGGCUAGAACCAGCUAAAUUACGCCUGAACAUGAAACACAUAUGCUAUCCUACGCUUUUUUAUUUAUUUGUUUACAAGAAUUAUAGGUAACGAAAAUUGAAAAUGGCACACUUACUAGGGAUACGGGAAGUAAUUGUAGAUCUUCUUGUUCAUGAUGUUGAAAAUCACAUUCAGAAAAUACCUGCCCGCCAAGGACGACUCCGUAAUUUCACAUACAAAAUAUUUCUCCCAAAAAAAAGCUUGAAAAGUUUAUUAAAAAACGUACCACAUGAAGAAGAAGAAGCCGGUGAGGAUAGCCGGGUACUUGUCGAAGAACCCGAGCGGCGCGACCUUCGCGUCCCUGUUAAGAGCACCGAGUCAGGCAGAAAAGGCCAAAAAGAAAAAAAGCAUUAGUCCGGAGGCCGACACGGGCGAGUCAGACCGAGUCGGAACGGAGGAAACGGACCUCACCCGGCGGAAUCGUUUCCCUCGGUCGGAGAGGAAGCGGCGGCGAGGCAAGGCCGGAGAAUCUCCCUCUUCAACGGCGAGGCCUCGAGCAGCAGCCCGGGGCGGAGUUGCCUCCCCCAUAUGAGGUUCCCGCCCUCGCUCACGGCGCCGAUCGGCCGAGCCGAGAAGAACGAAACGGCGGCGUUUUCCCUGGGAGAUGGUUUGCGGUGGCAGGGGAGGGCUCCGAAUGUGGUGGCGCGUGAUAGCACUCGCGACUCCAUGAUUGCUGGGGGAAUGAGAGUAAACUGAGAGAGAGAGAGAGAGAGAGAGAGAGAGUGGAGAAUGUGGUUUGGGAAGCUGCAGUGAGCUCUUAUUGGUGAUUCAGAGUAGACACACAGCACAGCAGAGACAGAGAUGAUGCGCACCGUUUUGGAGUGGGUGUUCGAGGGCGGUUAAUUGCUUUUGUUUUUGUUCGUCUGGGAUAUAAUCUGUUACGACGCGGAACAAGUUAAAUAAAAUGCAUCCACCAGUGAGAUUAGAUGAAGAACUUGAAAUGGUGAAUCGGAGGGUGUGGAGAGGUCGAUGAUGGCGGGAUAUGGUGAGGUGGGGGAGGGAGUAUGGGAGGUUAUGGUCGGUACGGGAUAUGUUUAUGGAGGAGAGUGAGUGAGGGAGAUAGGGGAAGAAGUUGAUAUGACUGUGGAGGGGGGUGGGGACAUCUUAUCCCCAGCGUAAGGCUUACGAGCAACGAAGAUUGGCAGUGUUUUGAAGCCUCUUAUCGAUUUUGUUUUCUUAAUGGCUUUUUUUUCUUUUUCUUAUAUGUGAUGAACUGUCAAAGCUGUCCGUGAUGUUGUUAUUUGCUUUUUAUUCACUGUUCUCACGAGAAGCCAACUGUUUGCCUCUGUACAAAAAUUAUUUCUGCAGUCCGUCCCAACCCAACUACCAGUCUACUAAAUUAAUUUCGUUUUCUAAGUGAAGAGGGAGAUUCAAAUUUGGAACCGAAAGAAGAAUAUCAUUACAUUUGGAGUAAAUUAGUGAUUAAAGAUAAUAGUUAACUUGGCUUAAGUAAAUACUAUUCCGGUCAUUGAGAGUACGGAAGAUGAAAUGCUUGAACCAAUUGGUAAUGUGUUCGAUUCUCCAUUGAAAUCAUCUAUUGUUUUUCGAAAUAAGAAACAAAUUAAAAUAGUGCAGGAAACUAAAAGAGUUCAAAGUUAAUGAUUAUGAGGAUACAACUAAUAAAAUGUUGGAUGUAUAGAUCAAAAUUAUUGUUUUAUGCAUCUUUUAUAACAAGUUGGUUUUCUUGGUGCAAUUGAAACCCCAAUAUAGAAGAACAUUGUCAAUUAAACUCCAACUAGCCAUUUAUUGGGCCUAUGACAGCGUAAAUUGUCGAUGGACCCGAUCCAUUUGUCUAUGGGCCUGAUUGAAGCAUUGCAUGUUCCCAUUUUGAUCCAAAUUGCCAAUGUCGUCGAGUGUUCGCGCCCUAGGCCGUCUAAAGCCUCUGCUGCUGAGCAUUACCAUUCAGGGACCGUCCAAGACGUCGGGAAAAUACGAUGAGUCUGAAAGAGAAAAACAAUUUCAUGAUAAUCAGUCCGCAGGUAAGGUUGCUGCUACUUCUGUUACAAUUAAAUUUCUACUUUCCCCUCAAAAUUCUUGUGUGAUUUAAAGUUCCCGCCUAAGACUGGUGUUACGGGACGACAUCUGUUUGAUGAAAUGCCCCACAGAGUUUAGACUAGGUGGCUUCUUAGCUUGAAUUUUACUGCUAAUCGAUUCAUGUUGUUCGUGGGUAGUUCUUUUUAUCUGGUUCUUGUCUCAUUUUGCUCUUAUGUUUAUAGAAAUGUAGAAAUUGAUUCAGAGAUUUGCAGGCAGAGCUUUUAUUGUGCAAAACUGAAACAUAAUUGGGAGUGAAUGAUAUUGUCUUAUUGAGAAAGAGUGCUGCCAAUACAAUGGGAAGCAAAACUUUGUUUAAAUGGUCGAAGCAAAUCACUACUUCCCAAGUUGAGCAGCUGAUAAAAGCUGAAAAGGACAUACAGAAAGCUAUUCUCAUAUUUGAUUCCGCAACAGCCGAGUACACCAAUGGCUUCCGGCAUGAUCACACCACCUUUGGUCUCAUGGUCGCUAGAUUAGUCUCCGCGAACCAGUUCAGGUCAGCCGAGGCGUUACUUGAUAAGAUGAAGGAGGAGAAAUGUAGUGUUACAGAAGAUAUAUUCCUCUCUGUUUGCAGAGGAUAUGGCCGCGUUCACAGGCCACUGGAUGCUGUCAGGGUCUUCCACAAAAUGGAGGACUUCCAGUGCAAACCAACCCAGAAAUCUUACAUUACCAUACUUGGCAUUCUUGUUGAAGAAAACCAGUUAAAGAUUGCUUUCAGGUUCUACAAGUAUAUGAGAGAAACGGGCAUUCCAGCUAGCGUUGUGUCGCUUAAUAUUUUGAUCAAAGCCCUUUGUAAGAACAGUAGUUCCAUGGAUGCAGCUCUUCGAAUAUUUUGUGAGAUGCCCAAUCAUGGGUGCACCCCAGAUUCAUAUACAUAUGGUACUUUGAUUAAUGGAUUGUGUAAGUUAGGAAAGAUUGGUGAAGCAAAAGAGCUCUUCAAUGAAAUGGAAACAAAAGGUUGUUUGCCCUCUGUUGUUACGUAUACUUCCUUGAUACACGGCUUUUGCCAAUCCAACAAUUUGGAUGAAGCUGUGGGAUUGUUUGAACACAUGAAAACCAAAGGUAUUACUCCAAAUGUCUUUACUUACAGCUCUUUGAUGGAUGGACUUUGCAAGGGUGGGCGUUCUUCACAAGCAAUGGAACUAUUAGACUUAAUGAUUCGUAAGCGCCAUAGGCCAAACAAUAUCACUUAUAGUACUUUGCUUCAUGGACUCUGUGAAGAAGGAAAGCUUCAAGAAGCUUUGGAGAUUCUAGACAGGAUGAAGCUUCAGGGCUUGAAACCAGAUGCAGGGCUGUAUGGGAAGGUAAUUAAUGGCUUUUGUAACAUUUGCAAGUUCCAGGAAGCUGCAAACUUUCUUGAUGAGAUGGUCCUUGGAGGAGUUUCACCUAACAGACUAACUUGGAGCCUUCAUGUAAGGAUUCAUAAUGCAGUCGUCCAGGGCUUGUGUAGUAGCGGCAAUCCAAAUCGAGCUUGUCAGCUGUAUCUUAGCAUGCGUUCCAGGGGUAUCUCCAUUGAUAUGAAGACAUUUGAUACUCUAGUGAGGUGUAUCUGUAAAAAAGGGGACCUGCACAAAGCUUAUCGAAUUGUUGAUGAGAUGGUGCUUGAUGGAUGUGUUCCGGAUGAGGGAAUAUGGAGUUCCAUGGUGGAUGGGUUUUGGAAUCGCAGGAAGGUGCGUGAACCUGCUGAGUUGUUGCAGGCUGAGCUGAUGAGUGAAAUGGUUGAGCCUGAAACAUAAAUCUGAAAGUUUUGAGCUAGUAAGUGCUCUUAUACACGUUUCAUUUAUUUUCUUUCUGGUCAUGAAAGUUUGUUCACCACAUUGCCUUUUCUUUUUCUUUUUAUGAAAUUAUAAGUUACUGGCUCAAAAUAUGACUACUUACGUGGCACAUGAUUUAUAAAGCACUUGCUUAGUAUAAUGUCAUUGGUAACUGUCCAUAGUGAAUUUAACCAAGAACGUUGGUAACUGUAGCGCUAGAAAGGAUUUUUCUGUAUAUUAACCAUGAAAUAUAUUUGGUUGACAAUCUUGAAGUAACUUGUUCUUCCUAUUAUUCACAUACCUCACUCAUGUACUACACUCUUUGGCAUAUAAGAGAAAUAAGUAUGACAAGCAUUUGUUAAAUCAGUACCAGAUACAAUCUAUCCUGUCAAGAAUCGAGGUUUUUAAAAGCUAUUUCUUUAAAGGUGGAACUAGGAUUUACAAAAAAAAAUAGAAAUCAUAUAACUGACAUUGACAGAGCUUGGAGGAAGCUGAUAUGGAAGAAUGAAUAAAUAACGUUGUGUGCAGUCCACAAUUUUAAGGAGCACGCAGGCAAAUAUUUCUUAAUUAAAAAAAGAGGAGUUGUUAAUUUACAGACAGGGGGAAGCCAAUUCCAUGGCGCUUGGUUGGAAAAACAACAAACAACAUACUGCAAAUGACACCAAUGCCAACUGGCAAUGCUGUGAGAAUCUCCUGAGCCUUAUCCGACGGGGUUGGAUAGAAGCAAUUCACUACAUUCUGAUCAAAUAGUGCAACAGCUGCAAAUACAAGUAUUGACAUAAAGGCAUGGAGGAAAUCUAUAAACCGCAGUUGGAAAUUUGCAUCAACUUCGGGUGAAAGGGUGGUUGACCCAUCGAUGAUCCAUAAGCCUCGGAAUGUAGCAAAGCCAUAACAGACAUUUCCAUUCUUGUCUCUAUAGCUGUCAGUGAAGCUCAGUAGAAAACAUGAAGCUCCACAGAGGGCUACAAGACCAGCAGUCAUGGACCGGCUGACUGAGUCACAGUUGCCUUGGUUUGAAAAUAUGGGUGCUAGAAGCUGAAAUGCAAGAACUGUUCCAGUUGGUAAAAGAUUGGCCAAAUGAGCUGUGCUUUGAAACGUCUGGCGAAUGGCUUUCUGUAUCAAGGUUCUUUCCUCCUCUGUUACGGACUUUGGCAUAUCUUGCAAGAGGGGAAGUUUUUGUUCAUCAUCAGGCCAGUGCCGGGAUUCCUCAGCUUGUAUCUUGAUCUCCAUUGACCAGAAACGCUUGAAGCUUCUUUUCCCUUAAUGUUUUGGUCUCUUUUCUUGGUUUGUUUUAGAAUUUUUGUUGGGAGGAACAAUGUUAUAUAGAUAGAGAAUAAAAAUGAAAAGAGUGGAGGUAAAGGGAGGGAAGAGUAGUUAGUCAUGCCUUGCAAGGAAGAGAAACCUAAAACUGGAACUGAAAUUGAGACAAAGCUGCUACCAAAUGGGAUUUUUGGUUUCGUGCAUAGAGCUUCAAAGUAGAUGAAAGAAAGCUUUUUGGUAUUAGACAAAUGUCCAUCAAGAGGCUUCAUUUUUGUGCUAACUGCCCAUCAAGCUUUCAUGACCGUUAUAGACCAUGGUUUUUAAAGUUGUCACAAAGAGGGAGGGGUGAUGUGAUCAGGUUCAAGAAGUUUGGGGCUUACAAGGUUUUUGUUGUUUGUUGCUGAAACGCAAAGUGUAUUGCUUAAAGGCAAGAGGCUUCAUAAGAGGUAUUCUUUACUUUUAUUAUUAUUACUUCUAAAUUUAGAAGUGGAGACCCACACUUCUUUGGUUUUAGGCUUUGCUUUUUAGUUUUUCCUUCAACACAUGAAAGUCCGUAUUGGAUGAGAUAUUAGGCUUCACUUUUAAGGAAUUGGUGUUAAGAUCAUACAUGGUGUCAUAUACUCAUACCUUGCACGUUAUAACUUUAUAAACAGGUGGGAAUUGAAACAGGGAAACCACUGUGCCAUGUGUUGAACUAUUGCUGCCAAAAAGGCCCAUUUUUGCAGGCACUGAUAUGCUGGAGUUUUAAUCCACUCACCUUCUAACCAAAAUCUUGCAAUACAUCUGCUUUGUCCCUUUGUUUUUUUUUUGUCUUUUUUGAUACCAACAGUAGUAUAAGCGACUUUAAACUAAUCUAACUUACGAGGAGAAUGACUCGAACUUAAGUGCAAAGGGAUGGACUCACUGCUCUGACCAAGUAGUCUAACUCACAUCUGCGCUUUGUCCAUUCACAUAGUUAAAACAAAUUCAACCCACCUCAUAUUUUUCAGAUCUGAAGCCCAUGUAUCAAAUUGGACACGUGUGUGGUGAGCCUAAAUGCACAGGCCCGUCUAUUUAAAAAGGACCAGGCAUACACGAAUAACCCAUUUGCUCUUGCUGGGCUCAAGAGAAGAUACCAAAUAGGCCUUUUUGUUUUGCUGUGUCCUUGUUUUUAAGCAAUUUGAAGAUAGGAAAACAAAGUCAAAAAAAAGAUGUCCUUUGAGAGCUAAAGGUCAUAGUUAUGGGGAAGAGAGACGUCCCAUUCAAAGAGUUUGACAAAUUAUGUGCCCUCUUCGCGUUGGACCAUGCAUAAUGCAUUGCCUGCCAAAGGGGUCACGAGGCUGAAGCAUAUAGAUAGACGCUAUAGGCAGAGACUUUUCAUCACUUUUUCCCAAGGCAGAAUUGUAGCUUCUACUUCUGCUUUAGCAUCCGUUACAAACUUUAACCAUAACGUACAUUUCAUUCAGUCACAGUAUCUUAAUCCUAAAGGAAUGAGAAUCUCGCUCUUGGUUUAGUGGGUACGAACUUAAAGCUUAAUGUUGAAAAAGGUUUUAAAUUCAACUCCUCGUGUCUUAAUAAAAAGAAAGACUUCAAAUCAAUAAGUGUUGCAUGUACUGUGGUCCUUUUCUGCAACUGCAACAUCACAAUGCUGGUGUAAAUUUUAUCAUUGUUACGAUUCCCUUCCUUUGUUAUUUUAAUUUUCUGAUAACUGAGAAGAAUCUUUGAACUAUUAGAUUACAGAAUCUGGUCCAAAUGGUUAGGUAACUGUCUACCAGCUACAACAGUGAAGUUGCUUUCAUUCUAAAAACAACUAUUUUUUUCAACUUUUGUUAUAUAGAUUUCUGGGUCUAAUUUGUAACUGUAAUUACCAAAAAACUGACAUAUCUUUGUUAAUUAGCCUUUGAUACUAGCAUGGCAUCUAGAGCAGACCCAAAAACAGAAAUUGUAGCAUCUAGGGAGGGAGGGAGGGAGGGAGGAAGGGAAGGAGGGUAUCUACAGUUUACCUUCAUUCAUGAUGACCACCAACCCCUACUUCCUACUCCUUAAAUGAUUUAAAACAUUGUGAAAUAAUGACACCAUCAAACUGGACCCAUAUAUUAUAAUUUUGUUUCUUUAGGGCAUUCAUCAAGAAAUCAUGAAAGAAAAAAAAAUUUAUGGCAUCUGAAUUAAUAAUUAUAAAGGUUUUUCCCAGUACAUUUUAAAGUUGACCCCAUCUUUUUUUUUUUUUUUUUAAAAGACCCUACAAAAUGCACAAGCAAAUGAUCAUUUGGAGAGAGGUGGGAGAGGGGAGGGGGUGUGGUGUUCUGAAUGAUGUGCUGGGUGUGAUGAUGAAUUGUGUCAUGUAGCCUAUUGGCACAAACAAGCAUGUAGACGAUCAUAGAGUGCGAACCUUAAAAGAAGUCAAGGGAAAAUGUUUUUUUUCUUUUUCUGGCUUGGUUGUUCACCUUUCAGUUUCUUUCUAGUACCAAUUGAUUUGUUGCUUGCUGCUUUUCCCUCAUUUUAUGGACUGGUUCAGAAAGCCAAAAAAAAAUUCAAUGAUGCCAUAUGGCCACGAGAAUGCUUUUCUGCAUAUGCACCCAUAUGAAAACUGUGAAUGAAUUAUGAAUAUGACUUUGUUGAUUUUAUGUUCUAACCAUCAAGGCUUUGUUAUUACCGUUAGAAUGAAUUUGUAACACGAGUGAGUAUUAUCUCUGUAUUCGAGGUUUUGUGUUUAAAUUCUACUCUUUCAAUAUCAAUUGUAUUAAAAAUAAUAAAUAAAGACUUUGUUACCGUUUUAAUAUAUGUGUAAAUUCAAUAUCAUUGUCCAUCUAAAUCUUCUUAGCAAUUAACAACUUGAUUUCUUUCCUAUAUUUGUGAGAAAUCAAAUUUUAUACGUUUGGCUUGGAUUCUCAGAUUCUUGCCUGGAAACGACUAUGCGCCAAGGAGGAAACAAAGAAGAAUAUGCAGGGCAGUUUCCUGAUAAAUUAUGCAUACGUAUAAAAUUGAAAUUUUUUAAAUAAAAAAAAAAAGAGUACAGAAAAUGAUUCAGGGUCACGGGUUCUGCAAGAGAAGAUAAGGAUGGAUGUGUGAUGUGCCACAUCUGUUCCUGGGUUAUUCGGUACUCCGUUCAUUGGAUUACGUACUAAUUUUGAAUUAGAAAAAUAUUUAAGUAUUAAUUUAGAAGAUGAUUUUGCCCUUCUCAAACCUCCUGCACUCAUUUAACACUUGAGGAGUGCAUAAAAUUGUUUUUAGAGUCCAAAAUCAAUCUAAAUUUUCAGAUAAGUAUAGCUAGGGUUGGAUAUGGUUCGGUUCAGUCUUGUUUAGGGCCAAAACCAGUACUCUUUUUGUUGUUUUCAUGUCCAAAAUUAAUAGGCGAAAACUACCAAAACCUUAGGCGAUUAGGGUUUUAGCAUAUUGGAGAGGUCAGUUUUCUGAGACAUGUCAUGCCUUUGAAUUUUAUAUAUAUGAUGCUCAUGCGGGUCAGUUUCUGUCUUGUAUGAUUCUAUCCAGGACAAUGCAUGCCAUAUAGUAGAUACUCAAUCGAGAUUGCAAGGCCAGUCAUGCAUCAAUCCCACCUUUUUCCACAUCAGUUUUGGCUUCUUUUUCUUUGAUAUUUCUUCAACUUCAAGAGUCUCUCAAGUGGGUCGUACUCCAUUUGACUAUCGAAUGGCUAUAACUUAAGGCAGCCUUUCAGGGAAAAAAGGAAAAAGAACAAAGACUUAUGAUUUCAUUGACUUGAUUAAGAGUCGUUUCUACAAUAGAUCCAAAAUCAUUUUUGGCAUCAUCUCUUAGUGUCUGGAAUAGAUUGAUGAUAAUGAUAUAAUCAAUAUUCGAACCCCCCUCAUUUAUGAGACGGCUAAUUAGUCUAGAAGAAGAGCAUCAACCCCUUCAAUCAAAUGGGUUUUCUUAAUUACACUUCAAGCAAUCUUUCACCCUACAGAUUGUGAUAAAUUUUUAUAACCAACCUUCAAAUGUCGCUUUUUACAAUAAAUUAAAACUUGUUUAUCUUUAUAAUAUUGAAAUAUGCCCUAAAAUUCGUAUCCAAAUGAUGAAAUCACAGAAUUACAAAGUAGCCAACGUUGCAAAUCAGUUUCUUUUUAAAUAAAAAGAAAUGGGCAGAGUGAAUCUAAUUAUAAAAACCUAGAAUACUUAAGCUUUACUUAGUAUGAGGUCUCAAGUUCAUAUUAGUCAAAGAUUCGCAAGCGUGUAUGCUCCAUUUGGGACUAAUAAGUCAAAAAACGUCACCUAACGCAGUCAGUUGCUGCUCCAACAAAUACCACUCUUUACAUUAUUUUUCUUGAACUCACUUGUUUAGGGACUAAUUAGGCGACUAGUUCAACAUAAUCAUAAAUUAAGCAAGCGUAUUACCGUGGCGAUGCAACUUCUGUUUCCAAACACAUGAAAUCUUCUAAACUUUCGACCCCAAUGUCUUGACCAAUUAGCCGUUUUCCAGAUUAUCAUACAUUUUAAUGAUUGCUAGACGCUAAAGAGAGAAUAAAGUUUUAUUCCUCCUCUUAGACUCCAGUGGGGUUUAAACACAUAACAUAAUCCUAUUCAGAUUGAUUAAUCUCUGUUAAUUAAUUAGUCCUGUUUUGUUUAAAGCUUCCCAAAACCUUUUCAAUGGUGCUAGGAUGGCCAGUUUAUAAACUUUAUAUAUUAUAUGACAUAUGUACAUACAGCUGGGCAUGCAUUUGGUGUUGGUUUCCCAUUAAAGCAUGACCUCUGCCAAAAAAAAUGUGUAAAGAAAGUGAAAAGAGUUGCCUUUGCCAUGACCUUUCUCUCAUUUAAAUCCUUGGGGAGGAAAAGGAAGGGGUGCAUGCUUUCAGAAUAUGCAUCUUUUGAAUUAGUCUUGUAAACCCUAUUAAACAAUAAUCCUCUGCGUACCACAUCCAUAUGGUAUAGAAAAUAAAAAUAAAACCCAGAGGAAUAAAAUCUCAUGGGAUCUUCCCAAGUGUACCACUAAUGAUUUCAGAAGAGCAGGAAAGUGAGGGAGGCCUGUUGAGAAAAGAAGAUAAAGCGGAACACUCCAAAUGGGAGAAAAUUUUGCCACAUACUGUUCAGAUGCAUCUUUUUCUCACAUCAGAUAAAGUGGAAGGUGAUGGUGGCAUUGAGGGAGAAAGGUGGAAAUGAAGCAUAAGAGGACAAUUAUGAUUAUGGUUAGGAACAGACUCAACUCAAAUGGGUUGGAUCCACCAUAUCCUUUUUUCCCCCCCUCAAAGUUUGUAAAAAAGCCAUUGAUCUUGGCCCUACAUAUCUUGCCUUGUAGGUUCCACAAAAUACCUCUCAAUCUUUCAAGGGUGCUGCUGGAUCUGCUUCUUCUUCUUGUUUUUUUUAAUUUUAUUUUUAAGGGUCGGAAUAGGUCUGCUUCUUUUGUGUUAGAAAAGUGAUGGCACUGAGGCUUUUUGUACCAAUUCUUUUUAUAUUUUGGGUUUCUGGAAACCAAUUGUUUUUUUGCAAAAUUUAUUGCAAUAAAGAUAAAAUCAUGAUUGAGUUAGGAAUUUAGGAAGGUGUGCUUAAGUUGGGCCACUGCUUCAACCUUUUUCUUUUUAGACCAGAAAUCUGAGUUUAAUUAAAUCAUCAUAGAAUUUUUAUUAGCAGGCCACCAAGAAAUCUUUUUUGUUAAUUAAACUUGAAGCAAAGCUCAAGCACGACCCCUCAAGCAUCAUGUAAUUAUAUCUCGAAACAGUAAAAAUUUCAGAAAGUUCUAAGCAAAACUAAUAAUCACACUUAAUUUCAACAUUUGGUAAUUAGCUUUUUCAUCAAUCAAAAGUUACCCUUUUUUGCUUUCUAAUGUGGAAAUGGAAAUCAUAAAACGUAUGCGUCUCUUGCAAACAAACAGCAAUAAUUUUGUUGUACCAUUAGCUUUGCCAACAGAAGAGACACACAGACACAUGGUUCUUCUGUUCAUGUUUGAGUUGAGAUUGAUGUAAGGCCAACCUCAUGCAAACGUUAUCAUAACUCGGGGCAAAAAAAAAAAGGGAAGAAGAGAAUCGUAAAGCUUUGUGUUUUACUUGCCUGAAUAAUUUGGUAAAGCUUUCAAGUUGAUUUUGCCCUUUUGUCUGCAUGCACAGAUAGUGAGCCUCCUCUUUUCUCGCGGGUGACAAGCCCCAUCAUAUCUUCUACAACAAUGUCUUUACCUAACCAAUUUACUGUGCAUGUUCCCCUCCUGAAACUAUCUGUUGUGUAUUAGGGCUUCAGCUAUGCACUCUCUAAGAUUCUGUGUCUUAUGUUAUCACUCCGUGACUUUAAACUAUUGAUUAGGUUGAUUGAUAGGGUUUAUAUAUUGAUUAUGUUGAUUCUUGUUUGAAUGUGUAUUUCGAAUUCAUAGUUUAUCAAAAAUAAAUAAAAUCAUAUGCACUGUAAUCAAGCUUAUUGAUCGGGUAGGUUAAUACUCGUCUAAACCUAGAAUUCAGACUCACAAUUGACCAAUUGUGGGACAAGAACAUUAUGUACCCUAGAAUUAUAAUAGAAGUAGGUAGCAAUUAACUUGGAAGGCUUAAAAACAUUUGCAUUGGGGGAACAGAUAAGUAAAAGCGUUGUGUCUAUCAGUGUGACGUUUAUCGAGUAAGAAUUGAAGUUGAAGGAGAUGGCAAUUGGGUGAGGAUUAAAUAAAGAACAGGGUAGGUGGUCCAGGUGGAUGUUAUAACAUUCAGUAUAGGUUAGGUGGCAUACGUUGAAUGCUGAGAUUAAACCAAAGUUGAUAAGUUAGAGGCUCAAUUUAAAUACAGUGCCACUAUGCCAGACACCAGUCAUGAUACUUGUUCCCGACCUAAAAAAUCAGCACUACUGUGUACAUUUACUCGAAAAGAGAAAGGAAAAUAAAACCCACACCAGAAUUUACAAAAUUUUUGAAUAGUUUUUCUAAGCAGUUUUGUAUGCCAUUAUACAUAUAGAGGAGACUCGAACUCGUAAUCUCUUAUAAUAUUAAAAGAAAUUUAUUAGACUAAGAGCUAGUUGAUCCGAGUUUUUAAGUUAUUUUAAGUUAUUUCUUUCACUGUUCAAACAUCAAAACAUUUAUCCAAAGGUUUUUUUGUAAGUUUAUGCAUUCCAAUUUGGAUUCUGGCAGCAGCCAACUUGGAAAAUGUUCAGCACAUGUGACGUGCCUUUGUGUUCAAUCAAUUUCUACUUCCGGUCUACUCGAAGUCCCAAAAGCUUCUUGGUGGUUUCAAAUCAUCUUCCUGGAAUUUUACCCAUUAUUCAAGCUUUGAGGCAAUCUAUCAACAUCAGACAAAACCUUUAACAUAUCCAAUUUACAAAGAGACACCACUCGCACAGCCUUUUAUUUUUUAUAUUUUUUUUAUAAAAAAAUUACAAAAAUAUUUGCUUGGGCGGAACAUGCAUGUACAUUGUACUGUGUACAGUACGGUUUAUAAAUGUGCUGCCAAGUCCCAGAUUUACCACCAAACAAAUUAAAAUUUAUUUUAAUUUCCUUCACCAACCCUUGCAAUUUAAAUUUGAAUUUUUAUUCUUCUGUAUAUAUAUAUAUAUAUAUAUUUUAUCAAAAUAAAACCUUGACUUUGAAUUUCAAAUUUGACUAUCGACAGGUACAAAUCAAGUUGGUGGAACCUUAUUGCAAACCCAACAACUUAUACAAUGCGAAUUCACAAACAUCUGGGUGUCCAGAAAGACAAGCAAAUAACGGCAUUGCAUUCACCAUCCCCAAUAACUUCAAAACCAUCCAAUUACAAUCAUUUAAGAAAGUCCAAGAAGCUAAGAACACUUUAUAUAUGUUGGGUUGAUUCCCUUUUAACUGCCACAUAAUGUAGUUUUAAUAUGUUGUGUUCUUAAAUUAUCAAUAUAAAUUACGCAAAUUUCUUAUUUAAUUAUAUUAUUUGAUAACGUUAUGAUAGAUGCACAUAAAUGUACUUCAGGCGAAACACUCUCAUGCAAUUGAGAUAAUAUUUUUUGAUAUAUUCGAUUAAUAACACAAGAGCAAGUGGAUUAACUUUUUUUAUGUAUUAUUACGUUAUUAAUCAAAAAUAAUAAAAUAGUAUUAUCUUCGUCACAAUAAAGAUUUUUUUAUUACCGAAUAGCAGGUAUGCUCGACAAAGUGUGUGUCAUACUUGUCGAAUUGUCAGGGGGGGGAAACUCUGGCGCGCACGGGGUUAAAAUGUCCUGGGUUUGGCAGCAAAAGCAAAGGCCUCGUGUGGGCCACCCCCAGGAAGAGUAGGACCCAAAGAACAGCUAGACCAUUUUACCAUGGCCGGUGUCUGAGUACCCGCUUUGUGGCCUAAACUCAUCCACUUUUGGGGAAAAGAAAACGACGGUGAUUAAUGAAGAAUGCCAAGAAAUUGGUGGGGGAGCGUGCCAAAAUUAAACAGUAGAAGAAAGUUGUAGACAAAAAUGGAAAAUUUUGGAACUACCCCAAUAUAUUUUACACUAUUUAUGGUUUGGUGUAAUUUUAUUCGUUCCAUUCUUAUUUAAUCCUUCCCCUUCUGCAUCUCACUAACCUUCUCCAAUGGAACAAAAUCUGUCUCCCUUAGAUGUAGAGUUGUAAAUUUACAUGCUUAUCCCUUGAUAGUUUGGGCUUUUCUUUUUCCCAAACUUUUUUUUUCCUUACUAUCUACCCAGCAAUUUUACACAAUUGUUUGUUGCACGGGAAAAGUUUCCUUAUAUAAAUAUGUAUUUGAUUUUGUUCAUUUUUUUCAUUCGAGACGUGGAGUUUCAAAACAGACUUGCUUAUUGUAAAUGCGAGAUAAUUGCUAUAUGACUAAAAGUUAUGAGGUCCUACAGUUUCACUUAUAUUUUGACAAACACAUAAUACAACUAACUAUGAAUUACGUGUAUUUAUUAUGUAAUUUGAGUAGCAUUUCUACGCAUGAAUAUUAGAAUUCAGACGUUCAAAUUCACAAUUUGUUUUAUGUUCCAAAAAACUCACUUUAUAUGUUAUUUGCGAGUUCAGGAGAAGUGUACGUAUUAUUAAAUACAUUAAUAAUAUUUAUAAGAAAUUAAAAAGAAGGUGGAAGUGGAGAGUUUGAAAAUAAGCGUAAAAGUAAGUAAGGGUCAUUUUGCAAAUCCCAUGACCCAAAAAUUGGGAAGUUUGAAAAUUCCCUCCUUGAAGAACCGUUGAAAACUUGUAAGUAACAUUGUCUUGACUGUUGUGUGUGGAGAGAGCACAUAUUCCCAAAAGCUUGGACAUUGGGCAGCACAGAAAGGUCAAUUGGAGUUUCCAUUUUCUACCGCUGGUUCUUCAAGUCAUGCAAACUGUUCCUCUGCCUCUGGCCCUGUGAUGAAAUCUCCACCGAAUCUUGGGCGUCAGAUUGAUCGGAUGGUUUGGUAAGCUACUGUAAUAGAUACGAUUUUUGCCUGCUUUGUAGUCUUACCCUUUUGGACACUACCAAUGGCUAAGCAUAAUAACGAAUAUACGGACUGAUCUCCACCGUGCACGGCACCUAACCCCAACAAAAUCUUCCUUUCUAGACUGAUUUCUUAACCCCUACCUAAACCCUUUUUUUCUGUGGUCAAAUUUAGCAAUAAAUUUGGACGUUAAACUAUAAUUAAUUAAAACCAACUUUCAACUUUGCCAUUGGUAAUUGCACUUCAAUCCCAAAUUUCUUGCGUUGUUAAUUGGUUUUCCUAAAACAUGCCCUUUAUUAUAUUUUUAAUGGAAGUUUGAAAAAUGAGGACAUAUACAUUGGGGACACCAUAUCUCAACUCUGGGAGAAAAACUUACUUAUUUCUUGUUUCAUAUAUAUUUCUCCACGUCUAUCAUCUUAUGAUGUGCAAUAGGAGAGAUGAGAAAAAAAAGGCUAUAAAACAUGUUACAUGGAAGUUUUACUCAACUCGAAAGUAGUAUAUGAUAAAAACAUAUAAUCCGACAAGAUAUAUGUGUGUAAAACGUUCUUCUUUUUUUUUUUAAGUGCCCAAGUAAAAAUAUUAACAAAUAAAGUGAAUGUGAUCCCGAGUUCUCUCUAGCUACGAGAGAGAGGGAAGCCAAUUCCAUGACGCUUGGUGGGGAACAGGACAAACAACAAGCUGCACACAACAGCAAUUCCGACAGGGAACGCCGCUAAAAGCUGCUUGCCCUCCUCCGACGGCUUGGGGUAGAAACAGUUGACAAUAUUCUGAUCAACCAAAGCCAGUGCAGCAAAUACAAAUAUGGACAUCAAGGCAUGGAAGAAAUCAAUGAAUCUCAGCCUGUACUUGGCCACCUCCUCCGGUGCAAUGGGGACUUUCGACCCGUCGAUGACCCACAACCCUUUAAAAGUCGCCAACCCGUAUCGAACCUUGCCCCGUUCGUCCCUCAAGCUGUCGGUGAAGCACAAGAGGAAGCAGGUAAGGCUGCAGACUAUUAGAAGUCCUAGCGUCAUGGUUUUGUUGAUGGGGGUAGGGCACUGCCCUUGGCGUGUGAAACCCGGGGAGAACAUUUGGAAAACGAGGACCGUUCCGGUGGGAAGAAGAUUUGACAGAUGGGCUGUGCCUUUAAAGGUCUUUCUAAUGGCCUUUUGUGCAGGGGUUUUUGGCGGUUUUGGCGCAAUUGAUGCUGCAUUAUUUUCCAACAGUGGUUGCUCAUAUGUUUCUUGAAGUGCAGGUGCAGCCAUGUAGAUAUAUAUAUAUAUAUAUAUGUAUGUAUGUAUAUAUGAGUUCUAUUUCUGUAUGAGAUUGGCUCAAGAUUGAUUCUUCAUUAGCUAGGGUUUGUGUGUUCUUCUUAAACUUUGAUUCACCGUGUGCUUUGUUAUUAUGGAAGAUUGGAAUAUAUAUGGUUAAGGAAAAUUUGUUUUUCUGUUUGGUGUUAGCGAGCAAAUGGUUAAUUUUUAGAGAUGGAUGGAUGAAGUGUUGAUCAACUGCUCUUUUUCAUAACUCUGGCCUUCUAGUAACUGUUGUACAAAUUAAUUUUCGUUAGGGAGUUUCAUUUGAUUGGUUGUUGUGGGAUCUAGGUAGGAAGGGUUAGGGUUAGGGUUUACUGAGAUUGAAUGGACGGGAUGGAGUAUGAAUUACGUUCGCAUUACUAAAUGAACAUGGAAAACAAAUUUAAUUUAUACCAGCCUAAUGCUUCAUGGUACUUAUUUUUUAUAAUUAAGUAAAAUAUGUAUCCAUUCUACAUAAAUGAAUAAUAAAAAAACACACACACAUUUGAAUUAACAAUAAUGUCUUACCACAUUUUAUGCCAUAGUUCUUUUUGAGAAAAAAACGAUAGUUAUUAUUGAUGAAACAUAUCAAAGUGCAAAGUCAUAAAAGAGUUUGAUCUGGAGAGAAUUAAGCCUAAACCAACAAAUACUCAACCCUUGAUUCAACAUCUAGAAGGACUCUUACUCAGACUAACAAUACAUCUUCACCGUGCAACGACAAAAAUGGCAUACCUGUAUUGCAGCCGAAAACUAUAAUGCAAAGCACAACAAACUCUUAAAGAGUUCAUGAAAAUUAAAAUAAAAAAUGCAGCAAACUCCUAAAGAAUAAUAGAAUUAAAACAAGAAACAUGAACAAGCAACAUGCCAUUGUUCUAUUUGGCUGAGAUGGCGAGAUCACAUAACCUAUAGUUAUGUUGUUUCAUGCCUUCAAUUAAUCAGUUCUGAUUUCUUGAACUACAGAGAUCCAAGAAAUUUGUGGUUACUCACUGUUGAAUUUGUUCACUAACUCUUGCACUUUUUAUAAGAAAUUUUUUUGAAUCAUUGGAUUAAUAUCCAAUGGUAAGUGACCACAAUCAGGAUUGUCAAUUAAUAGCUGAAAAUGUAUUUUUAAUAUUAAAAUAAUAAUAAUAAUAAUAAUAAAGAAAGAGGUUUCUCACACACACGUUAUAAAAUGUCAUGGAAAUUCGAAUAUGAAACCUUAAUCUACAAGUUCAUGCCUUUUCCGCUAGUUAGAUUCUGUUUGUAUUAUACCUUGUGAUUUGUUUGCCAUGAGUGAACCCUUAAAUUAUUAUAGAGGGGCAACGACUUUGUUUUUUUUAUUGAACAAGAAGAACAAAGAUUGAUAUGGGUCUAGAAAAAGGAAAAAGAAAUAAUUUUAACAUAAAUGAGAUGAAGUGAGUUGGGCUUAUCCUCACUAUGGGAAUGUCGUUUUCUCUCAUGUACUACAAACUGACGGUCGGCUUUUCUUUGCAAAGCCAAGCCUCCGCCCGCCACGGUGGCUGCCUCCAUCCAUAAACCGUCAGCCAAGACGACCACGAACUGCAAGCCUCAAGCGUUAGAAACCUGACUGAGAAAAUCCAAGUAGAGACUCCAGAUCCGAAGCGUUAACCCAGACACACCACCAACCACACCCUGAUCACGCUAAUCUUGUGCGAGCUUCCUCUUUUCAGACUUGCAGUGUUAAAUUUAAAAAUUUUUUUUAAAAAAACAAAGAUUCAAAAAACGUGAAUUUUCGUAACUGCAUGUCUCAUUCUACUAAUUAAACUGUAUUAGUCUAAUCCAGGGCCAUUAAUCUCAGACCUCCAACACCGUCAAUCCCCAUCGCACCUCGGAGAGACCGACGUGGUCGACCUCCACCUCCAGAUUUAUAGCCGUUGACCGUUCAACCUUAUCACUAAUAUCAUUCGGAACGUACUUAAAUAUUUUAUUAUUUUCUUUAAAUGAAUAAUAAGUUUUGUAUUUUGCAUACAAAUUCAUAUUUUUUUUAGUGAGUUCUUAUGUUACAUUGUUAUAAUAAAAAUCUUGGUUAGGGGCAAUGACGCACCUCCUCUCCUUGGAUUUAAGUUCGAAUUCGAACUUACGUUGUUAUAAAUUAGAUUAAUUAGAUCAAUAAAAAGAAAAUCUCACAUAUUUAUUUGUAGAAAUUAUGCAAAAUUAUUUUGUCUCUAAAAGUUAGAAAAAGAAAAGAGAAAGUUGGAGAUGAAUUAUGUUUUACUACACAAGAAAACAUUUUUCAUAAAAUGUUUCAUAGACAAGAAGAAAGUAAAAAUGUAGUCAUCAAUUGAGAGCCUUCCGUCAUAAUUUUUCUACCAAGUUCCCAACACAAUCAAUUACUUUUCCCUCUUUACUCAAAAACCACUUCACAUAUAUGAACACACCCACCCAAUAUUCACCCCACAAACACAAACACAAACACAAACAGAAACACACACCCUUCCCUCCUCCGCCUCGCUCCUCACUCCCAUUUCUUUCUAGAAGCAAACAACAGCACCGAAAAUGCUUCUCUUCCUCCCUCUCCUUCUGUCCCUCCUCUUCCCCCCACUCCCAACCCUCUCUGUCAACCAAGAAGGCCUCUACCUCCAGCACUUCAAAAACUCCCUAGACGACCCAGACUCCACCCUCUCUUCAUGGAACGACCACGACGUCACGCCGUGCUCCUGGUCUGGCGUCAAAUGCGACGCCACCUCCAACGUCGUUCACUCCAUCGACCUCUCCAGCAAAAACCUCGCCGGCCCUUUCCCCACCGUCCUCUGCCGCCUCCCCAACCUCACCUUCCUCUCUCUCUACAACAACUCCAUCAACUCCACCCUCCCCCCCUCCCUCUCCACGUGUCAGCAUCUCGAGCACCUCGACCUCGCUCAGAACCUCCUCACCGGUGCCCUCCCCAGCACCCUACCAGACCUCCCCAACCUCAAGUACCUCGACCUCACCGGCAACAAUUUCUCCGGAGAAAUUCCCGACACUUUCGGCCGCUUCCAAAAACUCGAGGUCCUCUCUCUGGUCUAUAAUCUCUUCGACAGCACCAUCCCGCCGUUCCUCGGCAACAUUUCCACCCUCAAAAUGCUCAACCUCUCUUACAACCCGUUUCAUCCGGGUCGGAUCCCGCAGGAGCUCGGCAACUUGACGAACCUCGAGGUCCUCUGGCUCACCGAGUGUAACUUACUCGGCGAGAUUCCCGACUCGCUGGGUCGCCUCAAGAAGCUCACCGAUUUGGACCUGGCCAUCAACGACUUGAACGGCACGAUUCCGGCUUCGCUCAGUGAGCUGACCAGCGUUGUUCAGAUUGAGCUCUACAACAACUCGUUGACCGGAGAGUUGCCUCCCGGAAUGUCGAACUUGACCCGGCUGAGGCUGCUCGACGCGUCCAUGAACCAGCUGAGUGGGCAGAUUCCGGACGAGUUGUGUCGGUUGCAGCUCGAAAGUCUCAACCUUUACGAGAACAAUUUCGACGGGAGCUUGCCCGAGAGCAUUGCGAACUCGCCCAAUUUGUACGAGCUUAGACUCUUCCGAAACAAACUCACCGGCGAGUUGCCCCAAAAUCUCGGGAAAAACUCGCCGCUGAAAUGGCUUGAUGUUUCGAGUAACCAGUUCUCGGGUAGCAUCCCGCCGACUCUUUGCGAGAAGGGACAAACAGAAGAGAUUCUGAUGAUACACAAUUAUUUUUCCGGCGAGAUUCCGGCAAGUUUGGGUGAGUGUCAUAGCUUGACCCGGGUCCGAUUGGGUCACAAUCGGUUAAAUGGGGAAGUUCCUGUGGGUUUUUGGGGGCUGCCUCACGUGUAUUUGAUGGAGCUCGUUGAGAAUGAGCUUUCUGGGCCGAUAGCGAAGACCAUUGCCGGAGCGGCGAACCUCUCGCUUUUAAUUAUAGCGAAGAACAAGUUCACGGGUUCGAUACCGGAGGAGAUUGGAGGGGUCGAGAGUCUUAUGGCGUUUUCUGGUGCCGACAAUGGGUUCAGUGGGCCUUUGCCACAGAGCAUAGUGAGACUUGGGCAGCUUGGAACUCUGGACCUCCACAAUAACGAACUGUCUGGUGAGCUCCCAAAUGGGAUCCAAUCUUGGACGAAGCUCAACGAGCUCAAUUUGGCAAAUAACCAGCUUUCUGGGAAAAUCGCAGAUGGGAUUGGGAACUUAACGGGGCUUAAUUACCUUGAUCUUUCCGGGAAUCGACUUUCCGGGAGAAUCCCAGUUGGGUUGCAGAAUAUGAGACUCAAUGUGUUCAAUUUGUCCAACAAUCGGCUUUCGGGUGAGCUCCCGCCUCUUUUUGCUAAGGAAAUUUACAAAAAUAGCUUUUUGGGAAACCCUGGUCUUUGUGGAGAUUUGGAAGGGUUAUGUGAUUGCAGAGCCGAGGUGAAAAGCCAGGGGUAUAUAUGGUUGCUGAGGUGCAUCUUCAUUCUAGCUGGUUUAGUCUUUGUUGUGGGUGUGGUUUGGUUUUACUUGAAGUACAAGAACUUCAAAAAGGCUAACAGAGCUAUCGACAAGUCGAAAUGGACAUUGAUGUCGUUUCACAAACUGGGCUUUAGUGAGUAUGAGAUAUUGGAUUGCCUUGAUGAAGAUAAUGUGAUUGGCACUGGGGCAUCUGGUAAAGUGUACAAGGUUGUUCUAACCAGUGGAGAGGUUGUUGCGGUGAAGAAGCUAUGGAGAGGGAAAGUAAAGGAGUGCGAGAAUGACGAUGUUGAGAAAGGUUGGGUCCAAGACGAUGGCUUUGAGGCAGAGGUUGACACUUUGGGGAGGAUUAGGCACAAAAACAUUGUGAAGCUUUGGUGUUGUUGCACUGCUAGGGACUGCAAGCUCUUGGUUUACGAGUACAUGCCAAAUGGUAGUCUUGGUGAUUUGCUGCAUAGCAGUAAAGGAGGGUUGCUGGAUUGGCCUACAAGGUAUAAGAUAGGUCUUGAUGCUGCGGAGGGGCUUUCUUAUCUGCACCAUGAUUGUGCUCCUGCAAUUGUUCAUAGAGAUGUGAAAUCAAACAACAUCUUGUUGGAUGGAGAUUUCGGAGCACGAGUGGCGGAUUUUGGAGUAGCCAGGGUGGUUGAUGCAACUGGGAAAGGACCUAAAUCUAUGUCGGUCAUUGCAGGUUCUUGUGGUUACAUUGCUCCAGGUCAGUGAGUAAAUUUCUAUUCAAAUUGCAGAUAAAAUUCCCUCGAAUUUAUGUUGUAUUCAUGUUCUUGUAGAAAGUUUAGAUUUUGAUGCUGAAAUUUGAUUGUGUUGUGCUCCAUCAUUCUUGAAGAGGAAUGUGCGGUGCACGAUAUUUGUUCAAAACUCUUGCCAAUAUCUCUCCAAUUACUUUCAUAUUGUCUAGUUAAAAAUAUUAUUCUAGUAUUCUAAUCCUGUAAAUGUAAUCUUGCUGCAGAGUAUGCUUACACCCUCAGAGUGAAUGAGAAGAGUGAUAUCUACAGUUUCGGUGUGGUUAUUCUGGAAUUGGUUACUGGAAGACUCCCAGUUGAUCCAGAGUUUGGAGAAAAGGACUUGGUGAAGUGGGUCUGCACCACUUUGGAUCAGAAAGGAGUGGACCAUGUAAUUGACCCCAAAAUUGAGUCUUGUUAUAAGGAAGAAGUUUGCAAGGUCCUCAAUAUUGGCCUCCUCUGCACCAGUCCUCUCCCAAUUAAUCGUCCAUCUAUGAGAAGAGUUGUGAAAUUGCUGCAAGAAGUGGGCACAGAGAAACAUCCCCAGACUGCCAAAAAAGAGGGGAAAUUGUCACCCUACUACUAUGAAGAUACCUCAGAUCAUGGAAGUGUAGCUUGAGAAGUUUCAUAUAUGGCCUGUUGCAAAGCAAUGGUUAUGGGGGAAGUUUUAUAUCUAAGCUUUAUUUUAUCAGUUUUUGAAGCUUUUUUGAAAGCUAACUUCCCAAAUCGUUUUCACCCCCUCUUGGGUUUUGAUCUCAUAGCAAGCAAGGAGGGAAGAGAAUAUUGAGAGGAAUUUCUUUUUGAGAAAGGGGAAAGUUAUGAGGGGGGGUGGGGUUAAUAUUCUAUACUGUAAAAAUUGAUUAACCACCAAAGUUUUUCAUCUGCUAAGUUUAAGUAGCUACCUGCAAGUUGCAAUGGCAGACCUCCUUGACAGUGAUGUAUACACUGUUUAGUGAUUGUGAUUUGUCUCUGAAAUCUCACUCGGGAUGUAUGAAAUGAAAUGGGAAUUCUGGCAUUUAUGAGCAACCCUUGUAGCUAGUUAUAUACUUUUAUGAAUUGUGACAAUGUUUUGCGAUUGUACACCUGGUUUGGUUUGCUGUGUGAGCCUAAGACAAUGUUCCAGAUUUAAAUGUUUUUUACUAUUCUCUGCAGUGACUUUUUUUAAUUUAAAAAACCUCCUUUAUUAUUUGAUUAUUUUGAUUCAUUCAUAUAAGCAGAGGACAGCAAUAAGCCUGUCUAUUAGUAUUAAUAAGGUAGUUAGGUAAGAGUUGGCCCUCCUUCCUGGGUCCAAUUCCAACUAAGUGAAAAGUGACCCUUGUCUGUGCUGCCUCUCAUUUUGCUGUGCUUGACUCUAAUAGGAAAAUGACUUAGGAGGACAUAACACAGACAGAGAGAGAGAGAGAGAGAGAGAGAACUACUCAAAGUUAUGAUUUUGUUUGGUAGUUGGUGGUGGUUUUGAUUGCCCAGCAGAGGAAGAUUUAGUUAAAGCUUAACAUGCAAGGAUGGCCAAAGAGGAAAAUUUACAGAGGUCUGCUCCUACAGUGAGCUAUUAUAAGUAGUAGAUGCCCACAUUGGCCUGGCCAGUCUAUUUAAUAUGGCCCGCGAAUAUUUGACAUUGCAAGCAAACCCUAUAUCUCUAUCUAUAUACUUGAGUAGCUUUGAGGGUACACUGCCCAAACUGUGUGUUCCCAGCAAAUGCGUAGUAAAUUGUGAGUUGUUCAUCUUGUGAAGAACUUCCAAAUCUGUGUUUUACAUCAAUGCGAGACACUGCCAAGUCUGUGCCGUUAUUAGAGUAUAUAACUGAUCACAUCCCUUCCUAACUUUAUUCGUCACAUUUAGUUACUGCAUCAAUGCGCACCCCACCUCCAUUCAGUAAAUUUUGCUCUUUUUUACUACUAGCUUGUAGCUUUGGCAAUCCAACUUUAAACCUAUAUUAUAUUACUAUCUAUUAUUAGUCAAGCGACAUUUCUCUUUCUCAAGUUCGAUUCCGUCCUUUCCCGAUCCAACUUGAGAAAAAUGCAGUAGGCAUAAUAAACUGACGAGGACAUUUACUGAGGUAGGUGUGGUGUGGACCGAGUAGUUGGGGCAGGCUUUGUGAGUGGACUGGCUCUGAGUUUGGGUUAAUUUUAGAUAUAGGUUAGCAUUUACAGGUUAGUUAGUACUUAAUUAGUGAGUUGACGAGCUAAUACUUUGUUUUAAUCAUUUAUGAACGAUCAAUUUCAAUGUGCAGUUGUGCAUGUUGUGCAUGGUUUUACCUGUUACCUUAUUAUUUAGUUUUAAUGGUUGCUUGCUUAGUCAAAUUUUUAACAAAUUCCUACACCUAACAUCUACUUAUCAGUUCCAACAUAAACCCAUCAAAUUAACACACUUUUCAAUCUUAUAAAGAAAAUUACGAAUUUCCGAAAAACAAAACAUUAUUUAUAAAUCCGCAAUGGUUAGCCAAUAUUUAUAAAUCCGUAAUGAUUAUUCUUUUAUUCAUCUUAAAAUGGGCCUGAUUGAGCCCAUAAAAUAUAUCAUAUUUAUUGGACCAUUGGGCCUUCUCAAAAUGAGAGUUGAUAAGAACAUUUGUCUAGCAAAGUAUUUCUUAAAUAAAAAAAAUAUUUUCAGAGAUCUCUUUAAAUAAAUAAAAAAUAUUAAGAAAAAGCUGACCUCCACCAUGUAAAUAAUUGUGUUUUGAUUGUUUUAUGGUCCAUUAUAUUUCUGCUGUCCUAGCAAGAUAUCUAAUUAUUCAGUCUUGAAUUAACUCUUGGUUAGGUUCUCCUCUUUUAGGAAGGGGUUCACGAAUUGUUUGGUAAAAUCAAGAAAACAGGGGGAUAAAAUAAAAACGAAAGAAGGAAAAGCUUCUUGACAAGACUGACUUAUCCAAGCAUUAUUCUCAGUUGAAAUAAUAUUAAAAUGGCGUUAUGGAUCAAAAUCAACGAUCUCUUUCAAUAUGAACACAUACUCACUACAACUAGUGACAAAUGACCAUUCAAAUGGUGUGUAUUAGACGUAGAUGUGGUUCUACACUACUCAAUGAGAUUAAAAGCGGUUUUUGACAAUCAAAAGCACUUCUAACUUCGUUUAGUCAAAAAAUUUAGAAGUAUUCUAGGCCAUAGAAGCGCUUUCUGAAGAAGCAGUUCCAAACAAGCCUAAAUAAGUCAUGAUGAUUCAACAAGUUUGGUAUUAUUUUUAUUGUUAAGUUAAUUGUAAUCGUCACAUGUAAUUGAAUUUACUAAAAUUUCAUUUAACAUAAACAAAUCAUCAUAGGCACAAUCUAAUCCUGCUCAAGUUCUGAUUGAGAAUUCCACUUUCAAAAGCUUUACUUCUCGGUAAGCAUUUGAUACAAAUAUUCAACUGAUUAUGGGCAAGGAACCAUAUAGCCCUUCCUUUCUCACCCGUGCUGCUAUCUUUUAACUUUUCACUUGUUUAUUUAUGCCAAACAAGACAAGAACAAAUGAAAAAUAAUGGAUUAGUGGAUUACCCAAACCAAAUGGAUUGGUGAACUUUGCAAAUUUGCAACCACUCACUUAGUGUUUUAGAAAGUUUGAGAUAUUUAAUUCUCUCAGCUCUUGACAUGGCUAAAUGUCUGUGUUCUUAACAGAGAUUAAGGAAGCAAGGAAGGAACCCCAAUCAUAAAGAGCUAAGCAUGACAAAGCAACAGAAUAUUUAAUUAAAUCCCAUAAUUUAUACUUUAGUUUUCCAAAAAUCUGUACUUGCAAUAAGCUUUGUUUGAAAAAUUAGAGGAGGCGGCCAACCAUGAACCAACAUAACUAAACAAGACCAAGACUUCCAAGUUUCUUACCAAUCCACCACAAUUUUCAAAGAAGAUGCUAUCUUUUUCUUUCUCAUCUCUUUUCAAAAUCUAGUUUAUCUAGUUUGUGAUCUUUCCAGCUUUCAAAGCCAUAUAUAUACAUAUGUAAGCCUAUUUCCACACUCCACCUUUAUAAGCUAGCCAACCUCUUCCUCUCUCUUCCCUUUUUUCCCACUCAAUUUGAUCAGACCAGAUCAGAGCAGAGCAGAGCAGCCAUUUAUAAACAUGAAUCACAGUGAACAUAUUGCCUAUCUUUUUGUCAUAGCCCUCCUUUCCACAUCUGUUGUUGUUCUUGGUGUUGUCCUUGGUCUCCUCCUCCUUUGCAAGAAAAAGCCAGUUCAAUCCCAAGAAACAGUGACACCAAUCAAGCCUAGUGCUCAGGUGUAUCCACUAACCAAUAUAGAUGCUGCCACAGAUGGUUUCAAUCAUCAUAGGAUCGUCGGCGAGGGCCGGUUGGGAACUGUCUAUGCUGCUAUAUUUGAGAAAGGGGAGAUAGCAGCAGUGAAAAGAAUCCAUUCUAGGCAUGGCUUACAUAUGUAUAUAUAUGGCUUUGAAAGCUGGAAAGAUCAAUUUCUUCAGCUCAGCACCCCAAUGUGGUACCAAUAAUUGGCUACUCAGAGGGGCCAGGUGAGAGAAUCAUAGUGAUGGAGUUUGUAGGUAUGGUGUGCUUAGAUUUCUAUCUGCAUCAAAACCCAGAGGGGGCAUCUUUGUUAGAUUGGAACCACAGAUUGAAAAUUGCAGCAGGGGCAGCUAAAGGGCUUGAGUAUUUGCAUGAAGGAGUGGCACCAAAUAUAGUACAUGGGUGUGUAAAGGCUUCAAACAUUUUGAUAGAUGUAAAUUUUUGUGCAAGGAUUUGUGAUUAUGGGCUUUCAUUUUUGGCACUCCAAGAGAAGAGAGGUCUAGUUGGGUAUGUGGAUGAUGAGUAUUGGAGAGGAAGUGGUGCUUGCAAGGAAAGUGAUGUCUAUGGAUUUGGGAUUGUUUUGUUAGAGCUUUUGAGUGGGAGAUUAUGCGAGGAGGGGAGGCUUGUGAAUUGGGCAUCGCCACUGAUUAAGGAAAUGAGAAUUAGUGAGCUUUUGGACCCCAGACUUGUCCUUCCUGAUGAUAUUGGGGCUCUUGUCAGAUUGGCAAAAGUUGCUUCUGCUUGUGUUGGAAAUUCCAGAAAAAGCAGGCCUUCAAUUUGUCAAGUGGCAACUAUCUUGAGCAACUUGGAGAUGGAUUGAGAUGGGAUUUUCAUAAAAGUCAAAAGUGGAAAGCCAUGAAUUUCUGUUCUAAAAAAGUUGCUGUGAUUAGUAAAUGAUGAGAAUUGGGCACCACACCAACCAAGAAUUGGAAAUUUGGGUUUACACUUAUUUUUCUUCAUGUAAUGUAUAAUGUGUACAUUCACAUCAGAGUUGCAACAUAUAGUUUUCACACGUGUGAGUUCUAGCUUGCAUUGCAUAUAUGAAGGUGGGGUUCGUGGAAAGAAAUGUUUGAAAUGAGCGGUGGGAGGGACGGUGGGUUUUGUUUGUCUCGUGGGCUGUGAAUUUGAUCUUUUUUCCGUGUUGAUUGAGAUCUUUUGGUGCCGAAAGGGACCCAAUUUUUUGUUCUCUCUCUUUCAAUCAAUUUCUCUGUCCAGUGUUUUUUUGCUUGUCAUUGCUUCAUCAUUUGACUAAACAUCAUAGGUAAAUAAAUAAAUAAAUAUUUUUUUCAAUAAUCAAGUGGUCACAUUUGUAUAUUCAUGGUAUGGUGGUUGGGUGUUCUCAACUGUCACGCUGAAAACUUUAUGUCCAUUCCAUAAAUUUAUUUUAUGUAACAUAUACUCUGUCUUUUGGCAGCAUCUGAGGGGUGAAAAACAAAAAAAUUUAAUCCCCAAUUCCCUCUUUUUAUAGUUGAGGUUUAUCCACAAAUUAUAUGAUUAGAUAAUUAAUGUCAACAUCUCGCUACAACUACCGACAAUGAAUGAUGGGUAGAAUGUGACAGAACGCGCGUAAAAAAAAAAACAAAUUUGAAUGUGAGUAAAAUGUAUCAAUUUAUUUUUCAAAUAUUAAACAAGGGAAAACAAUAGUCUUAAACCUUAAGAUAUCAUCGCGUGAACCUUAAGACAUUGCAUCUUGAAUCUCAAAUUGUCGCGAUGUCGAUCUCUUAAGACAUCGCUUUCAUUUUAUGGACUUGGUUGUCUUUUGGGCUAGUUGUUUCCUUGACUUACCCAAAAGAAAAAACGCAUCGAUAUCUUGGGCUGACGGCCCAUGCUGCAUGUGAAAGGUGGACUCAGAGCUGAAGUAUUGGGCCUGAGUUGGGCUUUGCAAACUCCUAAGCUAGGGUUCAUGGCCAGUGAGCUCGAUGUGUCUGGACUGAGAAGCCUUUCCUGGAGCUCCUUGUGGUAAUGCAGCUCAAAGGGAAGGGAAAACAAUAACAAUUCGACAAACAAUCCAAAGGAAAAGCCAAAAAAAAAAGUUUGAUUAUUUUUAUUGUUCGAUGAUAAAUUAAUGAUUUAUAAGAAUGUUUCUCACGAUCAACAUUUAUUAUUUAAUUCCUCCUUAACAACCGUAUCAUCAACGCUCCUAGAAAAUAAGAAGAAGAAGAAGGAAAAAAACUAUUAGUCUUAAUCCAAGUCAAGUCUCGUUGUCAUCUUCAAUUGACGAAUUGGUGAUUUACAUUGACAAUUGUGUACCUUUUCAAUGUAUUUUCAUCAUGUAAUAGUUAAAAGCAAUUGCUUCCCAAAAGUAACCCAGAUGGUGCAAAAGUCGUUGAUUCCUGUGCAAUUGUUCUCAUUAUGAACAGUUUUCACUGUAUUUUCUUAUCCAAAAAAAAAUAUAUAUUCACAGACUUGACUAUGAACUUAAUGUCAGUAGAGAUUAAGCAACAACUUGAUUUAUCCGGACUAUAAAGUUCCACACGAGAAAUUUUUGAAUCAAUAAAUCGUUUAUAUCGUGAUGUUAUCAAUUCACGUGUUAUAAUAUAAGACACGCAAUUAUUGACACGUAAAAAUAGAAUAUAUUAAAGGCGAUGUCUAAACAAGACGACGGACAAGUAGAAGAGGAGAGCCCUUUCCACAUCGGGAAACAACUUGACAAAGUCCCAAAUCCCUAACCCAUACGUUACAGAUAACAAAAACAAAAUAUACCAAAGGGUAAAGCUUCAUGCUUAAGCUUUCUGUUGCGUGGCUUCUCUAAGAAGCUCAGAUAUGUACAUGUCGGCUGGUACAAGAAAUAUAUACGCGGGGCAAAGCAAUUACCCUCUACAAUCAUGUCCUUCUAUUCUAGUUGCAACGGCCAGUAAGACAAGUCCAUUCGGCAAAGAGCCUCACGUGGCACAUGGGGAUUGGCAUGGUUAAGUUGCAGCAGUUGGCAAUGGAGACGGAUGUAGUGGAUUGUUUGCUAAAAUCGAAUAAAUAUAUAUAUGACGAUGAAAAGCGUAGACUCGUAGUCGUGCAGCCUAAGCCAAAAGUGACAUGUCCGCAUACCAAAUUCUCUGAUUUAUUUGUUGUUACAUACAUUGAAAAGGAUCUGCAUAAUUAAUUUUUCAAAAUUAAUAAGAGUGAUUACGAAAUGAUUUGCAGCGCGCUUGACAUAACACAUCAUCGCAAUAUAUGUAAACAUUGAUUAAUUACUGCAGAGACAGAAGGCAUUUUUAUCGAAAGCUCCAACCACCUCUCCAUCUGAAAAUGUCUUGUUUUCUUUUUCUUAAAUAUUUGUUUUCUUUGAGAGAGAGAGAGAGAGAGAGAGAGAGAGAGAGAGAGAGAGAGAGAGGAGAGGGAGACAGUGAUUCUUUGCUUGACAUAAGAAGUCUACGUGAAGAAAAGGAGAAAUGGGAAAUAUAUACAACAUAACAGAGGUUGGUAUUUUGUAUAAGUAUAUGUAGUUGAUUUUGAGUUGGUUCGUAUGUAGGUGUCUCUGUGAAAUGAAAUGUAUAAAUUUAUAUAUCUUUAGGGACACUCUAGGUUGACACUGCAGCUAAAGUCCCAACCCCAACCCCAAACCCAAACCCUAUCUCUCUCUCUCUCUCUCUCUCUCUCUCUCUCUCUCUCUCUCUCUCUCUCUAUAGAGAGGUAAAACGACAUAGAAUCAUGUUGCCCCCUCUCACUCUAGCCACCUUUUUUUGUUUUGUUUUCUUGGUGUUUUAACAAUUAAUAGGUUUGUUAUUUACUUAUAACUUCCUUAAAUAAUUUGGUAAUUUAUAAUUUGAACACUUGUUUUAGACAGGAAGAUUGAUACCCCGUGGGAAGAAAGACACACAAAAAAUAAAUUAAAAAAGGCGACCAAUUAGCUAUAAGACUACAUGGAUUCUAUUGUGCAAGCGUAUAUACAGAAGCAAAACCAAACUUGACGUCCAAGCAACCUUUGCUAUUUCUAGAAAAUUCAUUCCUCUCUCCGUUCUUUAUUUUAUAGCUUGGCUAGCUUGCUAACCUUUGUUCUACUUCUCUCUCUUCUCUCUCUCUCUCUCCCUCUCCCUAUCUCAUUUUUUAUGGAGACGGUUCUUUGCAAAGAGAUAAUAAUAUCAUAGUAGAAGGAGAAAAAAGAUCAAAUGGGACAAAGAUCAAAUUCCAAUACUAUUAUUCCGUCUCAAACAUCAAUAUUCAAGAAGAAGAUGAGCAAAAAAGUGGUUAAGGAAAACGUGGUUUAAAAGUGACAAGCUUGGUUUGCUUGUCUGCUUUGCUUGCUUUAAGUGUUUUCAGUUUUUGUUUUUGGGUUUGCUUAAUUUUGUGAGAGAGAGAAAGAGAGGGAGAGAGAGAGAGAGAGAGUUGUGUGUAUUUGGAAGAGGUGGAGGAAAUUACAAGAAAGCUUGGGGUUUGGGAUGAGCCUCAGAGCAAAAACGGCAGAGAGAUCAUGACAUGGUGCAAUGACUCAGACGACGAGAGGGCCAUUCAGAUUAUCACCCCUCCUCCUCCUCCUCCUCCUCCUUCUCAUAACAAUAACGAAUUUCGGAACAUAACAUGCCCUUCUUGUGGCCACCACAUAGAAUUCCAAGACCAGGUAUUUAAACUUAUAACUUAUUUUAGUUCUUUGUUGAACUAAAUUUUAAUUUAUAUGAUUUUUAAUUAAUUACAUGAAUUAAUUGUUUGGUAUAAAGUUUUGAUUUUUUUGUUUUUGUUUAUGUGAUGUUUUAGGCAGGGAUUCAUGAUUUGCCUGGACUACCAGCAGGGGUGAAAUUUGAUCCAACUGACCAAGAAAUUCUUCAACACUUGGAGGCAAAAGUGCUGUCUGAUACCAGAAAGCUUCAUCCUCUCAUUGAUGAAUUCAUACCAACCCUUGAGGGGGAGAAUGGGAUUUGCUAUACUCACCCAGAAAAGCUACCAGGUAAUUUGUUUUUUAUUCAUUUUUUGUAAAUUUUUUAUUUUUAACCCUAUCUAGAAACAAUAAUGAAGACACUAAUUAUCACGGGCGUCUCUCAUUCAUUUGAUUCCAAACUUGACAGUUUUAAUUUCUUGGUAUUCAUAUCGUAAUUGUAUGGAUUGGGACUUAACCAAAGAUACUCACAGAUACUCUUUUUUUUUUUUUUUUUUUUAAAGAUACUUGAGAUUUUAUAUUUUCCCAAAGAAUAUUGUUAUUUUUUUUGGGAGGUAUAUACGUCUCUAUUUUUAGAUGUCACAAUUGAAACAAACAUAUAACCAGCACAUGGGUUUGCUUGCUUCUCCUUAUUAAAUCAUUCAAAUUUGGUAUGCUUGUGUUUCUUACUUUUUUCUUUUCAAGCAUGUUAUUUGCAUGUGAAUGCACAGAGGUUGGCUAUGCAUAUAUGGAUCCUAACACCAAACGCAAUCGCAUAUAUAGAUAUAGAUAUAGAGCCUCGGUUCUCUUAUAUAUAUAGACCAUGUAAACCUCCAUGUUAAAAUUCCUUCGGCUCAAUUUGCAUGUUAAAUCUUUUCUUUCCAUCUGUUGGUGACACCAUUUUAUGGACUAAUUUGUUCGACUUUCCCUUCAAAUAUAUCAAUAUCUUCAAUUUUUCUCAAUGUGUAUGUGCCUUUACAAGUUAUAAUUACAAUUCUCUCCAAGUGAUAAAAAUGCAACACAUUUUGUUUGGACAUCCUGUCUGACGUCCAUGCAGGAGUGAACAAAGAUGGACAAAUCCGGCACUUCUUUCACCGGCCCUCCAAGGCAUACACAACCGGGACUCGAAAGCGAAGGAAGGUUCACACCGAAGAAGAUGGAAGCGAGACGAGGUGGCACAAGACAGGGAAGACAAGGCCAGUCCUUCUUGGUGGAGCAGUUAAGGGUUUCAAGAAGAUCCUGGUCCUCUACACCAACUACGGAAGGCAAAGGAAGCCUGAAAAGACCAAUUGGGUGAUGCACCAAUACCACCUUGGCAACAACGAAGAAGAGAAAGAUGGGGAGCUGGUGGUCUCAAAAGUCUUUUACCAAACACAGCCCAGGCAAUGUGGUUCAAGCGUCAAAGAUGUUCCAAUGUUUGAUCACCACAAAGGUGUGAAUAUAAGAAGUGGGCAUGGGCAUGAUCCUCUUCCUAUAGCAAAGAAGGCUGGCCUUGUGGAGUAUUAUAAUCCUGGAGGAGGUUUUAUUAAUUAUGAUCACCAUAAUCUUCAUAACCAGGGGGGACAUAAUAGAGAAAGCCCACCUCAACUAAUCCCGAAUUUAGUUGUCCAAGGUGACGGGUCUUCGUUUAUUCGAUUAACUGCAGAUGCAAGCAAAGGAAAGCUUGAGAGAAAAUAGUCCAUGGGUGGCCAUGGAUGUUGGAUAUUGGACAUUGGAUAUGGACGGAAGAGCUUUUUCAGUUGAGGUAGCUUUAUAUAUAGCUAGGGCAGCAAUGACAAUGACUCUCUCAUGGUGGUGGUGGUUGGUGUUGCUGUGUAAAAGUUUUACUACUCAUGAUGAUCAAAUAAGUUAUUACAAGAUUGAGAUUUUUUAUAACCCCCAAAAAAAAAAAAAACAAGAAUAUUAUAUAUACACACAAAAUUAUAUUGGAUAUGUUUAACUACUUAUAUUAAUAUUAUACUGUGAUCUUAAGUUUAUGAUGACCAGUUGAUCGGGGAUUAGAUAGGAUAAUGAUGUUUUUCUUUUGUUUUGGAACUGUACAGACAUGAUUAUACAAACUUGUAUAUCUGAUUUGUCUGAUAUGACAUUUGAGUUUUAUCAUUAGGUUUAUGAUUUGCUCUGUGGAUUAAGUAAUAUUCUCUUAAACUUGUAGAUUAAAGUACAUAUACUUUGUAGUAAAACUCCGUUGUUAUUGCGGUUGGAGUUCAUGGUUGCCACUCAUCUUGCAGACUCUAUAAUAAAGAUAUUUAUAAAAAUAAAAUAAAAAACUAGACAGAUUUUACAUGAAGAAGAAAACCGUAAGGGGAAAUACAACUUAGACUCAUUGGCCAAUAUUCUUAUAAUGGGAAAUAUUUUCUAUAAAAUAAUAUAUGUUGCUAGACACGUUGUGACUGGGAAUUUGAAUUGCACAUUCAACUAAGCCUAUACCUAAUUAAAGAAUCUGAUAGGAAAGCAUUUUUCAUGUUUGGUUCAUGGUAAAAGAGGCUUAGGGAUGAGAAAUUAAUUGCUUUUUCAUGUUUAGUAAGUCCAAGUAGGCCUGGGCACGAAUCAGUUUGGAACAGUAGAGGGCUCUUCUGUUAACCAAAUCAAAGACUUCGGUAGACUUCAGAUCAGUUAACCUAAUAUUUAGUUCGGAUUGGUUCGGUACGCCGGUAGUACUGUAAUAAAAACAUACUAAUAAAAAUACAAUUUAUAAUACUUUCACAUAACAUAAGUUCUUGAACAAAUACAUCAAAUUAUCCUUGUAAAAUAUAAAAAUUCAAUAAUUCAUCCAAGUAUGAAAUCAAAUAACUUAGUCACUAUAUUAUUCAAGAUGUACCGGGAGCUACUUGUGUUUGUUGUUUGAACCUUUGAGUGUUCUUUUUACUAAAUUCUCUACAUUUAUGGAAAUGAUUUUGACAUUUGUUCUGCGUAAGGUUCUUUAGUUUUUCAUGCUGAAUCCAACCAUAUGAAGAACAUAAAAUUUGGAUCAACGGUUGGAAAGUUACAGGUAAAAAAGAGACAAAUGUCAAAAUUGGAAAAUAUAGAAAGUGCAUAAAUUCCUCUGUGUCCAAAAGUGCUACAGUACCCAGGUGAUAAAAAAGUGAUGCAAUGGUGAUAAAGCAGUGAUACAAUGGGGAUAAAAAAGUGAUACAUCAGUGAUAAAGGAGUGAUGCAAAAUGCUGAUUGUAUUUACCUUUGGUUUAUUGUUUUGAAUUUAAAUAAUAAAAUAAGUAUAAAUAUUGGAUCGGUACGGGUUUCUGUCGAGUUAAGGAUAUUGUUUCUGUUAAUCAAACCAAACAUUUCGAUACGGAUCAGAUCAGAACAAUGAAAAUUAAAAAAUAAUUAUUUAACCAAACCAAACCGUAGGUACGCAGAUAAUUCAGAUGAAAUGCCCAAUCCUAAGUCUAGACAUAGAAAAUCAUUGCCUUGCACGUGAGAAAGUGAAGUCAUCCUCACCCCUUAGGUUUUGUUUUACUCCUUAUGGGAAAGUUUAGGAAAAUGAGCUAACAUUAAAUACACAUUUUUCAUGAUCAUAUUGUCCCCAUUAACAUUUUGGAAUUACAAUAGAGCAUUAAAUGCAAAUAUUUUUUUUUUAUAUGGGUAUAAUUGAAAAUUUAAACAAACGUUGUUUUACAUUCCUACACAAACCAAACAUGUGAAAAAUGAAAUAAAGUAAUAUUUCUUUUUUAUUUCCCAAGAUUACCAAACAUGGGAAAAGAAUAUUCAUUUCUCAUUUCUUGAUAAAUGACAUGGAAAGUGAUUUUUUUGCAAAUUCAUUCUAUGAACCAAAACGGGGCCUAGGAAGGUAUAGCAGGUCAUGGAAUACCACGGGGACAGACAGGGCAAGGCUGUAUACGAGUAAUAUCUAUGACAAUGGACGUGCCAAAUAUUUCAUCAUACAUGCAGCCAUUGAGAGAAAGCAGUUGGAAAUUUCUCAAGUAUUUCAUCAUUCAUUUUGGUUGACAGGAAUUUUCAAAAGUUGAAUAAAAUUGGUUUGAUCAUGACUCGGUUCUAUAAUUCCAUUAGUCAAAAGUAUUUCUGCUUUAAUGAAAUUAGGAGGAAAUAAAUCAUAUUAUCUGUUUCUGGACUGCUUUUCAAUAUGAGUUUGCAAAAUACUGACUUGAGUUGUUGAACACUCGAUAUUCAAUAACAAAUAAAAAUAACACUGUUGUUCAAAAAAUAAUUGUAUGCGAAGCAGCAAGAGCACCAAAAGAAACUAAAAAUUAUCAUGAAACAACACACAGAGCACAAAAUGAAACUAAACCUACCCGGCACCUGGACUUACAAUUCAUUCUUCAAACAGCAAUACACUACCAAGUUUUUGCCCACAAAACACAAAGAAGUUAGCUGACAAACACAUAAUAGAUCGCCAUACAGGCGCAUGAUAGACCACUGCAAGCAACACCAAAACAACAUGCCCACACGUGGAAUACUUGGAGGGAGACGAAAAUUAAAAAGAAAACAUAAAUUUAGGCAAAUUACCCAUAGGUCACCUAACGAGCAGCUGAUGUCAGUAGCCUAAAACACUAACAUUUCAACCAUUUUGUAGUUACACUAGAAUAACAGAUAGUUUUUGCACCAAUUCUGGUGAGAUCUAUCAUAAAACCAAACCAUCGAGAACUUGAAGCUCUUGCUAGCCAGGUCCUGGACUAAUUCAGGGCAACGACUACCUGUGUAGAUUAUACAUUACCCUCCUGCACAAGAGCUUCAACUGGUCACGACUUCUGAAGUAUACAGCUCUCAUACAGUUCAAGCCAUUCUCUUUUGCUAGCACCAGUUCUCAUAUCCAGCACUUGGGCACCAAAAUUAUGUUUUGUGAGUUCCUGCUUAAUUUUCGUGACAGUGAACUUUCUAUAGUCUUCCGAGUUAGUUUGCUGACUGCGGGUAUCCUCAUCUCCCUUGAAUACGGAACCACCAUCUUCAGCUUGUGUGCGCUUUAGAGGGCUAGUAGUACUUCUAGACCUCUUAUUUACUCUUACAAUCCGGUCACUCAUCUCCAUGUCUUGAACGGAGUCCAUGCCCAUUUCAUAGUCAUCUACCCUCGAGCGUUUCCCGUGGGAAGCAGUCUUUAGCUUGCUAUCCAGUGCUGUUUCAUUCAGCCGAACAGAAGUCAAUUCUUGCUGGAGUGAAUCAAGCUUUGCCUGUGCAGCUUGUAGCUGAAGAGACAGGGAGUCUGCCCUAUUGUUUGCAUCUGCAUGUGCUGCACGCUCACUGUCCAGGAGGCCUUGAAGGACGUGAACAGUACUAGUUCUCUGCUCGUUAUUUGAUUUUAAUAGUGAUUCUAUUUCCUUCUCUCUUUCUUCAACUCUUGCCUCCAGCAGAGCAACUUUCGAAUGAGCUCCCAUCUCUGAUACACGAAUUCUCUCUAACUCAUCAUCCAAGUCUCUUUUUUCCCUUUGUAAAGUUUCAAUAUGCCUCUCAGCCCUCUCAAUUUGGGCCAAUCUUUCCAUUGCCAACUUCUGCAUCUCACUCUUUUCCUUUUGAGCAAUAUCUGCUUGCGCUCGUGCUUUAUCAGCAAUAUCAGUCGCUCUUGUGGCUUCUUUUUCAGCAAUUUUACACCUUUCUUGGACUUCAUCAAGUCUUUUUAUUUCAGAUUCGUACUUCUGCCCCAGAUAGAUCUUCUCCUGCUCCAGUAUCUUUUUUUCUCUCUCAAAUGAGUGGGCCUUUGCAUUUGCAGCUUCUAAUUUUUGACUUAACUCCUUGAUUUCAAGCUUCAUCGAUGAUAUUUCAGCGUCAUAACUAUCUACUUUCGAUUUGGCAGUCUGCAAAGAAUGUGUAAUAGUCAAGUACCACACCAUUGAUAAAUACAUACGUUGAAAAGAGACCGCAAAAGAAAAGCAAACAUGUGCAAAAUAAGGAUUCUUCUUUAUCCAAAUUUCAAUGAUUUCCAUAGGGCUGUAUCUACUUCGGAUAAUUGAUGUUUUACAUAAUGCCUAUGAGCUUUAGCUCAACUGGCAUUGGGAUGGGUGGCUAAAAGGUAUAGCAGACAGAUGAUAUGUGUUAUCUAUACCAAAAAAGCUUGUAGAUAAUCAAAUUAUAAACAAGUGGAAAACACAGACCAUGAAAAACUUCAAGACAAAAAAUGAGGCUCCUGAUAUAGUAAAAUUUAACCCUCCAGAGCUACUCCAUUGAACAUGUAAGAGCAGUUUCCCAGGCCAAAUGUAUUUUUCUGACUGAAUCACAUGCCAUUAACCCAACUGCUAACCUCCCAACAGUGUGUAUCAAUAAGCAUACACACAACACUGCAUAACCAUUUGAUGUGGCAAUUUAUGACACAAGUACAAGAUCCUAACCAAAUGAUGCGGCAAUUUAUGACACGUGUGUUUUCCACUUGCAAAUGAAGAGGGGAGAGAGAGAGAGAGAGAGAGAGAGAGAGAGAGAGAGAGAGAGAGAGAGAGAGAGAGAGAGGGAAGAGAGGGGAGGGGGGGAAGGGUACAUAAAAGAUUCUAACAAAGUGUGAAGAUUCAAACUCACCUUCAGUUCUAGUCUUAGAGUUGUCAAGCACUGCUCAGCAUAUUCAAUCUUGGCCGUCUUAUCCUUUAUUUCCUCCUCCUAAAUAUUUAUCGACAAGAGAAACAAAUCAAAAAUCCAUAGGAAACUAGAGAAUUGGAGUAUGCAUUUAGGUGCCUCUGUGUGUGUGUGUGUGUGUGUGUGUGUGUGAGAGAGAGAGAGAGAGAGAGAGAGAGAGAGAGAGAGAAAG